rnacentral:lncRNA from 1 species
AUAUUGAUAUGGUUGCUGGCCUGGAGAGACUAGCAUAGUAUUUUUUUGAAAAUGCAAAACAUGUUCAAACAUUCUCAGAAAAAUUGCAGACACACAUCGGCGCGGGGGAUAUUGAUAUGGUUGCUGGCCUGGAGAGACUAGUAUAGUAUUUUUUUGAAAUGCAAAACAUGUUCAAACAUUCUCAGAAAAAUUGCAGACACACAUCAAUGUCUGAUGCACAACCUUAAAAUGUUUUAGGUCCUAAUUCGACCUACACUAAUAGAAACAAAAAAGAGAAAAUCAGGUGUGAAUAGUGUCAAAAUACUAUUCACCCAAAUCAGCCACUAUUCACAUUUGAAUUUGAAUUUUUUUGAAUCUCUAAAUGUACAUGGAGUUUUGAGCUGGGUUUUUUUGGAGUUGUAGAUAUACGCCGCAAGUAUGUUGUCAAAUAAUUUCAGAAUGUUUUGGAUGGCUAAAUAUGAAAUUUUGUGAAUGAUCUCAUUGAUGACCCAUGUCGCCGCCACACAUCAAUUCAUACUUAGGGCAAUGAUUGGUUUGGUUCGUAACCUAAGGUUUUCACAUCUAACCUUAGUCAUUCCACAAUACAUUAGACAUGUACUUGAUUAUUGCCACAGUUGUAGCUUGCCACUUCUUUAGCUACUAUAAGGGUUGGGCGUGCUUUGCGCCGUUGGUGUUGUUGAGAUUCUCAAAAAAGUUACUCAUUUUGUUUUAAAAUAUAAGGUGUAUUACUUUUUGAAAAUCCAACCACUUUAAGUUUGACCAAACUUAUGAAAAUAUAUAUCAAAAUUCGUAAUAUCAAAUUCGUGUUAUUAUUAGAUUCAUCAUGAAAUGAAUAUCCAUAAUGUUUUGCCUUAAUAUUGUGGAUGUUGACAUUUUUGGCUCUAAACUUGGUCAAAGAUAAGGAAAUUUGACUUCCAAAGAACUAAUACCCCUCGUAUUCUGGAAUCGGUCGAAUAUUUAGUUUGGCGGAUGGGGGACACAAUGGAGUGUGUUUUAUGUUUAUUUAUUAUGCGGUUAUUGGGUGGGUCUUUCAUGAUGCGAUUCUGUGUUAUGCGCUAAUCAACUCAUACUUUUGUGGGUAAAUUUCCGCGUCGGUGGCUACAUGUACUAUAUUGGUGCUAUAGUAUCAUCACAUGGUGACGCUUCUUUUUUCUAGGUGAUAAGAGGGUGCACGGGGUUGAUAUGUUUUUCUAGCCGGUUAGUGUUUAUUAAUUUGAAAAAUCAUUGGCCCAAUCAAAAUCAUAAAUUUUAUUCAAAAUUGAAUAUCUUAAUAGAAUAAAAGAGCUUCAAAAUUAGGGAAUAUGGUGAAUUAAAAUAAUUAAAUGGGAGAGUUCCUUGAAAAAUUAUUGACCCGGUUAAACUCAGGUGACCAUGUUCUAAACUGAAGACCUCAAUUAAUUGUGAGGGCUUAAAAAUUAGGAAGUAUAGUGUAUAGUAUAAAAGAAUUGAAUGGGAGCUUUGAUAAAUUGUUGACUUGGUCAAAAUCGGGUGACCAAUUCCAAUUGGGCACCUCAAUUAACUGUGAGGACUUACAAAUUAGGAAGUAUAGUGUAUAGUAUAAAAGAAUUAAACGAGAGCCUUGAGAAAUUGUCGACUUGGUCAAAAUCAACGCAAUUCCAAUCAGACACCUCAAUUAAUUGUGAGGACUUAAAAAUUAGGAAGCACAGUGUAUAAUAUAAAAGAAUUGAAUGAGAGCUUUCAGAAAUUGUUAACUUGGUCAAAAUCGGGUGAAACAAUUUCAAUUGGACAUCUCAAUUGAUUGUGAUGCCUUUUACCCAUAGGAAGCUUAGUGAUAUAGUAGACAUCGUCCACAUACCAUAGGCUUGGUUUUGCCAAAUCAUGUCACACUUGUCGUCGCCAUAUUAUUCACCACACUUUGUGGUAGCAGCACAAAGUUAAGCAUGAACAAAACAUGCCCUUAGUUGCAUUCGACCUCCCACUGUUAAUUUUCUCUUUCAAGAAAGACACAUAUGGCCGGACAUGCGUCGGAACAUUGCUUACCGGUUGGGCACCACCUCCAUGCUAAUGUGCUUGUUACUUUUGGACACUGCAUUACCAUACAUAAUCAAGUAGUUUUGUGUGUGCAUUGAUUCUUCAAAAGUUUAUUAUUGUGUUAAUUGGCACAUCAUGUCACAUACUAUGCACCAAUCUAUAUUUAUGUAGGAUUGGUACAUAUAAGUCGUUCAUUCAUUUCCAUCACUUUAUCCAUGCGAUUCUCCUUCUAGCGCAACAACAAUUGAAUUCAAUCGUCAUUUCCACUUGCUCGAUCUUUUUGCUAGGUGACAGUAUAUAACGACCAUCGAAUUGAAGUGUGAAAUUACACAUAUGAAUGUACAUUGUACUAAAUAAUAUUUUGAUAUUUAUUUGGGCAUGUAAAUUGAUACGUCUCCAACGUAUCUAUAAUUUUUGAUUGCUCCAUGCUAUAUUAUCUAUUGUUUUGGACUAUAUUGGGCUUUAUUUUUCACUUUUAUAUUAUUUUUGGGACUAACCUAUUAACCGGAGGCCCAACCCAGAAUUGCUGUUUUUUGCCUAUUUCAGUGUUUCGAAUAAACGAAAUAUCAAACGGAGUCCAAACGGAAUAAAAUCUUUGGAAACGUGAUUUUCUCACCGAACGUGAUCCAGGAGACUUGGACCCUGCUCCAAGGAACAAAAGAGGCGGUCACGAGGGUGGGGGGCGCGCCCCCCUGCCUCGUGGGCCCCUCGUUGCUCCUCCGGCGUACUUCUUCCUCCUAUAUAUACACACGUACCCCAAAAUGAUCAGAACAGGAGCCAAAAACCUAAUUCCAACGCCGCAACUUUCUGUAUCCACGAGAUCCCAUCUUGGGGCCUGUUCCGGAGCUCCGCCGGAAGGAGGCCGUCAUCACGGAGGGCUUCUACAUCAUCCUAGCCCCUCCGAUGAAGUGUGAGUAGUUUACCUCAAACCUUCGGGUCCAUAAUUAGUAGCUAGAUGGCUUCUUCUCUCUCUUUGAAUCUCAAUACAAAGUUCUCCCCCUCUCUUGUGGAGAUCUAUUCGAUGUAAUCUUCUUUUUGCGGUGUGUUUGUUGAGACCGAUGAAUUGUGGGUUUAUGAUCAAGUCUAUCUAUGAAUAAUAUUUGAAUCUUCUCUGAAUUCUUUUAUGUAUGAUUGGUUAUCUUUGCAAGUCUUUUUGAAUUAUCCGUUUGGUUUGGCCAACUAGAUUGGUAGUUCUUGCCAUGGGAGAAGUGCUUAGCUUUGGGUUCGAUCUUGCGGUGUCCUUACCCAGUGACAGAAGGGGCAGCAAGGCACGUAUUGUAUCGUUGCCAUCGAGGAUAACAAGAUGGGGUUUAUUUCAUAUUGCAUGAAUUUAUCUCUCUACAUCAUGUCAUCUUGCUUAAGGCGUUACUCUGUUUUUAACUUAAUACUCUAGAUGCAUGCUAGAUAGCGCACUACAAGAAAUAUGUCAACUUAUGACCUUCUGUCAGUGACCCUCGAAGAAUUGGUCAUAAAUUUAUGACCAUUUUAGACCAAUUGGUCAAAAGCUGUUCAGGGGGCUCCAAACCCUAAACCAUUGCGACCAUUUUGGUCAGAAAGGUCGUAAUUUCCUUACACAAAAUGGUCACAAAGCAAACAGUGCUAGUCCGCUACCUUAUUUCCAGUUGUUAAUGACCAAUAUAGAUGGUCAUAGCCUUGUAGAUUGUGGUGGGUUGUGAUGACUAGGCGCCAUCUCAUCAGUUUUGCCUAUGUGUCAUGUCCAUGUGGCAGUUUUUGCCCUUGGUUGUGAAUCAACCUAUAUUUCUAUCAUUCCUAAAAUUCCCCAAAAAAUCUCAUAAAUUCUUUGGGGCAUAUCUUCAUCAAAUAUGUAAAAAUCCUUCCUUGCUUAGUUCAAAACUAAUUCAACAAUAUUCAUUUUCCUAUUCUGUUCACAACAACACUUUAUGAAGGAAGUGCUAUUUAUAUAUUCUUGAUUGCCCUCCGAAUUUUUGGGCACUCUUUCCUAUCCAAAUCAUUACCGCAUGACAAAAUUCAGCUCCAUUUGCCUAGCAAAUCUUCCUCGGCAAAUUUCCAAAGUUUUUGUCCACCUAGAAGCAUUGUGAAGGAAGUACCUUUUUUAUAUCUCUAAAUGACAUGAAAUUUAUACAGUUCCUUCAUAUGCCCAAAUUAUCACCCUCCUCCAAAUUGCAGCUCAGUCAAAUCAUCUAUGUGAGCCCAGGUUCAAUUUAUAUUUUAUGGCCAAAUUGGCACGUUGCAAAGCAAGUGUUAUAUAGACCCCUCCAAUUACCCUCAAACUUUUCGGGCACUCUUUCAUACCCAAAUCAUUGCCACAUGGUAAUAUUCAGCUCAAUUUUCCUAGUAAAUCUUUCUCGGGAAAUUUCCAAAGUUUCUACCUCGAGAGAAGCUUUGUGAAGUAAGUACUGGCUAGGCUUACCCAAAUGAUCUGAAAAUUUACCAGCGCAUGACCAUACCUAAGUAACUUACCUACACCAAUUUUGAGCUCAUUUCAUUCAUCCAAUCUCUCUCACUAGUUUUCCCAAGUUUCUGUCCAUAGAAGAGCAUUGUGAAGGAAGUACUACUUUGGCAUGUCCAAAUGGUAUCAAUUUUCUACAAUGCUUUCCUAUGCCCAAAUAACCAUCCUCCACAAAAUUUCAGCUCACUCCAUUCAUUAUUUUGAGCCCAGCUUCAACAUUCAUAUUUUUGUCCAGCGUGGUACUUUGCAAAGCAAGUACCACCUAGGAUCCUCUUUUUGAGCUAAAAAUUUGUGAAGACAUUCUCCUUAGUAGAUGAUCAUCCUCAGCCAAAACUCACGCCCAUUGGCCAUGUGCAUUUCCCGUACCGCUAAUCAAACACUUGGCUGCUAAUUCAUAUUUGAGCAUCGAUCGGUCUCCUCAUGAGAAUCUUAUGUUGUAAUUUUCUUCCUAGCACAAACCUGGUUAGUGCCCAACCCACUAGACAUGCCUAGGCCUCCCAGAACACAUGGCAACAUUACAGUCACGCGGUGACCACACGACGGGCAUGCGAGUUUACGCGCUCUAGAGUUGGGGCCCUCGGCCACCGCCCAAACCUCAACGUAUCGCCACCAAACCAUGUAUUUAUGAUUAAAUAGGUCCUUAUGUAACUAGAAAUGAUUUUUGGAAAAAAUAAAUAGCAAACUAUGAGGCAGCUGCAGUUCAAAUUUGACCCGCUUCCAACUGAAUCGGUGGAAAUUUGUCUUUUUCACGAGAGGUGGAUCAAAUUUUUUUACACCCAACCAUUUUGUCAAUUGUGCAUUAAAUAUGGCCUAGUAUUUUAUAAAAAUGAUUUGGUCCAAUUUUACAACAAUUAUUUGGUAGUUCCUUCACAAAAAACCUCCUUUUGGGCACUCGAAAAAUGGAAAAUGGUUUUUUCGUCCAACGAAAAUGAAAACUUCCUUAGACAACAUUGUUUGCCAUUCCAAUAUGCACUCUUGUGCACAAUAUGAGAUCAUUUGAACAAAUUAUGCCAUGAAUGUGGCCAUAAGAUUGAUCAUUUGGCUUGAAAGCCAUUGAUCUCCACACGUGAUAGCUCGUUUUUGAGAACACUUUUUUAAAAUAAUUGCCGUAUUACAAGUUUGUUAUUUUUCCUAAGAACUUGGCCACAUAUAAUGGCACAAUGCGAAGGUUUCCCAAUUUUUUGAUUUUUUUUGAAUUUUUUAUGCCCGUUUCAAAAUGCGGUCAAAACGGCGGGAAUGACCGUUCUUGGCUAGUGGUUGAAUCUUUGAAUUUUUUGGUGUUUCUAUGAUUAAAUAGAUACUUAUGUACCUAGAAAUGAUUUUUGGAAAAAAUAAAGAGCAAACUACAAGGCAGCUACAGUUCAAAUUUGACCCGCUUCCAACUGAAUCAGCGGGAAUUUGUCUUUUUCAUGAGAGGUGGAUCAAAACUUUUUACGCCCAACCAUUUGGUCAAUUGUGCAUUAAAUAUGUCCUAGUAUUUUAGAAAAAUGAUUUGGUCCAAUUUUGCAACAAUUAUUUGGUAGGUCCUUCACAAAAAACCUCCUUUUGGGCACUCGAAAAAUGGAAAAUGGUUUUUUCGUCCAAAAAAAAUGAAAACUUCCUUAGGCAACAUUGUUUGCUAUUCCAAUAUGCACCCUUGUGCACAAUAUGAGAUCAUUUGAACAAACUAUGCCAUGAAUGUGACCAUAAGAUUGAUCAUUUGGCUUGAAAACCCUGAAUCUUCACGCAUGAUAUCUCAUUUCUGAGAACACUUUAAAAAUAAUUGUCGUAUUACAAGUUUGUUAUUUUUCUUGGGAACUUGGCCACAUAUAAUGACACAAUGCGAAGGUUUCGUAAUUUUUUGAUUUUUUUGAAUUUUUUAUGCCCGUUUCAAAAUGCCGUCAAAACUAUGGGCAUGAUCGUUCCUAGCUAGUGGUUGAAUAUUGGAAAACUUUUGAUAUUUCUCUGAUUAAAUAGAUACUUUUGUACCUAAAAAUGAUUUUUGGAAAAAAUGAAGAGCAAACUAUGAGGCAGCUGCAGUUCAAAUUUGACCCGCUUCCAGCUAAACCGACGGAAAUUUGUCUUUUUCACGAGAGGUGGAUCAAAGCUUUUGACACCCAACCAUUUGGUCAAUUGUAUAUUAAAUAUGGCCUAGUAUUUUAGAAAAUUUACUUGGUCCAAUUUUGCAACAAAUAUAUGGUAGGUCCUUAAAAAAACUUAUUUUGGGCACUCGGAAAAUGGACGAGAGGUGGACGAAAAACUUUUAAGAGGGAACCUUUGGUCAAUUUCUACAUAAUACACGGUCAAAUAUUUUUAAAAAUUGUUGCGGUCCAAUUUUGUAACUAAUAUUUGAUAGGUUCUUCACAUAGGCGAAAAGAAAAAAGAGAAAUAAAAAGAAAAACACAUAUACAUAAAUUUAAUUUUCAUUGGUGGAGAUGUUUGUGCCAUGGAUUGAUGACAUGGCACACAUCCAUCCAUCCAUCCACCCACCCACCCGCAGCCCAAACCCUAACUCCACUCCUCCCGUCCCCUCUCCUCUCUCCCCCGAUUCAGAUCCAGUCCUCGCCGCCGCCACGGCUCUCAUCGCUCUCCUCCUCCGCCCCGCACCCCCACCCACCAGCGCGCAACCAGAGCGAACGACUUGCCUCUCCCUUGCAUGCUCCCCGUGCCGACCCCGCCCCCAACCAGAGCGAAGGCAAUGGACGACGUCGCCUUCGCCGCGGGCUCCUCCUCGUCCGCCAUGGACGCGCUCGCCUCCUCCUCCUCCUCCGCCGCGCCCGCUGACCCCUCGCACGGCUGGCAGAAGGUGACCUACGCCAAGCGCAGCAGCCGCAAGCCCGCCGCCGUGGCCUCGGUCGCGGCCGCCGCGCCCUAUCUGGGCAAGCCCAACAUCUUCGAGGGCCUCAACAAGCGCUCGCAGGAGCGCCACCGCACGAUCCAGGCCGCCCGGGACGCCGCGGUCGGCUACAACUCCGACGACGCCAACGCCAACGCCCACAUCCCCUGGGGCUCCCGCUCCUCUGACGAGGGCUCCGACUCGGACGGUGCGGCAAAGGACCACCCCCAGGCCGAGGCGCCCAAGGUGAAGAAACCCAAGGUCACGGUCGCCGAAGCCGUGGCGCUCAUCGACGCCGAGAGCCUCGUCGCGCACCUCGUCGACAUCUCGGUACUACCCCUACCCCUCCUUCCUCCUCAAAAUGCAUUCCCAGAGGCCAGAUCUCGCGAGGCCCGGGCCGGAUCAUGGCUUUGUCUCCUUCCCAGGGAUCGGAUCUGGCCGGGGUUUAGUGCCGGAUCUCGCCGGCCAUGUCCAAAUUCCCCUAUACUGUUCUGUACCAACUAGUUUCGUGUUUAGAGGUAGAUGCAUAAUUCUGGUAUGGUACGGAUAGGCUGUGGGUGUGAUCCAGUCUGUCGUGUGUGCUUGCAGGGACGCUGUGGCUCACGGGGAUCGCGGGAUCCAUCGCCUACAACUGGUCCAGGCCCGGCAUGAAGACCAGCGUCAAGCUCAUCCACGCCAGGUUCGUUUCCUCCGUCUGGUGGGAUCUGUUGUCAAUUGUGCAUUUCGUAUCUGUUGAUUGUGUCCAGUCCCGAGUUGGACAAUAUACCUGGCCAUGGUCGGAGCUGACUGAUACUUGUUUUCUUGCUCCCAUCUCCCUGCUCCCGCAGCGUGGUGCCGAUGAUGGACUGGACAGACAACCACUACAGGAAGCUAGCGCGGCUGAUAUCGAGGCACACCUGGUUAUACAUAGAGAUGGUGGUCGCUGAGACCAUUGUGCAUCAGAAAGUUAAGUUGGCGAGUUUUUUUGGUCUUUCUUGGUCCGGUGCCAUUAAGCUUCAUUGCUAUGGGAUAACUGAUUUCAUUUAACCUGACUGAUAUUAUGAUUCGUGGGGAUUAGAAGUAUUUGCAUUGAUUAUACUAGUCAAGCUGCAUCAAAUAUGGCAGUAGUAACAAAUGUACGAUAACUAUUUCGUCUGUACAAAUGUACAAUACAAUGACAUUUGCUUCCAAUAAGAAGUGAAACAUAUUUGAGAAGUGAUUGGGGGGGGGGGAGAUUCUUUGAGAGUUCUGCUGCAUGUUUCUUUCACUGGCACCAUGGUACAACCCAUGUUAUGUCUGACUGUUAGCAUGAUCGCGAAUGAGGUAACACGCCAAACUCCAGGACCACAGAAAUAGGGAACUCAUAUGAUAAUAAACUCUAUGCUGAAAUCGGUUUACUUCGCUAGUGAUGUAGAUGCAUGAGUCGUGUGCUAAUUUUGUCUGCAAGUUGAAGUCGGUUUAGCUCCAUCAGCAAUGCCUGUGGAGUUGUGGCUGUGGUUGGUACAUACUAACUAAUGGAGUAGUGGGUAGCUGUGGUGUGCCCUGCUGUUGGAAUGGUUCCGAUAACUUGUUAGUAGCAUGUUCUAUUAGUUCCAGAGAAAAAGUGAAAUCCCAGCUCCGCCUGCUUCAUGAUCCUCUGGUUCUGCUUUUACCUGCCUACUGUCAUGUGAAUUGGCUAACUGUGGCUCAUAUUCUUUUCCCCAGGUAGCUCAUGGUGUGUGUCACCGGUGCAGCGGUGCUCUGCUCUUGCGCACGGUGACCGGCGUGACGGCGGCUAUGUAUGGCAGCGACCACAAGCUCAUCGGUGAGCGGCUCCCUCUCCUACCCCUAGUUCUCUUUUCUAAGAUGUAGUAUUCUAUGCAGAAGAUCUAUUUGCUAGUACUUGGGCUCACUGCUGUUUAUAUUUGAUUAUUCUAUUAUUAUGUAUACUGAAAAUGCUAUAACAAAUUUACUGCUCAUAUUCCUGUACAAAAGCCCUCAUGCGAAUUAAUGACAUGCUUCAUUUUUGAACAAACAGGGAAGUUGAAGAUUUCGCUAGGAGGCUCAAUUCUGUUUGGCCUGAAAGAAUGCAUUUGGGUCAAGAAAGAAGAAUUGAGUCGCAACUAAUUGGUGGUAAUGGUUCUCUGCAGAGAUUUUCUGGUAAUUUUUUCCAUAUAGAAUAGUUGAAACUGUAGUGAGUAAAGAAUUUAGCCCACUCUACUGAAUCUUUUGGAAGAACAGAAGGUUUUACAUACUAAAGGACAGUGUUUGGUUAGUCCAACGUAAAGUAGGAAUUACCUCAUUCUUGCACCAGCUCAUUCCAUAACCGGGUCAAGUGAUAAUUUGUAUGUGCCCGCAGGGUUCAAUCACAGGUGAAUGUCGUGCGGUAGUGAGUAAAUAAUUUGCAUUGCCCCAUUAAUUGAGUUUAUUUUAUCUAUUCAAAACACUCCAACAUGUUGGUUUAAUCAAAUCCUCUAGUAAUGCCACAGCUUGUCAUGGAUGUCGCAUUUCCUAUGUUUUUGGGGAAUUUCGAGAUGUACCAUUCUCUGUUUUGGGAAUUUCUUUGCCGUAAAUUAUUAUAGCCAACUGUUCAGAAUUGUUUUUGCGGGGAGCAAAUCUGUAUAUGCAAAGUGUGUGUGUGUAUCCAGUGAGCAAAUCUAUAGUAAUUAUAGAGUAUAUUAUCUUCUUUCUUUUAUUCACAAUUUUCUGCUCAGUUCUCUUUUGACAUAUAGUUUGUUCUCUUUGAAUGUGCAGAUGGUAUGAUGUGGUGGUUAUCUUUUUUCGUUGCUGGAACCUGGAUGUCAUAUGUUAUGUGAUUUGAGCCAAAUGGCAUAUUGUAAUCUUUUUAUUGCUGGUUUUUAUGUACGAUGUCAUGAAGAUGUACGUUUGAAAUGUUGCUUUGAUAGCAAAAUUGUAUUCCUGUGUACAUGCUGCUUUGACAGCAAAAUUAUGAAAAAUUCUCAACAAUAUAUAUGGGCAAAAUUGUAUUCCUGUGUACUGCGCCUGAAAAGGCUACAACCAACUGAUGAUGUUACUAGAACCUGACAAUUGGGACCCAUCUGACUAGUGGACCCUUCUUUUGGGAAAAAAAGAAAAACUAAAUUCGUUUAGACAUAAAGGCCACAAACCAACAAUAAAAAGGCUGCAAUAUUGGGCUUGGCCCAUGAACCCAACCAAAAAUUGGCAGACAGAAAAAACACAAAUAGGCUGAAUUGUUGGGCUAGGCCCAUGUAGAAAACUGAAUUGGACCGGGCUGAAUCUUGUGCCACAUCAGCUUGCCACGCUGGAUGCCUACAUGGACUGGGGAGGUUGCUAGUGACCAAAACAGAACAAUAGGCUUAUUUUGGUCAUAAACGUUUGUGACCAUUCCAAAAGAAAGGUCGCUAUAGUCAGUUUACGACGGCCAGCUUUUGACCUUAUGUUUUUGGUCACAAAAAGGUCACAAAUGGAAAUUUGUGACCAUUCAGUGACCAAUAGUGGUGGUCACAAGUUGACAUAUUUCUUGUAGUGGUGGUCGAUGAGUGGAGUAAUAGUAGUAGAUGCAGAAUCGUUUCGAUCUACUUGUCACGGACGUGAUGCCUAUAUACAUGAUCAUGCCUAGAUAUUCUCAUAACUAUGCUCAAUUCUGUCAAUUGCUCAACAAUAAUUUGUUCACCCACCAUAGAAUACUUAUGCUCUUGAGAGAAGCCACUAGUGAAAUCUAUGACCCCCGGGUCUAUUCUCAUCAUAUCAAUCUCCAUCACUUUAAUCUUGCUUUGCUUUUUUACUUUUUACUUUGCAUCUUUAUACCAAAAAUACCAAAAAUAUUAUAUCUAUCAGAUCUCACUCUCGUAAGUGACCGUGAAGGGAUUGACAACCCCUAAUCGCAUUGGUUGCGAGUAGCUAUCGCUUUGUGCAGGUACGAGGGACUUGAGCGUGGCCUCCUACUGGAUUGAUACCUUGGUUCUCAAAAACUGAGGGAAAUACUUACGCUACUCUGCUUCAUCAUCCCUUCCUCUUCGGGGAAAACCAACGCAAGCUCAAGACGUAGCAAGAAGGAUUUCUGGCGCCGUUGCCGGGGAGUCUACGCAAAAAGUCAACAUACCAAGUACCCAUCACAAUCCCUAUCUCUCGCAUUACAUUAUUUGCCAUUUGCCUCUCGUUUUCCUCUCCCCCACUUCACCCUUGCCGUUUUAUUCGCCCUCUCUCUCUCUAUCCUCCCUCUCUAUUUGCCUCUUUUGCCCGUUUCUUGUUUGCUCGUAUGGUUGGAAUAGUCGUUUAUUUAUUACUAAACAGAGAAGCUAAUAUCUAUGGAUCCUCAUCCGCUUUCCAAUCUUUUUAAGAGAUCCAAUUAUGAUGAACCAAUUCCUAGUGAUUUGGAUGCACUAGAUUAUCUUUAUAAGCUUUUGCCUGAAAUCCGUAAAUCUGAAAAUCGUGAUGAAGUGCUUUAUGAAGUGACUCAUGAUAGAUCUUUGAAUAAAAAGCAUGAUUGCAAUGAUUUUAUUAUAAAUUCUCUUGAUGUCAAUUGUGCUAAUAAGAUGCAAAACCCUAAGCUUGGGGAUCCUAGUUUUGCUAUGUCUACUACUUGUUGCAAUGAUUAUGAUUGGGGUGAUUCUUCUUUUGAUCUUGAAAAUUUAUUUAAACCCCAUGAUGAAUAUGAGAUUGAUUAUAAUGUUUGCAAUAAUAUUGAAAGUGGGUUUGGAAGAAUGUCAACUUUAGAUCCCACAUAUUUAGAGAAUGUUCAAUCUUAUGAAGUUUUUGAUAAAAGUGCGUUUGGGAAGGUUAUGACUUUAGUUAAUAUUAAUCCCACUAUUUCGGAAAAGUGCCAACCUUGCAUGCAUGUGGAUCAUGUUGAGAAUAUUUUAUGUGAUAGCUAUAUUGUUGAAUUUGCUUAUGAUCCUACAUGUAAUUACUAUGAGAGAGGAAAAUAUGGUUGUAGAAAUUCUCAUGUUACUAAAUUACCUCUCGUUAUGUUGAGAUUGCUAUUGUUUCUUUCCUCUUCCUUGCAUAUGCUAGUUUUUGCUUGCGUUGAUAAUUUGUUUUCCUAUAAGAUGCCUAUGCAUAGGAAGUAUGUUAGACUUAGAUGUGUUUGUCACAUGCUUUAUGAUGCUCCUUUUGUGCUUCAAUUCUUGUCUUUCAUGUGAGCAUCAUUAAAAUUAUCAAUGCCUAGCUAUAAGGCUUUAAAGAAAAGCGCUUGUUGGGAGACAUCCCAAUAUUUUUACUUGCUGUUAUUUAAUAAAUAAAUUAUAUAGCCUCUGUUUUGGUUGUGUUUUUGUGUUUAAUUAGUGUUUGUGCCAAGUAGAACCGUUGGGAAGACUUGGGGAAAGUCUUGUUGAACUUGCUGUAAAAAACAGAAACUUUAGCGCUCACGAGAACUGCUGUCAUUUUUAUUUGAAGAGUGCUAUUUAUUUAAUUAUUUUUGAAGAUGAUUAAUAGAUAAAUUCCUCACAUCCAUAAAUUUAUUUUAGAAUUUUUGGGGUUCCAGAUCUUGCGCUAGCUACAAAUUACUACAGUUUGUUCUGUUUUUGACAGAUUCUGUUUUUCGUGUGUUGUUUGCUUAUUUUGAUGAAUCUAUGGCUAGUAAAAUAGUUUAUAAUCCAUAGAUAAGUUGGAAUUCAGUAGGUUUAACACCAAUAUAAAUAAAGAAUGAGUUCAUUACAGUACCUUGAAGUGGUCUUUUGUUUUCUUUCGCUAACGGAGCUCACGAGUUUUCUAUUUUGAGUUCUGUGUUGUGAAGUUUUCAAGUUUUGGGUGAAUUCUUUUGAUGGAUAAUGGAACAAGGAGUGGCAAGAGCCUAAGCUUUGGGAUGCCCAUGGCACCCCCAAGAUAAUCCAAGGACACCAAAAAGUCAAAGCUUUGGGAUGCCCCGGAAGGCAUCCCCUCUUUUGUCCACUUCCAUCGGUAAUUUACUUGGAACUAUAUUUUUAUUCACCAACAUGAUAUGUGUUUUGCUUGGAGCGUCCUGUAUUAUUUGUGUCUUUGUGUCUUAGUAUACCACAAUCAUCCUUGCUGUACACACCUUUUGAGAGAGCCAUACAUGAAUUAAAAUUUGAUAAGAAUACUCUAUGUGCUUCACUUAUAUCUUUUGAGCUAGAUAAUUUUGCUCUAUGUGCUUCAUUUAUAUCUUUUGAGCGUAGUAGUUUUGCUCUAUGUGCUUCACUUAUAUCUUUUGAGCGUAGUAGUUUUGCUCUAUGUGCUUCACUUAUAUCUUUUGAGCUAGAUAAUUUUGCUCUAUGUGCUUCACUUAGAUCUUUUAGAGCACAGUGGUGGAUUUGUUUUAAAGAAACUAUUGAUCUCUCAUGCUUCACUUAAAUUAUUUGGGAGUCUCUUAAUAGCAUGGUAGUUUGCUUAAUAAUAAUAUGCUUGGUUUUCAAGAUUUGUGAAACUUUCUUUUGAGUGUGUUGAAUACUAAGAAAAGAUUGAAGCAUGAUAAUUGUUUUGAGAUAUGGAGGUGAUAAUAUUAAAGUCAUGCUAGUUGAGUAGUUGUCAAUUUAAAGAAUACUUGUGUUAAAGUUUGUGAUUUCCAUAGCAUGCACGUAUGGUGAACCGUUAUGUGACGAAGUCGGAACAUGAUUUAUUUGUUGAUUGUCUUCCUUAUGAGUGGCGGUCGGGGACGAGCGAUGGUCUUUUCCUACCAAUCUAUCCCCCUAGGAGCAUGCGCGUAAUACUUUGCUUUGAUAACUUCUAGAUUUUUGCAAUAAGUAUAUGAGUUAUUUAUGACUAAUGUUGAGUCCAUGGAUUAUACGCACUCUCACCCUUCCACCUUUGCUAGCCUCUCUAAUACCGCGCACCUUUCGCCGGUAUCAUACACCUACCAUAUACCUUCCUCAAAACAGUCACCAUACCUACCUAGUAUGGCAUUUCCAUAGCCAUUCCGAGAUAUAUUGCCAUGCAACUUUCCACCAUCUAGUUCAUCAUGACAUAUUCAUCAUUGUCAUAUUGCUUAGCAUGAUCAUGUAGUUGACAUAGUAUUUGUGGCAAAGCCACCGUUCAUAAUUUCUUCAUACUUGUCACUCUUGAUUCAUUGCAUAUCCCGGUACACCGCCGGAGGCAUCCAUAUAGAGUCAUACUUUGUUUUAGAAUCGAGUUGUAAUCAUUGAGUUGUAAAUAAAUAAAAGUGUGAUGAUCAUCAUUCAAUAGAGCAUUGUCCCAAAUGAAAAAAGAGAAAGGCCAAAGAAAAAAAAGAAGGCCCCCCAAAAAAGGGGCAAUACUACUAUCCUUUUUUUCCACACUUGUGCUUCAAAGUAGCACCAUGAUAUAGCGAGUCUCAUAUAUUGUGCUUCAAAGUAGCACCAUGUUCUGCAUAUAGAGAGUCUCAUAUGUUUUCACUUUCAUAUACUAGUGGGAAUUUUUCAUUAUAAAACUUGGCUUGUAUAUUCCAAUGAUGGGCUUCCUCAAAAUUGCCCUAGGUCUUCGUGAGCAAGCAAGUUGGAUGCACACCCACUAGUUUCUUUUGUUGAGCUUUCAUACAUUUAUAGCUCUACUGCAUCAGUUGCAUGGCAAUCCCUACUCACUCACAUUGAUAUCUAUUGAUGGGCAUCUCCAUAGCCCGUUGAUACGCCUAGUUGAUGUGAGACUAUCUUCCCCUCCUUUUGUCUUCUCCACAACCACCCUUCUAUUCCACCUAUAGUGCUAUAUCCAUGGCUCAUGCUCAUGUAUUGCUUGAAGAUUGAAAAAGUUUUGAAAAAGUUAGAGUAUGAAACAAUUGCUUGGCUUGUCAUCGGGGUUGUGCAUGAUUUGAAUACUUUGUGUGGUGAAGAUGGAGCAUAGCCAGACUAUAUAAUUUUGUAGGGAUAACUUUCUUUGGCCAUGUUAUUUUGAGAAGACAUAAUUGCUUUGUUAGUAUGCUUGAAGUAUUAUUAUUUUUAUGUCAAUAUAAACUUUUGUCUUGAAUCUUUCUAAUCUGAAUAUUCAUACCACAAUUAAGAAGAUUUGCAUUGAAAUUAUGCCAAGUAGCACUCCGCAUCAAAAAUUCACUUUUUAUCAUUUACUUACUCGAGGACGAGCAGGAAUUAAGCUUGGGGAUGCCUGAUACGUCUCCAACGUAUCUAUAAUUUUUGAUUGCUCCAUGCUAUAUUAUCUACUGUUUUGGACUAUAUUGGGCUUUAUUUUCCACUUUUACAUUAUUUUUGGGACUAACCUAUUAACCGGAGGCCCAUCCCAGAAUUGAUGUUUUUUGCCUAUUUCAGUGUUUCGAAGAAACGGAAUAUCAAACGGAAUAAAAUCUUCGGAAACGUGAUUUUCUCACCGAAUGUGAUCUAGGAGACUUGGACCCUGCUCCAAGGAACAAAAGAGGUGGUCACGAGGGUGGGCCCCCCCCUAGGGCGCGCCCCCUACCUCGUGGGCCCCUCGUUGCUCCUCCGGCGUACUUCUUCCUCCUAUAUAUACACACGUACCCCAAAACGAUCAGAACAGGAGCCAAAAACCUAAUUCCACCACCGCAACUUUCUGUAUCCACGAGAUCCCAUCUUGGGGCCUGUUCCGGAGCUCCGCCGGAAGGAGGCCGUCAUCACGGAGGGCUUCUACAUCAUCCUAGCCCCUCCGAUGAAGUGUGAGUAGUUUACCUCAGACCUUCGGGUCCAUAGUUAGUAGCUAGAUGGCUUCUUCUCUCUCUUUGAAUCUCAAUACAAAGUUCUCCCCCUCUCUUGUGGAGAUCUAUUCGAUGUAAUCUUCUUUUUGCGGUGUGUUUGUUGAGACCGAUGAAUUGUGGGUUUAUGAUCAAGUCUAUCUAUGAAUAAUAUUUGAAUCUUCUCUGAAUUCUUUUAUGUAUGAUUGGUUAUCUUCGCAAGUCUCUUCGAAUUAUCCGUUUGGUUUGGCCAACUAGAUUGGUAGUUCUUGCCAUGGGAGAAGUGCUUAGCUUUGGGUUCGAUAUUGCGGUGUCCUUACCCAGUGACAAAAGGGGCAGCAAGGCACGUACUGUAUCGUUGCCAUCGAGGAUAACAAGAUGGGGUUUAUUUCAUAUUGCAUGAAUAUAUCUCUCUACAUCAUCUCAUCUUGCUUAAGGCGUUACUCUGUUUUUAACUUAAUACUCUAGAUGCAUGCAGGAUAGCGGCCGAUGAGUGGAGUACUAGUAGUAGAUGCAGAAUCGUUUCGAUCUACUUGUCACGGACGUGAUGCCUAUAUACAUGAUCAUGCCUAGAUAUUCUCAUAACUAUGCUCAAUUCUGUCAAUUGCUCAACAACAAUUUGUUCACCCACCGUAGAAUACUUAUGCUCUUGAGAGAAGCCACUAGUGAAACCUAUGGCCCCCGGGUCUAUUCUCAUCAUAUCAAUCUCCAUCACUUUAAUCUUGCUUUGCUUUUUUACUUUGCUUUUACUUUUUACUGUGCAUCUUUAUACCAAAAAUACCAAAAAUAUUAUAUCUAUCAGAUCUCACUCUCGUAAGUGACCGUGAAGGGAUUGACAACCCCUAAUCGCGUUGGUUGCGAGUAGCUAUCGCUUUGUGUAGGUACGAGGGACUUGAGCGUGGCCUCCUACUGGAUUGAUACCUUGGUUCUCAAAAACUGAGGGAAAUACUUACGCUACUCUGCUGCAUCAUCCCUUCCUCUUCGGGAAAACAAACGCAAGCUCAAGACGUAGCAUAAAUACUUAGUGUGCACCCACUACACCAACCUUGGAUCUCAUUUCGUAAAUAUUAAGGACGCACUACCUUCAACAUGAGCACUAUAUAUAUAUAUCCAUCUAGUUGUCUUGUGGUCUUCCUCCUAUGACAUCCCGCCUACACCAUCUUUUAGAUGCCAAGACUUAAGAGGAAAAGGAAGUAGCGGCACUUAGGAUGUAUGAACUACACACAUGUAGCAUGUUUGGAAUAGGAGGCUUCCAUGAAUAUGUUCAUCCUAGCAACAAGUAACCUGGUGUAAUUGACCUAACUACGAACAACAUGAAAGGCGCCACAACUAGACAGUGAAUUGGUCGUGGAGGUAGUGUCACGUCAGAAAGAAAAACGAGGGAUGCAUCUUGAGAAGACAAUAAGAAGACAUGUGCCUUGUCGCACCGUCUUCUCUACCACAUUUUUUUAUCUGGUUGUACUUUUUCAUGGGAUGAUCUUUUUUGGGCCUUUAAUCUUUUUAGGUCCCAAUCGACAAAAUUCUAUGCCAAUGUGGAUACAAAACAAAGUCCAUGUGAAUUAGGCCGACCAAAAACAUAAUAUAUACAACCACUAGCAGGACAUGCACUCCAUGACUAUAAGAUAAGCUAUGCUCUUUUUGAACAACUGUGUUAAACUAGCGAAAGUAAGAAUAGUUGAACAAGCACGAAAGAUUGUCCCCUAGAGACCUGCCUAGCCAGAUCAAAACAUGCAGGGUGUUAUGUACUUCCACGUCACCUCACUUUUUUUUGAGGUGGUUCUUAGGCGUGCACAUCCGACAAGAUAGUGAACAAUUGCUACAUGCCCCUCUGCCUUUAGCCUAUGCGAUGAUGAUAGCUUACCCAUGUCACCGCUGCAAGUCGAUCAGUAUUUAAUUGCAUCCGAUCAACCUUUUGUUGAUCUUCUCUUCUAAGAAAGAUCAAGGUUGUGGUGAACAUAUAGGGUCGGUAGACUGCUCGUUGGCGAGCAACAAAUAUAAUGGCGUGAGACAGGCACCACCUUCCAUGUCUAUGUUGUUGCACUUGUUAUAUUUUUAAGUCAUUCAUUUCAUUGCUAGUUAUGAGGGUGCUUGUGAAUGCCCCUUCCCUCCUUGAAGGCACUUCCCUCAACACUGGGUCGUGUCAUGGUGGUUGUUUGAACGGCCAGAUCUUUUGCGAUGUUCGAUGGGUUGAUAAUGCGCGGGUCCUAGCAAAAGUUUGUGGACGACUAGAGUCGAUGUCAGUGACGAUGGUAUCCAUGUGCGUUGCUUCCAUUCUUGGAGGUGUAUUGAAGACCUCGCUCUCAAUCGUUCCGGGUGGGCACCAUGUUAGGUGAUGGUGUUCUAUUUGGAUGGACUUUAGGGUUGUGUUUUUCUCCCUUGCUCAGUGUGGUUUUUGGCCUAGUUUCCCUUAUGAAUAUAUACUUUGUAUUUUUCACAUUUUCCUAUCUUAUUAAAUUGGUAGAGCCCCUGCAUUGCAUGAGUAGAUCACUAAUUUCAGCAUGCAUGUGAUUCUUCUUGUACAAGACAGAUGGAACAACAAUUGAAAUGAAUUGCAUUUACACUUCAAAUUUGUUACUGAAAGAUAGCACAAUCAUCAAACUGAAGCCUGAAUUCAUAUAUGAAUUUUCAUAGUCCUCAAAUAUAGCACGAUCUUGGUUUAGGAUUUUAUAAAGAUUCUUUUACAUUUGUAUCCCGAACUCAAACCCACUACUCAGAUUUGUCCCUAAUUUUGAAGCCUGCUCAAAUUUGCCCCUCUGUCAUUAGGUGCCCUUACAGAAAUGCCCUUCCGCGCCAUUAACGUCCGGUCAAAGCAAAACAAAAAUAAAAAAAUCUGAAAUUUUGUGGGAUCAAAGAUACUCAGGUGUGCAAGGUGCAUGCAAAUUUUUGUGCUAUUUAGACAUACCAGGAGCUCGUGGCAAAGGAAAACAAUAAAUCUGUACGCCUAUGAAUAGUAAAUUAAAAAAAUUGGAAGAAAAUUCAAAAAUUAAGAAUUUUUUUGGCAUGCAAGAUGCUCGGGUGCACAAGUAUGUGCAAAAUUUUGAUGUGUUCGUACAUUGUAGGAGCUUGUGGAGAAAAAAAAAUUUGGCUUGUUAAAAAACUUUGGAAAAAUACACUAUUUUGGAAAGGAGCUGUGAUUUUAGUAGUUUUGUAGAUAUCAAAGAUAUUUCCAGCCCUUAUAAAAAAUAAUAAAAGGACAACACAUAAACAAAGAGAGGAGCACACCUUAGCAUAGACCGCACAGUCGUCAGAAAGGGAAGGACAUAUAAUCCAUUCACUCAUGUUUGCUGAAGAUUAGAGAGGCCUAGUCAUUCAUUCAUCAUUCUCAUUGUUGUAGCCAUGUGAUUCCCAUUUUACCGGAUGCGAGGACCAUUGAAUUGAAUCACAUUUACACUUCCAUCCUUUUAUUAAAAUAUAGUAGUGUACAACGACCAUCUAAUUGGAUGUGAAUUCGUAUAUGAUAGUUCUUUUUUUUGUUUGCAGGGACGUAUAUGAUAUUUCAUUGUACUAAAAGUAUGGUCAAGAUUUGUGCUUUGUAAGUAUUUAAUGCACACUCACCAUACGAACCUCCAAUCUUAUUCUCUAAAUAUUAGGGAUCCGCACUUCCUUCAAUAUUAGCUCGAUAUAUAUCUAUCAAGUUGUCAUGAGUCUUCUUCCUAUGGCCUCCGGCUUACACCAUCUUUCAAAUAUCGAGACUUAGCAGGAAGAGGAAGCAAUUACACUAGUAGAAAAAGGGGCUUUGGUUCGGCCAGAAAAGAGCAUUAAUACCGGUUGUAUUAUGAACCGGGACUAAUGUGAGCAUUAUUCCCGGUUCAAGGGGCGAUGGCAUGGUACAGACAUUACUCCCGGUUCAAAUGGGACCUUUAGUCCCGGUUCGUGCCACGAACUGGUACUAAAGGGUGCAAUGCCCAUUAGUACCGGUUCGUGGCACAAACCGGUACUAAAGGUCUAACCUUUAGUACCGGUUCGUACCACGAACCGGUACUAAUGGGGUUGAGACCUUUAGUACCGGUUCGUGCCACGAACCGGUACUAAUGGUGCAAUUUUCAAAUCCUCCCCCCUGUAUCGCCUUUUUCAGUUUUGUAAAAAGCAAAAGAAAAUGAUAAAAACUUCAAAAGUUAAAAUCCUUCGAGAUGUAGUUAUGUUACCACAUCUACUACUUAGGAAAAUUUUGAAACUUAAAUUUGGACAUGUUUUGCAAAAAGUGUAGGGAAAAUGUAAAACGGCUAUAGCUUUUGCAUACGAUGUAAAAAAACAUAUAAUAUCAAAAUGUUCAACAUGAAAAUCCGCAUUCGAUUUUGACUGCCUACGGCCUAUUUGCAAAAUUUUAGAAUCCUCAGAUUCCAAAAGGAAAAAAGUUAUGCUCAAAUUUCAGUUUUUUUAAAAAAUUCGUUAAAUCUGGUCAAACUAUGGUCAAACUACUUAUUCAAGAAUUAUUAGUGUUACUAAAUAAUUAUUCAAGAAUAUUAGUGUUACUAAAUAAUUAUUUCAGUUUUUUUGAAUUUCGGUCAAAUCUGAUCAAACUGUGGUCAAACAAUGGUCAAAUUACUUAUUCAAGAAAUAUUUGUGUUACUAAAUAAUUAUUGUUUUUUAGAACAAUAGAUUCAAACUCAAAUAGUGAAAUGUGUGACUUCAUGCUCAAGCUAAACUCCCAAGGGUUAAUAGGAUUGACAUCUUACUAUUGUCAGGAAAACAACAAGUGCAGACUUGGAAACAAGGGAGAAUAGAACCCAGAAGUUAAGCGUGCUCAGGCUGGGGGAGUGGGAGGAUGGGUGACCGUUCAGGAAGUUAGAUGGUUUGGAAUGAUGAGGGGGUGAUUGAAGAUUAAAUUGAGCAGUGAUGAGGGAUGAUUAGAGAUUAGAGGUUAAAAUAAUUAAGAAAUUGGAAAAUCCGGAAAAAAACUAAAAAAAGAUUUCAACAAAAUCCUUUAGUACCUGUUGGUGUUACCAACCGGGAUUAAAGGUGGACCUCCAGGAAGCAGCCACGUGGAGGGCCUUUAGUCCCGGUUCGUAUAAAAACCGGACUAAAGGGGGGGACCUUUAGUAACGACCCUUUAGUCCCGGUUCCAGAACCGGGACUAAAGGCUCUCUAGAACCGGGACAAAAUGCCCUUUUUCUACUAGUGUUGCACUUUAACCUAGGAGUUAGACACACAUAGCGUGUUUGGAAUAGUAGUACUAGUAGGCAUCUAAGAAUAUGUGCAUUCACGUGUUCUUAAGGGUUGUGUAACCGACCUAAUUACGAUCAUCAUGGCAGGCAUAACACUUAGACAGAAGAUAUCUGCUACAUGAAGCAUAGUUUACGAAGAGAAAAUAGGGAUGCACGUUGAGAAGACUAGAAUCAGACAUGCUCCUUUCCACGCCGUUUUCUCUGGAGAAUUUUUCAUUUAUUAUUUUGGAGUUUCAUACUCCUCUACUGUACAUUUUUCUAUCGGUUAUUGUUACCUGCCUUUUUUUACAUCUUUUAUUGAGCAGCGUGCUCAGGCUGGGGGAGUGGGAGGAUGGCUGACCGUUCGGGAAGUUAGAUGAUUUGGAAUGAUGAGGGGGUGAUUGAAGAUUAAAUUGAGCAGUGAUGAGGGAUGAUUAGAGAUUAGAGGUUAAAAUAAUUAAGAAAUUGGAAAAUCCAGAAAAAAAACUAAAUUUUUUUUCAACAAAAUCCUUUAGUACCGGUUGGUGUUACCAACCGGGAUUAAAGGUGGACCUCCAGGAAGCAGCCACGUGGAGGGCCUUUAGUCCCGGUUCGUAUAAGAACCGGACUAAAGGGGGGGACCUUUAGUAACGAGCCUUUAGUCCCGGUUCCAGAACCGGGACUAAAGGCCCUCUAGAACCGGGACAAAAUGCCCUUUUUCUACUAGUGUUACACUUUAACCUAGGAGUUAGACACACAUAGCGUGUUUGGAAUAGUAGUACUAGUAGGCAUCUAAGAAUAUGUGCAUUCACGUGUUCUUAAGGGUUGUGUAACCGACCUAAUUACGAUCAUCAUGGCAGGCAUAACACUUAGACAGAAGAUAUCUGCUACAGGAAGCAUAGUUUACGAAGAGAAAAUAGGGAUGCACGUUGAGAAGACUAGAAUCAGACGUGCUCCUUUCCACGCCGUUUUCUCUGGAGAAUUUUUCAUUUAUUAUUUUGGAGUUUCAUACUCCUCUAUUGUACAUUUUUCUAUCGGUUGUUGUUACCUGCCUUUUUUUACAUCUUUUAUUGAGCAGCGUGCUCAGGCUGGGGGAGUGGGAGGAUGGCUGACCGUUCGGGAAGUUAGAUGAUUUGGAAUGAUGAAGGGGUGAUUGAAGAUUAAAUUGAGCAGUGAUGAGGGAUGAUUAGAGAUUCGAGGUUAAAAUAAUUAAGAAAUUGGAAAAUCCGGAAAAAAACUAAAAAAAAAAUUCAACAAAAUCCUUUAGUACCGGUUGGUGUUACCAACCGGGAUUAAAGGUGGACCUCCAGGAAGCAGCCACGUGGAGGGCCUUUAGUCCCGAUUCGUAUAGGAACCGGACUAAAGGGGGGGACCUUUAGUAACGAGCCUUUAGUCCCGGUUCCAGAACCGGGACUAAAGGCCCUCUAGAACCGGGACAAAAUGCCCUUCUUCUACCAGUGUUACACUUUAACCUAGGAGUUAGACACACAUAGCGUGUUUGGAAUAGUAGUACUAGUAGGCAUCUAAGAAUAUGUGCAUUCACGUGUUCUUAAGGGUUGUGUAACCGACCUAAUUACGAUCAUCAUGGGAGGCAUAACACUUAGACAGAAGAUAUUUGCUACAGGAAGCAUAGUUUACGAAGAGAAAAUAGGGAUGCACGUUGAGAAGACUAGAAUCAGACAUGCUCCUUUCCACGCCGUUUUCUCUGGAGAAUUUUUCAUUUAUUAUUUUGGAGUUUCAUACUCCUCUACUGUACAUUUUUCUAUCGGUUGUUGUUACCUGCCUUUUUUUACAUCUUUUAUUGAGCAGCGUGCUCAGGCUGGGGGAGUGGGAGGAUGGCUGACCGUUCGGGAAGUUAGAUGAUUUGGAACGAUGAGGGGGUGAUUGAAGAUUAAAUUGAGCAGUGAUGAGGGAUGAUUAGAGAUUCGAGGUUAAAAUAAUUAAGAAAUUGGAAAAUCCAGAAAAAAAACUAUUUUUUUUUUCAACAAAAUCCUUUAGUACCGGUUGGUGUUACCAACCGGGAUUAAAGGUGGACCUCCAGGAAGCAGCCACGUGGAGGGCCUUUAGUCCCGGUUCGUAUAAGAACCGGACUAAAGGGGGGACCUUUAGUAACGAGCCUUUAGUCCCGGUUCCAGAACCGAGAACCGGGACAAAAUGCCCUUUUUCUACUAGUGUUACACUUUAACCUAGGAGUUAGACACACAUAGCGUGUUUGGAAUAGUAGUACUAGUAGGCAUCUAAGAAUAUGUGCAUUCACGUGUUCUUAAGGGUUGUGUAACCGACCUAAUUACGAUCAUCAUGGCAGGCAUAACACUUAGACAGAAGCUAUCUGCUACAGGAAGCAUAGUUUAUGAAGAGAAAAUAGGGAUGCACGUUGAGAAGACUAGAAUCAGACGUGCUCCUUUCCACGCCGUUUUCUCUGGAGAAUUUUUCAUUUAUUAUUUUGGAGUUUCAUACUCCUCUAUUGUACAUUUUUCUAUCGGUUGUUGUUACCUGCCUUUUUUACAUCUUUUAUUUUAUCUUUCAAUCUUUGUAGGUACCGAACAUCAAACCGUCUUUUUGUUGAGCAAAACCGAACUACGAAGCCAAGCUGCCAACACAGAAAGAAAGAAAGAAAUCCCAUGUAUGUGAAUUAAGCCGGCCAAAAUAAAAAUGGCACACAAACAAAAAGCCUACCAUUCAUUAGAUUAUAGCAUAGUGUAUCUAAUUUGAAGGGCACGUCUGAAGUUCCCAUUUCAAGAGGCAAUUGACUUUACCACAGUGAGAGUAGUGACAGUCCAAAUAAAAUGGAAAUCUUCUUAGUAUCCAAUUUUAAAAAUGGCGUAAGAUACACACCCACUCUAUUGCUCAACCAAUGGAUGAUAAACCAAUGCAAGAGGGCUAGGUCUGCAUCACUGCACACAUUGGUAGGACACAACAGUAACAGGCCAGACAUAAUACGAAAUUCUGAAAAAUAGAGCAGGCACCAUACAAUGUUCACAGGCAGAACAAACAACUGGCCUGCCUAAACCACCAGUGCCACUGCAAAAGUUUAAACCUGAUCAACUCCUUGAGGCUUCUUAAUUACGCGUCAUUUACAGCAGAGCUAAGUUGGGCACUGGCAAAAUAAAAUAGGAUAAUCCAAGCACAGAAUUGUUGAUUGGUGUCAUACUAAUAAAAUAGGAUACUUACUAGGUGCCGGGCGGACGUAUACGAGCCUGAACAAGUCUGAAAGUACUUAAGAAGAAGGCCUCGCUGAACAGGUGUGAAAGGUUGGACCCCUGGCCCUGGACACCGACCCGGCCGGAGCAGGCACGCACGGUGCAUUCCGCUUCCGCGUCGACGAGGUAGUGCUUGGACACAUCCGACGAGACAGCCAACAACCCCACCGCCGCCCUAUGCUACUACUAUGUGCUGAUCGGCUGAUGGUUUACCCACGUCGAGGCCGCGAGUCAAUUUAGUGCGUGAUUGCUUUGCUUCCGUCCCGUUGCUCCGUCUUCUCUCCCAAGAAAGAAUCGGGCGGUGGCUGCCAUACAUGGCGACGGUGGGAACACGGCUCGCCGGCCGGCGAUAGAGAUAAUGGCGUGGGCCGGGCACCACCUCGCAUGUCCAUGUUGUUGUAACGCUUGCUAUAUUUCUUGAUGAUACACGUCUUUCAUUCAUUCAUUUACGUCGUUUCAGUCAUGCAUGUGACCUCCUUAGAGCAUCUACAGUCGAAGAGCACAAAUGUGCCCCCCCCCUCCUCUCAAACGUCUACAGACGCGUCCACGAGUAGUGACCGUGGGCUCCUCAAAAUAGCGUCGUCCACAUCCGUGUAUCUCAUAUCCGAUCCCUAAUGUUCGUACUAAACCAUGCAACGUCGACUAAACUACGUAGAUCAGCAAAUGAACACAGACAAGCACAAUACUUUUAUCAAAAGAUCGGAUGUUCAAACGACCACCAAAGUUCACAUAAACGAUAGACAACUUGAAACUACAUCUAAAACAUGAAACUAAAUUGAAGAAAAGCGGAUCUUUGCCACUUCUGGGACGGCCCCUUCCCCUUCCGGUCAUCGGCGACUGGUGGAGGAUUGUCCGAGUCGUCGGACGAGGAGCGCACCGUUGUCGUCGUCGUUGGAGGAGGAGACAAUGAUGAGGCCCUUGAGGCGCUGGACGGCCAGGUCCUGCUGCCGCUUGAGCUUUGCCAGCCGAGCCACCUCCGUCGCCUUCUCUUUAGCCUCACGCCGGAAUACUGGAUAGCUAAUCGGAGAGCCUUCACAUUCUUUUUGCGGAGCCGCCGAGCGUCUGUCUCCGCUGUUAUAAGCGACCGACGGUAGACCCACGUGAGGAGCCUCUCGUCCUCAUUGGGCUCCGCGGGUAACCCGCAGUGGCGGCGGACAGAGCUCUCCACCGGUCCCUUCCCCUUGACUGCUGCCUCUUGCGUCGGGCAGCGCGCACCUCUGACUCCGGCAUGCGUGUCCGGGCCGACGGGGCGGGCACAAGCAACCACCGCUGCCCGCGUGGGGGAGCAGUAGGCGGCGGGACCAGGGGAUGACAGUGGGGAGGCACGGACUGCGCAGCCCGCGUGGAGCCAAGCGCGGGCCGGGAGGAGCCAGCGUCGGCUUCCUUGCUGCGGCGGCGGGGGAAAGGCGAGGCCCAUCUAAAACAGUCACCCGUCACUAGUAGAAAAGGAGGCAAAGGUCCAGGCCGGGUCAGCCCAUUAGUCCCGGUUCAGUCCAGAACCGGGACCAAUGGGGGCAUUGGACCCGGUUCGUGAGCCCAGGGGGCCGGCCGGGCCAUGUGGGCCAUUGGUCCCGGUUCGUCUGGACCUUUUGGUCCCGGUUGGUGGGACGAACCGGGACCAAUGGGCCUCGCUCCUGGCCCACCACCAUUCGUCCCGGUUGGUGGCUUGAACCGGGACCAAAGGCUCCCCUUUAGUCCCGGUUCAUGUCACCAACCGGGACCAAUGAGGUGCCUAUAUAUACCCCCUCACGUAAGAGCAGAGCACACUGCUCUGUUUUUUCUGGCCGAGGGGGAGAGGGCUUGGUGGUGCUCUAGCUCACCUCCUAUGCACAUAAGGUGUUCGAUGGAAUGCCCGAGCCACACUACUUAAGCUUUCUCCUCUCUAAGCUCGACCUCCAAGCUCCAUUUUCCUCAAUAUUUGUCUAGGUUUAGCGGUCCGUCACGCCCCGUCCCCGUCUUCACCGCCAUCGAUCACCCGCGCCGAGCUCAUCGCCGGCACCACCGUGGUGAGCCUCUUGUUCUUAUCUUCUUUCUGAAAGGAAAAAUAUUCUUACUUGUAUGUUUACAUAGAUACUUGUAUUAUUUUCUUACUUUUAUUAUUGCAUCUUAUAUAGUGUGAUGGUUUUGGUAUCCGCCCCCGUCGACCCUCGUCCUGUCUAUGAUUCGGAUGUGGUAUAUAUAUUAUCUUUAUAACUAUUGGUUCAUUUAUUGUUUAUGAAAAUUAUGCCGACCAACGUGACAUAGAUUUUAUUUAUGUAGGAUGUAUGUGAAUCGGAAAUUCCAACCGACCCUAUUGUCGAGAGGUUAAAUUUAGUUGAAGAAGAAAACAAUUUGUUGAAGGAAAAAAUAAAAAAAAUUAAGGAGGAGAAGAUGAUAUUGGAGUUGCAUGUUGCGGAUGUCGUCGAUGAUCACAAGAUCAAGAUGGAUGCGAUGCGCUUGAAGAUUAGAAAGAUUAGAAAAUAUGCCAUUCAUACCGAGGCUUGGUAUCAUUAUGCCGUUGGAUCAAUUGUUACCUUGGUUGUGAUUAUGAUCACAUUUGUUUUCGCAUUGAAAUGUUUUACAUAGUUUCAAUGUAUGAUUUAAUUAAUUAGAUGCUCUGGAGAGCUAUAUGUUGUUAGAUGAGAACUAUGUAUGUACUUUGGUUUUAAUGUGAUGAUGAACUUCUAUUAAUUUGGACACUUAAUUAUAUACAAUGCACGCAGAUGAACCGACAAUGGAUGUACGGUGACAGACACACCUCCGAGUACAUUAAGGGCGUGCAUGAGUUUCUCGAUGCGGCUGAGGCAAACAAGAAGAAUGGUUUGAUGUGUUGUCCAUGCACUGAAUGUGGGAAUACGAGGUCUUACUCUAACCGGAAAAUCCUUCACUCCCACCUGCUUUACAAGGGUUUCAUGCCACACUAUAAUGUUUGGACGAGGCACGGAGAAAUAGGGGUUAUGAUGGAAGACGGUGAAGAAGAAGAGUACGAUGACAACUAUGUGCCCCCUGAAUAUGGUGAUGCUGCAACGGGGGGAGCUGGUGAAGAUCAAGAGGAACCAGACGAUGUGCCCAAUGAUGCUGCAACGGGUGAAGCUGCUAAAGAUCAAGAGAAAACAGACGAUGUGCCCGAUGAUGAUGAUUUCCGCCGGGUCAUUGUUGAUGUAAGGACGCAAUGCGAAAGUCAAAAGAAGAAGCUGAAGUUCAAUCGCAUGUUAGAGGAUCACAAAAAAGGGUUGUACCCCAAUUGCGAAGAUGGCAACACAAAGCUUGGUACCGUACUGGAAUUGCUGCAGUGGAAGGCAGAGAAUGCUGUGCUUGACAAAGGAUUUGAGAAGCUACUGAAAAUAUUGAAGAAGAAGCUUCCAAAGGAUAACGAAUUGCCCAACAGUACAUACGCAACAAAGAAUGUCGUAUGCCCUCUAGGAUUGGAGGUGGAGAAGAUACAUGCAUGCCCUAAUGACUGCAUCCUCUACCGCGGUGCAUACAAGGAUCUGAACGCAUGCCCGGUAUGCGGUGCAUUGCGGUAUAAGAUCAGACGAGAUGACCCUGGUGAUGUUGACGGCAAGCCCCCCAGGAAGAGGGUUCCUGCGAAGGUGAUGUGGUAUGCUCCUAUAAUACCACGGUUGAAACGUUUGUUCAGAAACGAAGAGCAUGCCAAGUUGAUGCGAUGGCACAGUGAGGACCGUAAGAAAGACGGGAAGUUGAGAGCACCCGCUGACGGGGCGCAGUAGGGAAAAUCGAGAGAAAGUACUGGGAUGAGUUUGCAAAGGACCCAAGGAACGUAUGGUUUGCUUUAAGCGCGGAUGGCAUUAAUCCUUUCGGGGAGCAGAGCAGCAAUCACAGCACCUGGCCCGUGACUCUAUGUAUGUAUAACCUUCCUCCUUGGAUGUGCAUGAGGCGAAAGUUCAUUAUGAUGCCAGUUCUCAUCCAAGGCCCUAAGCAACCCGGCAACGACAUUGAUGUGUACCUAAGGCCAUUAGUUGAAGAACUUUUACAGGUGUGAAAUGGAAAUAGUGUACGUACGUGGGAUGAGCACAGACAAGAGGAAUUUAACCUAAAGGAGUUGCUGUUCGUGACCAUCAACGAUUGGCCCGCUCUCAGUAACCUUUCAGGACAGACAAACAAAGGAUACCACGCAUGCACGCACUGUUUAGAUGACACUGAAAGUAUAUACUUGGAAAAAUGUAGGAAGAAUGUGUACCUGGGCCAUCGUCGAUUUCUUCCGACCAACCAUCAAUGUCGAAAGAAAGGCAAGCAUUUCAAAGGCGAGGCAGAUCACCGGAAGAAGCCCGCCAUGCGUAUCGGUGAUCACGUACUUGCUAUAGUCAAUGAUUUAUACGUAAUCUUUGGAAAGGGUCCCGGCGGACUAGUUGUUCCGAAUGACGCUGAGGGACGCACACCCAUGUGGAAGAAGAAAUCUAUAUUUUGGGACCUACCCUACUGGAAAGACCUAGAGGUCCGCUCUUCAAUCGACGUGAUGCACGUGACGAAGAACCUUUGCGUGAACCUGCUAGGCUUCUUGGGCGUGUAUGGGAAGACAAAAGAUACACCUGAGGCACGGGAGGACCUGCAACGUUUGCACGAAAAAGACGGCAUGCCUCCGAAGCAGUAUAAAGGUCCUGCCAGCUACGCUCUUACGAAAGAAGAGAAAGAAAUCUUCUUUGAAUGCCUGCUCAGUAUGAAGGUCACGACCGGCUUCUCGUCGAAUAUAAAGGGAAUAAUAAAUAUGCCAAAGAAAAAGUUUCAGAACCUAAAGUCUCAUGACUGCCACAUGAUUAUGACGCAACUGCUUCCGGUUGCAUUGAGGGGGCUUCUACCGAAAAACGUCCGAUUAGCCAUUGUGAAGCUAUAUGCAUUCCUCAAUGCAAUCUCUCAGAAGGUGAUCGAUCCAGAAAUCAUACCAAGGGUAAGGAGUGAUGUGGCGCAAUGUCUUGUUAAUUUCGAGCUGGUGUUCCCACCACCCUUCUUCAAUAUCAUGACGCACGUGCUAGUUCAUCUAGUCCACGAGAUUGUCGUUCUGGGGCCCGUAUUUCUACACAAUAUGUUCCCCUUUGAGAUGUUCAUGGGAGUCCUAAAGAAAUAUGUCCGUAACCGCGCUAGGCCAGAAGGAAGCAUCUCCAUGGGCCAUCAAACAGAGGAUGUUAUCGGGUUUUGUGUUGACUUCAUUCCCGGCCUUAAGAAGAUAGGUCUCCCUAAACCACGGUAUGAGGGGAGACUGACUGAAAAAGGCACUCUUGGAAGUGACUCAAUAAUAUGCAGGGACGAAUAUUCUUGGUCUCAAGCACACUACACAGUUCUACAGAACUCUACCUUGGUGACCCCAUAUGUCAAUGAACACAAGAACAGUCUUUGCUCCAAACACCCGGAGCAGUGCGACGACUGGAUUACAUGUGAACACAUCAGGACUUUCAGCAGUUGGUUGGAAACACGUCUCAGAGGUGACAACACUGUUUGUGAUGAGAUGUACUUGUUCUCCAGGGGACCAUGUUUGACUGUAUUGACUUACAAAGGAUACAAGAUAAAUGGGAAUACAUUUUACACGAUCGCCCAAGAUCAAAAGAGCACCAACCAAAACAGCGGUGUCCGCUUUGAUGCAGCAACCAAGAGUGAAAAGGACACAUAUUAUGGUUACAUAGUGGACAUAUGGGAACUUGACCACGGACAUGAUUUUAAGGUCCCUUUGUUUAAGUGCAAAUGGAUCAAUCUGUCAGGAGGCGGGGUACAGGUAGACCCACAGUACGGAAUGACAACAGUGGAUCUGAAAAAUCUUGGGUACACUGACGAACCGUUCGUCCUAGCCAAUGAUGUGGCACAGGUUAUCUAUGUUAAGGACAUGUCUACCAAACCGAGAAAAAGAAAAGAUAAGGAAGCGAAUAUAUCAUACGAUGAGCCAAAGCGCCACAUAGUUCUUUCAGGAAAAAGGGACAUCCUGGGAGUGGAGGGCAAGACAAACAUGUCUGAAGAUUAUGAAAAGUUUCAUGAAAUUCCUCCCUUCAAUGUCAAGGCUGACCCAAGCAUCCUGAUAAAUGAUGAAGAUUAUCCAUGGUUACGGCGCAAUAAGCAAAUGACACAAGCGAAGAAAAAGUGAAGACUUUCUCCCGCAACUAUUAUGAUGAUACCAUGCCAACUUUGUAACACAUGAGUAUGCUAUGCCAACUUUUUCAGAGUUCAUUUAAAAACUAUGAAUUUAGGUCGAAUUUUCUCUAUGGAUGCAUCUAUGUUCAUUUUUUUAGUAAAGUUAAUCACGAACUUGUGAUUCACACAAAUUUCAAAGAAUUCAAAUUUUAACUAUUCAAAUUUGAAAACUAAUGGCACUAACAGAAAGUUUAUAAUUUUUCUAAAACUAAUGGCACUAACAGAAAGUUUAUAAUUUUGCUGACCUAAAAGCAAAAAGAAUUAAAAAAUAAAGCAAAAAACAAAAGAAAAUAAAUAAUACAGAAAACAAAACAAAAAAACUGNNNNNNNNNNNNNNNNNNNNNNNNNNNNNNNNNNNNNNNNNNNNNNNNNNNNNNNNNNNNNNNNNNNNNNNNNNNNNNNNNNNNNNNNNNNNNNNNNNNNNNNNNNNNNNNNNNNNNNNNNNNNNNNNNNNNNNNNNNNNNNNNNNNNNNNNNNNNNNNNNNNNNNNNNNNNNNNNNNNNNNNNNNNNNNNNNNNNNNNNNNNNNNNNNNNNNNNNNNNNNNNNNNNNNNNNNNNNNNNNNNUUGUAAGUAGAAAAAAAUAAAAUAAAUAAAGCAACAAAGAAAACAAAAAACUAAAAAGGUGUUUUCAAAUUUGAAAACUAAUGGCACUAACAGAAAGUUUAUAACUUUUCUAAACUAAAAGCAAAAAGAAUUAAAAAAUGAAGCAAAAAACAAAAGAAAAUAAAUAAUGCAGAAAACAAAACAAAAAAACUGGAAAAAAUAGGGCUCGCCCCUGGCCCAAGACCAUUAGUCCCGGUUUGUGCCACAAACCGGGACUAAAGGAUUGGUCCUCGUUGUGCUCAGAGUUUAGUCCCACCUCGCCAACCGAAGGGCGCCCACACCGGUUUAUAAGCCCGUCCCUCUCUGCCUUGUUGAGCUCCUCUCAAAGUGAAAAUAGAUGCACCUAUACAGGGAAUUUGACCUAAAUUCAUAAUGAAUUUCUCUGAAAUUCAUAAAAAUUGAUUAUGAAUUUAGGUUAAAUUUUCUCUAUAGGUGCAUCUAUGUUCAUUUUUUAGUAAAGUUAAUCACAAACUUGUGAUUCACACAAAUUUAAAAAAAUUCAAAUUUAAACUAUUCAAAUUUUAAAACUAAUGGCACUAACAGAAAAUUUAUAAUUUUUGUGACCAAAAAGAAAAAAGAAAUCACUAAAAAACUAUAAGUAUUUAGUUCUAAGUAGAAAUGAAAAAAUAAAUAGCAAAAAAGAAAAAAAAUGCCUAUAAUAUUUGUUAUGACUAACUAAAAUUACCAAAUUGAGUAUAAUGAUAAAACACAGUAAUAUUAAAUAGCAGGAAAAAGAAUGACUCAAAAAAUCNNNNNNNNNNNNNNNNNNNNNNNNNNNNNNNNNNNNNNNNNNNNNNNNNNNNNNNNNNNNNNNNNNNNNNNNNNNNNNNNNNNNNNNNNNNNNNNNNNNNNNNNNNNNNNNNNNNNNNNNNNNNNNNNNNNNNNNNNNNNNNNNNNNNNNNNNNNNNNNNNNNNNNNNNNNNNNNNNNNNNNNNNNNNNNNNNNNNNNNNNNNNNNNNNNNNNNNNNNNNNNNNNNNNNNNNNNNNNNNNNNNNNNNNNNNNNNNNNNNNNNNNNNNNNNNNNNNNNNNNNNNNNNNNNNNNNNNNNNNNNNNNNNNNNNNNNNNNNNNNNNNNNNNNNNNAAUAGCAGAAAAAUGCCUAUAAUAUUUGUUAUGACUAACUAAAAUUAUCAAAUUGAGUAUAAUGAUAAAACACAGUAAUAUUAAAUAGCAGGAAAAAGAAUGACUCAAAAAUCAAUUUUUAUAGUAAAGUUAUUCAUAAACUAGUGAUUCACGCAAAUUUAAAAAAAAAUUCAAAUUUAAACUAUUCAAAUUUUAAAACUAAUGGCACUAACAGAAAGUUUAUAAUUUUUGUGACCUAAAAGAAAAAAGAAAUCACUAAAAAACUAUAAGUAUUUAGUUCUAAGUAGAAAUGAAAAAAUAAAUAGCAAAAAAAUGCCACCUACUGGGCCAGCGCGGCUUGAAUACGACUAGAAACCCAACCAUGGGCCAGGAUUCAGGCCCGCAGCAGGCCCAGUAGGCCCACAGGCAUUGCAGUGUCUCAUUAGGCCCGUAAGCUUGCAGUUCGGAGGAGUUCGAAAGGGAACACAGAGAAAGACUUAUAAACAGGUGCGGGAGCACUUCAGCUAGCGAGGUGGGACUAAACUCCCACCACCGCGCCAGCGCAAGGCCAUUGGUCCCGGUUGGUGGCACCAACCGGGACUAAACGGGGGCAUUGGUCCCGGUUCGUGGCACAAACCGGGACCAAUGCCCCCUUUAGUCCCGGUUGGUGCCACCAACCGGGACCAAAGGCGGCCGCUUCCCGCCCUUUGGGCUGUUGAAAAGAGGCCUUUGAUCCCGGUUGGUGGCANNNNNNNNNNGCGUCGCGCCCCGACGCCGUCACCUCCCCGCGCCGCCCCGACGCCGUCGCCGCCCCGCCUCUGCCUCGCCGUCGCCUCUGCCUCGCUGCACCCAAGCUGCCCCGUGCCGCCAUCGCCUCUGCAUCGCUUUGGUCAGGGCCGGCACUGCCCCCCUCUUCCCCCUGUUUUUUUGCAAAUAUGUAGAUGUUUUUUUCCUGAUUAUAUGUAUAUGUAUGAGUAUAUGUAUCUGUUUAUAUGUCCUUUUUUUAGAUUUUUUGUUUUUUGCAUUUUUUAUAAAAGUGUAUAUAUGUAUGUAUAUAUGUUCUUUGUGUAUAUAUAUAUGUUCAUGUAUAUAUGCAAAAGAUAGAUUUUUAGAAAAAAUAGUAUUUUUUUCUGUUCAUAGAUUUUUUUGGUGAUAUUGAUUAUUGUAAAUAUGCAAAUGUUUGUAUAUUCAUAUGAACUCUCUCGGAGAAAAAAAUGUUACCGGGGAGAAAAAAAAGUUCUAGGAUCGUCAAGGGGUCGAGAGGGGGUCGAGGGUCGCCGAGGGGUCGAGGGUCGAGAGGGGGUCAACGGUCGCCGAGGGGUCGAGGGUCGAAAGGGGGUCUAGGGUCGCCGAGGGGUCGAGAGUCGUCGAACAUGAGAGGAAGAAGAGUAUAAAAAAAGAAGAGGAAGAAGAAAAAAAAGAGGAUAAGAAAGAAUAGAGGAGUUCUUCUCCUCUAUUCUUUCUUCUCCUCUUUUUUUUCUUCUUCUUCAUCUUUUUUUAUCGGGAACGAGGGUCAUCGAGGGUCGCCGAGCAGUAGAGGAAACUCUAAAUAGCAAGUAUCGUCGGUGUGAGAUACAUGUGGAAACCCUAAAUAGCAAGUAUCAUCGGUGUGGAAACCCUAAAUAACAAGUAUCGUCGGUGUGAGAUACAUGUGGCCAUCGGUGUCGGACACUACAUCCACGUCCCACAAGUGACGCGGGCGCGUCACUUGUGGGACGUGGAUGUAGUGUCCGACACCGACGGCCACAUGUAUCUCACACCGACGAUACUUGCUAUUUAGGGUUUCCACUACCGCUCGGCGACCCUCGACGACCCUCGUUCCCAAUAAAAAAAAGAGGAAGAAGAAGAAAAAAAAGAGGAGAAGAAAGAAUAGAGGAGUAAGAACUCCUCUAUUCUUUCUUCUCCUCUUUUUUCUUCUUCUUCCUCUUCUUUUUUUAUCCUUGAAGUGUUGUUGAGGCCACCCCAAACCCUAGAGAAGCAGCGUCGAGGCCACUAAUUAAUAUUAGUUCUACGUUUGCCACUUAUAUAUCCAUCUGUCAUGUUUGAAUAAUAAUUGCCAUGUUGUAAAUAUUUGUAGAAACUAUGGACACCGCCCGAGACGAAGUACAAGAAGAGUUGUUGGGGGACAUAAUCGCACGAGGAAGUGAUGCCGUCUGCUCGUUGUUUCUCAACGACACCGAUGGACUGGAAGCAGCUGGCUAUGAUUAUGAUGGCUCCGGUGACCCAAUGCCGGUGCAAGAAGGAUACCGUGAGGACGGCUCCGAUGACCCAAGGCCAAUGCAAGGAGACCGUGAUGACGGCUCCGGUGACCGAACCGAGUCCGACCAGGUAUAUAUAUUAGUUAAGCCUGUGCUGACUAGCUAAUUGAUGCAUUCAUUGUUUUGGUAUGUACACAUAUUAAUUAAGUCUUUGUUCUUUUUUCUAGCCCUCUGGAUCUAGCACAACUUCGGUUUAGAGACAAGGCCCGAAGAAAAAGUUGAGCUUAGCUGAAAGGUUUGAGAUCAUAGCAAUCGCGCCCGACGGCCAACCGAUUGAACCCAUUCGGACAAAGAACGCAUUUGUUGCUCAGUGCGGGGUUCUGGUUAGGGACAAGAUCCCGAUCAACAUCCAGCAAUGGUUAAAGUCGGCUACAGAAGACCCUGAUGUGUCUUAUGUCAAUGAUAUGCAGAAAAAUGAUCUUUGGACUUUGCUGAAGUAAAAUUUCACCCUACCGCCAGAGGAUGAUCCGGAGAAGCCAGUUAAAGAGCAAUUAAUCAAGUCUUUUGCUCUUAAGAGGAUGCCAGACCUAUUCAGGAGGUGGAAGAACGAGUUGAAUAAGUUUGUCGAUAAAAAAGAGACACCAGAAUUCAAGGGCAGAUAUGAGAAGAUCAGAGAUCACUGGACCGCAUUUGUGGCCCACAAGACACCGGAAAAGAGUAAGAAGAUGUCGGCGACAAACAAGCAAAAUGCUGCGAAGAAGAAGCAUCACCAUCGCACGGGGUCAGGUGGCUACCUCGUAGCCCGGCCUAAGUGGGCCAAGACUGAGAAUGGUCUGGUUGAUAAAGGGAUCGAACCAGAGACAAUUAACUGGCCAGAGCAUUGCCGGACUUGGUUCUUCGGGGCUGGCGGAAACUUGGACCCUGAAUCAGGGAAGUGCAUUUGGACGGACGAGCAAAUGGAAAUACCAGUCAAGAGGCUUAAGCACUAUAUCGAAGCAGCGCAGCAAGGGACGUUCGUUCCAGACAGAGAGAACGGCGAGCUCACAAUGGCCCUCGGGAAUCCUGAGCACCCUGGACGGACACGAGGCACGCCAGGCUUCAUUCCGUGGAAGGCUGGGUUUCCGGACACAGGCGGUUACAAAUGCCAUGAGAGGAGGAAGAAAGUGGAGCAGACCCAACUGCAGGCACUGCAUGCUAGGGUACAAGCGACAGUGGAGCGAGAAGCAAAUCACAGCAAACGAAAUGCCGAAGCUGCCCCCGAAGCUACCCCGCCAUCUCAGCGGAGAAGCAGCGUGGCUUCCACCUAGCUGCUUCAGCCAGAGCAUGUCUUGACGGCUCCUGCCAGCUAUCCCGUGGAUGCUAUCACGGAAUCUCAAAAUUGCCACCUUAUGACGCAAUGGAUUAAUAUGAAGGUCAAGGCGGCUGUUGGCUUUGUUUUUCCUACUGAAGCCGGCGCAACUUUUCACUGUCGUCCGAUUCCAGAAGGAUAUGCUAGGGUGAUGGUGGAUGAAAUGACGGAGGGAUUUGAGGACCUCCAGCUUGACCACCCUACCGGUGAAGGGGAGACUCGGCUGGGUUCUGCUCUGAAGACUCCAUGCCUAUGGUGGAAGGAGCUCAUCAACCUUCCGAACUGGACGCCUCCGCCUCCUCCUCCUCCUCCGGCGAGUCAGGGCACUCGGCCUCCUCCACCGCCUCCUCCUCCGGCGAGUGACGAUCAGGGCACUCGGCCGGCUCCUUCUCCGGCGCGUGGCGGUACUCCGCCUCCUUCUCUGCCUGCGCCGGCGCGCCCGAGCAGCCAGCCUCCUCCUUCUCCGCCUCGUUAGCAAGGGCGGAAGAGACCUGCCGCCGCUCCGGCGCGUCGUAGUCCUUCUCCUCCACCUCGUAAGCAAGUAAAGAAGAUAGCCGCUCCGUCUGCUCUACCGGCGUCUAGUAGUACAGCCAGAGGCGGGAGGACAUACAGAUUCGGUCCUUCUCUGAAGACUCUAGAGAAGUUACCAUAUGAGAGGACCCCGAAGGAGAAUGCCGAGAUCGCGCGAGAAGAAGUGAGGAAAUUCUUUGAAGGUGUGAAAGCAAGGAAACAUCAACCUCCGGAGGAGAAGGUAGAUCUGGUGAAAGCGAAGCGCACUCUGGCUGCCCUGACAAAACCACCCAAGUCUCCGCCGAAAGGCAACUAUGAGCGCAUUAUUGGAAAGGCAUUUGCCGAAGCGGAGCGGUCGGGAAGUACUGUCAGUGGUCAAAGGCUGAAAGAAUGACGAGCUGGGAAACAAAUUGCCUAGCUCGGCGAACAAGCGAAGCAAUCGUGCCCCCCGCUCAAGGUUCCUAGCGACAUCGUCGCUAAUGAUCCCAGGAUGGUGCCCGGUUAUAGCAAUCUUGGAGAUUACCUGCCCGACGAUGUACAUUAUGAUUUCUUGGAGGUGCAGAUACAAAGACACGAGUACGGGAAGCCUCUCGUCAAAGAUGAAAGAUCUCUAUCAACGAUGAUGCGAAGAUUGCAUGAUUGGUACUUGAAAAUCUGCAGAGAGUCUGGGGGGAGGAAUACUUUGUAUGUGAGUGUUAAAAAGGAGCAUGACCUCGUUGGAAUUGAACUGUUACCUGUUCCAUUUGAGGAGUUCUUUCAGUUUUUCAAUCAAUUGGCCCUCGAUAAAGCAACGAUCACCUGCUACUGUCUGUAAGUAGUACUACUUCUGUCAUUAAGUCUCUCUAUAUAGCUCAGCUCUUUCAUUGCAUGUAUUUAUAAUUAUCAUCACUAUAUUAUGCAGAUUGAAGAUCGUCGAACUGAAGAAAAGACAAAUCGGUGAUAUUGGGUUCAUUAACACAACUCUCAUAGAUGCAACUGAGGUUAAAUUUCAUGCCGCAGAUACCGAGGCCAACUUGCUAUAAUCGUUGGUAAUAAAUGAAAACAAAGAUAUAAUACUCUUUCCUUACAACUUCAAGUGAGUGUUACUGUCUUGUGCAUAUUCGGUUUCCCUUAUAUAUUAGUCAAGGUUAUAGUAAUGUAAUUGAUGAGUUAUGCAUGCGUGUGCAGUUUCCACUAUAUUCUCCUAGAGAUUAAGCUUGAGCAGGGACUAGUAACCGUCUUAGACUCGAGACGAAAAGAUCCCCAGGACUAUGCGGACAUGACUCAAAUGCUCGAGAAGUAAGUUAAAUCGAUCAUUAUCCACCAUAUCAGCAACUUUGUUCAUUUCCUAAUAUAUCAAGUAAUUGUUUUCUUUGUCCGGCAGGGUUUGGAGAAAAUUCAUCAGAAAAGCUCCGGGACUGCCGAAGGAGCUGCAAUUUAGACACCCGAAAGUAAGUACUAUAGUAGCAUGUUCCGCGCAUCUACUAGUGAUUCAAGCGCUAGUUUCAUCAAUACCAUUUGGCAUUCUUGCUUAUCAGUUUGAUUGACCUCUAUUUCUUGUAAAGUGGUUGUGGCAGGAACAAGGGAAUGAUUUCUGUGGACACUACGUUUGCGAGUCCAUCCGCCACACGACCUGUGAGCGGGGCUACUCUGACGAACAAUAUGAAGUGCGUAAAUAACAACAUUCACAAUUUUAUUUUAUUACCAUCAUUUGUGUUGAGUUUCAUUCAUUCAUAUAUAUAUGUAUUGACCCCCUUCUUCAAAUUAGAUGUUUCGGAAGCGGGAUGAACUCCUAGCACCAGCUCGCAUGCGAGCAAUUCAAGAGGGAUUGGCGGCAUUCUUUCUUGAACACGUGAUCGUUGAAGACGGAGAAUACUAUGUGGACCAUGUGUCCGUAUGUUAGGAGAUUAUAUUUGUAAGAGAUAAUUAUUGUAUAUAUGUAGCCGGUAGUGUCGGAUAGAUAUACGAGAACUUGUUGUUCGACCAAUCUCUCGGAGAAGGAGAGGUGGUCGAUAUCACUUCUCUCUCUAUGCAUAUAUGUUCAUGACGAUCUUCUGUUUCCUUCGUUUGCUUACUAGCUAGCUAGCGUGUCUAGUCCUCUCUAUACGUAUGUAUAGUACGUAGCAUCGACCAAGCACGGACAUAAGAGAGGACACUUCUCUCUAUUAAUUAUAGCUAGCUAACACAAUAUAUGAAACACCUAAAUUAACCCCCCAAAACCCCUAACCCCCCCCCCCUUUAAAAAAACAAAAACCCCAGCCACAGAAAUGCUGACGCGUGGAUGCCUAUUGGUCCCGGUGAAGGAAAUAUGCCCUAGAGGCAAUAAUAAAGUUAUUAUUUAUUUCCUUAUAUCAUGAUAAAUGUUUAUUAUUCAUGCUAGAAUUGUAUUAACCGGAAACAUAAUACAUGUGUGAAUACAUAGACAAACAUAGUGUCACUAGUAUGCCUCUACUUGACUAGCUCGUUGAUCGAAGAUGGUUAUGUUUCCUAACCAUAGACAUGAGUUGUCAUUUGAUUAACGGGAUGACAUCAUUAGGAGAAUGAUGUGAUUGACUUGACCCAUUUCGUCAGCUUAGCACUUGAUCGUUUAGUUUGUUGCUAUUGCUUUCUUCAUGACUUAUACAUGUUCCUAUGACUAUGAGAUUAUGCAACUCCCAUUUAUUGGAGGAACACUUUGUGUGCUACCAAACGUCACAACGUAACUGGGUGAUUAUAAAGGUGCUCUACAGGUGACUCCGAAGGUACUUGUUGGGUUGGCCUAUUUCGAGAUUAGGAUUUGUCACUCCGAUUGUCAGAGAGGUAUCUCUGGGCCCUCUCGGUAAUGCACAUCACAUAAGCCUUGCAAGCAUUGCAACUAAUAAGUUAGUUCCGGGAUGGUGUAUUAUGGAACGAGUAAAGAUACUUGCCGGUAACGAGAUUGAACUAGGUAUUGAGAUACCGACGAUCAAAUCUCGGGCAAGUAACAUACCGAUGACAAAGGGAACAACGUAUGUUGUUAUGCGGUCUGACCGAUAAAAGAUCUUUGUAGAAUAUGUAGGAGCCAAUAUGAGCAUCCAGGUUCCGCUAUUGGUUAUUGACCGCAGACGUGUCUCGGUCAUGUCUACAUUGUUCUCGAACCCGUAGGGUCCGCACGCUUAACGUUACGAUGACAGUUUCAUUAUGAGUUUAUAUAUUUCGAUGUACCGAAGGUUGUUCGGAGUCCCGGAUGUGAUCACGGACAUAACGAGGAGUCUCGAAAUAGUCGAGACAUAAAGAUUGAUAUAUUGGACGACUAUAUUCAGACAUAGGAAUGGUUCCGGGAGUUAUCGAAUAUAAAACGGAGUACCGAGGGUUACCGGAACCCCCCGGGGGUUAAUGGGCCUCAUGGGCCCAAAGUGGAGCAGAGGAGGGGCGGCCUGGGCAGGCUGCGCGCCCCCUCCCCCUCUAGUCCGAAUUGGACAAGGAGGGAGGGGCGGCGCCCCCCCUUUCUUUUCUCUCCUCUCUCCCUUCCUCCUCCCUCUCCUAGUUGGACAAGGAAAGGAGGGAGUCCUACUCCCGAUAGGAGUAGGACUCCUCCCUGGCGUGCCUCCUCCUAGCCGGCCGCCCCUCCCCCUUGCUCCUUUAUAUACGGGGGCAGGGGGCACCUCUAGACACAACAAUUGAUCCUUGAGAUCUAUUAGCCAUGUGCGGUGCCCUCCUCCACCAUAAUCCUCGAUAAUAUUGUAGCGGUGCUUAGGCGAAGCCCUGCGAUGGUAGAACAUCAAGAUCGUCACCACGCCAUCGUGCUGACGGAACUCUUCCCCGUCAUUCUGCUGGAUCGGAGUCCGGGGAUCGUCAUCGAGCCGAACGUGUGCUAGAACUCGAAGGUGCCGUAGUUUCGGUGCUUGAUUGGUCGGGCCGUGAAGACGUACGACUACAUCAACCGCGUUGUGCUAACGCUUCCGCUUCCGGUCUAUGAGGGUACAUAGACAACACUCUCCCCUCUUGUUGCUAUGCAUCACCAUGAUCUUGCGUGUGCGUAGGAAUUUUUUUGAAAUUACUACGUUCCCCAACAGUGGCAUCCGAGCCUAGUUUUUAUGCGUUGAUGUUGUGCACGAGUAGAACACAAGUGAGUUGUGGGCGAUAUAAGUCAUGCUGCUUACCAGCAUGUCAUACUUUGGUACGACAGUAUUGUUGGAUGAAGCGGCCCGGACCGACAUUACGCGUACGCUUACGCGAGACUGGUUCUACCGACGUGCUUUGCACACAGGUGGCUGGCGGGUGUCAGUUUCUCCAACUUUAGUUGAACCAAGUGUGGCUACGCCCGGUCCUUGCGAAGGUUAAAAUAGCACCAACUUGACAAACUACCGUUGUGGUUUUGAUGCGUAGGUAAGAACGGUUCUUGCUAAGCCCGUAGCAGCCACGUAAAACUUGCAACAACAAAGUAGAGGACGUCUAACUUGUUUUUGCAGGGCAUGUUGUGAUGUGAUAUGGUCAAGACAUGAUGCUAAAUUUUAUUGUAUGAGAUGAUCAUGUUUUGUAACCGAGUUAUCGGCAACUGGCAGGAGCCAUAUGGUUGCCACUUUAUUGUAUGCAAUGCAAUUGCGCUGUAAUGCUUUACUUUAUCACUAAGCGGUAGCGAUAGUCGUGGAAGCAUAAGAUUGGCAAGACGACAACGAUGCUACGAUGGUGAUCAAGGUGUCGCGCCGGUGACGAUGGUGAUCAUGACGGUGCUUCGAACAUGGAGAUCACAAGCACAAGAUGAUGAUGGCCAUAUCAUAUCACUUAUAUUGAUUGCAUGUGAUGUUUAUCUUUUAUGCAUCUUAUCUUGCUUUGAUUGGCGGUAGCAUUAUAAGAUGAUCCCUCACUAAAUUAUCAAAGUAUAAGUGUUCUCCCUGAGUAUGCACCGUUGUGAAAGUUCUUCGUGCUGAGACACCACGUGAUGAUCGGGUGUGAUAGGCUCUACGUUCAAAUACAACGGGUGCAAAACAGUUGCACACACGGAAUACUCAGGUUUAACUUGACGAGCCUAGCAUAUAACAGAUAUGGCCUCGGAACACGGAGACCAAAAGGUUGAGCGUGAAUCAUAUAGUAGAUAUGAUCAACAUAUUGAUGUUCACCAUUGAUACUACUCCAUCUCACGUGAUGAUUGGACAUGGUUUAGUUGAUUUGGAUCACGUGAUCACUUAGAGGAUUAAAGGGAUAUCUUUCUAAGUGGGAGUUCUUAAGUAAUAUGAUUAAUUGAACUUAAAUUUAUCAUGAACUUAGUACCUGAUAGUAUCUUGCUUGUCUAUGUUUGAUUGUAGAUAGAUGGCUCGUGCUGUUGUUCCAUUGAAUUUUAAUGCGUUUCUUGAGAAAGCAAAGUUGAAAGAUGAUGGUAGCAAUUACACGGACUAGGUCCAUAACUAGAGGAUUAUCCUCAUUGCUGCACAGAAGAAUUACGUCCUGGAAGCACCGCUAUGUGCCAAGCCUGCUGCAGGAGCAACACCAGAUGUUAUGAACGCCUGGUAGAGCAAAGCUGAUGACUACUCGAUAGUUCAGUGUGCCAUGCUUUACGAGUUAGAACCGGGUCUUCAACGACAUUUUGAACGUCAUGGAGCAUAUGAGAUGUUCCAGGAGUUGAAGUUAAUAUUUCAAGCAAAUGCCCGGAUUGAGAGAUAUGAAGUCUCCAAUAAGUUCUAUAGCUGCAAGAUGGAGGAGAAUAGUUCUGUCAGUGAACAUAUACUCAAAAUGUCUGGGUAUCAUAAUCACUUGACUCAACUGGGGGUUAAUUUUCCUGUUGAUAGUGUCAUUGACAGAGUUCUUCAAUCACUGCCACCAAGCUACAAAAGCUCCGCGAUGAACUAUAAUAUGCAAGGGACGAAUAAGACUAUUCCUGAGCUCUUCGCAAUGCUAAAAGCCGCGGAGGUAGUAAUCAAGAAGGAGCAUCAAGUGUUGAUGGUCAAUAAGACCACCAGUUUCAAGAAAAAGGGCAAAGGGAAGAAGAAAGGGAACUUCAAGAAGAACAACAAACAAGUUGCUGCUCAGGAGAAGAAACCCAAGUCUGGACCUAAGCCUGAGACUGAGUGCUUCUACUGCAAGCAGACUGGUCACUAGAAGCGGAACUGCCCCAAGUAUUUGGCGGAUAAGAAGGAUGGCAAAGUGAACAAAGGUAUAUUUGAUAUACAUGUUAUUGAUGUGUAACUUAGUAAUGCUCGCAGUAGCACCUGGGUAUUUGAUACUGGUUCUGUUGCUAACAUUUGCAACUCGAAACAGGGGCUACGGAUUAAGCGAAGAUUGGCUAAGGACGAGGUGACGAUGCGCGUGGGAAAUGGUUCCAAAGUCAAUGUGAUCGCAGUCGGCACGCUACCUCUACAUCUACCUUCGGGAUUAGUAUUAGACCUAAAUAAUUGUUAUUUGGUGCCAGCGUUGAGCAUAAACAUUAUAUCUGGAUCUUGUUUGAUGCGAGACGGUUAUUCAUUUAAAUCAGAGAAUAAUGGUUGUUCUAUUUAUAUGAGUAAUAUCUUUUAUGGUCAUGCACCCUUGAAGAGUGGUCUAUUUUCGAUAGUAGUGAUACACAUAUUCAUAAUGUUGAAAUCAAAAGAUGCAGAGUUGAUAAUGAUAGCGCAACUUAUUUGUGGCACUGCCGUUUAAGUCAUAUCGGUGUAAAGCGCAUGAAGAAACUCCAUACCGAUGGACUUUUGGAACCAUUUGAUUAUGAAUCACUUGGUACUUGCGAACCGUGCCUCAUGGGUAAGAUGACUAAAACGCCGUUCUCCGGUACUAUGGAGAGAGCAACGGAUUUGUUGGAAAUCAUACAUACAGAUGUAUGUGGUCCAAUGAAUGUUGAGGCUCGUGGCGGAUAUCGUUAUUUUCUCACCUUCACAGAUGAUUUAAGCAGAUAUGGGUAUAUCUACUUAAUGAAACAUAAGUCUGAAACAUUUGAAAAGUUCAAAGAAUUUUCAGAGUGAAGUUGAAAACCAUCGUAACAAGAAAAUAAACUUUCUACGAUCUGAUCGUGGAGGAGAAUAUUUGAGUUACGAGUUUGGUCUACAUUUGAAAUAAUGCAGAAUAGUUUCGCAACUCACGCCACCCGGAACACCACAGAGUAAUGGUGUGUCUGAACGUCGUAAUCGUACUUUAUUAGAUAUGGUGUGAUCUAUGAUGUCUCUUACUGAUUUACCGUUAUCGUUUUGGGGUUAUGCUUUAGAGACGGUUGCAUUCACGUUAAAUAGGACACCAUCGAAAUCCAUUGAGAUGACGCCUUAUGAACUGUGGUUUGGCCAGAAACCAAAGUUGUCGUUUCUAAAAGUUUGGGGCUGCGAUGCUUAUGUGAAAAAGCUUCAACCUGAUAAGCUCGAACCCAAAUCGGAGAAAUGUGUCUUCAUAGGAUACCUAAAGGAGACUGUUGGGUACACCUUCUAUCACAGAUCCGAAGUCAAGACUUUUGUUGCUAAAUUCGGAGCUUUUCUAGAGAAGGAGUUUCUCUCGAAAGAAGUGAGUGGGAGAAAAGUAGAACUUGAUGAGGUAACUGUACCUGCUCCCUUAUUGGAAAGUAGUACAUCACAGAAACCGGUUUCUGUGACACCUACACCAAUUAGUGAGGAAGCUAAUGAUAAUGAUCAUGAAACUUCAGAUCAAGUUACUACUGAACCUCGUAGAUCAACCAGAGUAAGAUCCGCACCAGAGUGGUACAGUAAUCCUAUUCUGGAAGUCAUGCUACUAGAUCAUGAUGAACCUACGAACUAUGAAGAAGCGAUGGUGAGCCCAGAUUCCGCAAAAUGGCUAGAAGCCAUGAAAUCUGAGAUGGGAUCCAUGUAUGAGAACAAAGUGUGGACUUUGGUUGACUUGCCCGUUGAUCGGCAAGCAAUUGAGAAUAAAUGGAUCUUCAAGAAGAAGACUGACGCUGACGGUAAUGUUACUGUCUAUAAAGCUCGACUUGUUGCAAAAGGUUUUUGACAAGUUCAAGGGAUUGACUACGAUGAGACCUUCUCACCCGUAGCGAUGCUUAAGUCUGUCCAAAUCAUGUUAGCAAUUGCCGCAUUUUAUGAUUAUGAAAUUUGGCAAAUGGAUGUCAAAAUUGCAUUCCUGAGUGGAUUUCUGGAAGAAGAGUUGUAUAUGAUGCAACCAGAAGGUUUUGUCGAUCCAAAGGGAGCUAACAAAGUGUGCAAGCUCCAGCGAUCCAUUUAUGGACUGGUGCAAGCCUCUCGGAGUUGGAAUAAAUGCUUUGAUAGUGUGAUCAAAGCAUUUGGUUUUGUCCAGACUUUUGGAGAAGCCUGUAUUUACAAGAAAGUGAGUGGGAGCUCUGUAGCAUUUCUGAUAUUAUAUGUUGAUGACAUAUUAUUGAUUGGAAAUGAUAUAGAAUUUCUGGAUAGCAUAAAGUGAUACUUGAAUAAGAGUUUUUCAAUGAAAGACCUCGGUGACGCUGCUUACAUAUUGGGCAUUAAGAUCUAUAGAGAUAGAUCAAGAUGCUUAAUUGGACUUUCACAAAGCACAUACCUUGACAAGGUUUUGAAAAAGUUCAAAAUGGAUAAAGCAAAGAAAGGGUUCUUGCCUGUGUUACAAGGUGUGAAGUUGAGUAAGACUCAAUGUCCGACCACCGCAGAAGAUAGAGAGAAAAUGAAAGAUGUUCCCUAUGCUUCAGCCAUAGGCUCUAUCAUGUAUGUAAUGCUGUGUACCAGACCUGAUGCGUGCCUUGCUAUAUGUCUAGCAGGGAGGUACCAAAGUAAUCCAGGAGUGGAUCACUAGACAGCGGUCAAGAACAUCCUGAAAAACCUAAAAAGGACUAAGGAUAUGUUUCUCGUAUAUGGAGGUGACAAAGAGCUCAUCGUAAAUGGUUACGUUGAUGCAAGCUUUGAUACUGAUCUGGACGAUUCUAAAUCGCAAAGCGGAUACGUGUUUUUACUGAAUGGUGGAGUUGUCAGUUGGUGCAGUUCUAAACAAAGCGUCGUGGUGGGAUCUACAUGUGAAGCAGAGUACAUAGCUGCUUCGGAAGCAGCAAAUGAAGGAGUCUGGAUGAAGGAGUUCAUAUCCGAUCUAGGUGUCAUACCUAGUGCAUCGGGUCCAAUGAAAAUCUUUUGUGAAAAUACUGGUGCAAUUGCCUUGGCAAAGGAAUCCAGAUUUCACAAGAGAACCAAGCACAUCAAGAGACGCUUCAAUUCCAUUCGGGAUUUAGUCCAAGUGGGAGACAAAGAAAUUUGCAAGAUACAUACGGAUCUGAAUGUUGCAGACCCGCUGACUAAGCCUCUUCCACGAGCAAAACAUGAUCAGCACCAAGGCUCCAUGGGUGUUAGAAUCAUUGAUUAUUGACUCUAGUGCAAGUGGGAGACUGAAGAAAAUAUGCCCUAGAGGCAAUAAUAAAGUUAUUAUUUAUUUCCUUAUAUCAUGAUAAAUGUUUAUUAUUCAUGCUAGAAUUGUAUUAACCAGAAACAUAAUACAUGUGUGAAUACAUAGACAAACAUAGUGUCACUAGUAUGCCUCUACUUGACUAGCUCGUUGAUCGAAGAUGGUUAUGUUUCCUAACCAUAGACAUGAGUUGUCAUUUGAUUAAUGGGAUCACAUCAUUAGGAGAAUGAUGUGAUUGACUUGACCCAUUUCGUUAGCUUAGCACUUGAUUGUUUAGUUUGUUGCUAUUGCUUUCUUCAUGACUUAUACAUGUCCCUUUGACUAUGAGAUUAUGCAACUCCCGUUUACCGGAGGAACACUUUGUGUGCUACCAAACGUCACAACGUAACUAGGUGAUUAUAAAGGUGCUCUACAGGUGUCUCCUAAGGUACUUGUUGGGUUGGCGUAUUUCGAGAUUAGGAUUUGUCACUCCGAUUGUCGGAGAGGUAUCUCUGGGCCCUCUCGGUAAUGCACAUCACAUAAACCUUGCAAGCAUUGCAACUAAUAAGUUAGUUGUGGGAUGGUGUAUUACGGAACGAGUAAAGAGACUUGCCGGUAACGAGAUUGAACUAGGUAUUGAGAUACCGACGAUCAAAUCUCGGGCAAGUAACAUAUCGAUGACAAAGGGAACAACAUAUGUUGUUAUGCGGUCUGACCGAUAAAAGAUCUUCGUAGAAUAUGUAGGAGCCAAUAUGAGCAUCCAGGUUCCGCUAUUGGUUAUUGACCGCAGACGUGUCUCGGUCAUGUCUACACUGUUCUCGAACCCGUAGGGUCCGCACGCUUAACGUUACGAUGACAGUUUCAUUAUGAGUUUAUAUAUUUUGAUGUAUCGAAGGUUGUUCGGAGUCUCGGAUGUGAUCACAGACAUAACGAGGAGUCUCGAAAUAGUCGAGACAUAAAGAUUGAUAUAUUGGACGACUAUAUUUGGACAGAGGAAUGGUCCCCGGGAGUUAUCGGAUAUAAAACGGAGUACCGGGGGUUACCGGAACCCCAGGGGGUUAAUGGGCCUCAUGGGCCCAAAGUGGAGCAGAGGAGGGGCGGCCAGGGCAGGUUGCACGCUCCCUCCCCCUCUAGUCCGAAUUGGACAAGGAGGAAGGGGCGGCGCCCCCCUUUCCUUUCUCUCCUCUAUCCCUUCCUUCCCCCUCUCCUAGUUGGACAAGGAAAGGAGGGAGUCCUACUCCCGGUAGGAGUAGGACUCCUCCCUGGCGCGCCUCCUCCUGGCCGGCCACCCCUCCCCCUUGCUCCUUUAUAUAUGAGGGCAGGGGGCACCUCUAGACACAACAAUUGAUCCUUGAGGUCUAUUAGCCGUGUGCGGUGCCCUCCUCCACCAUAAUCCUCGAUAAUAUUGUAGCGGUGCUUAGGCGAAGCCCUGCGACGGUAGAACAUCAAGAUCGUCACCACGCCAUCAUGCUGACGGAACUCUUCCCCGACAUUCUGCUGGAUCGGAGUCCGGGGAUCGCCAUCGAGCUGAACGUGUGCUAGAACUCGGAGGUGCUGUAGUUUUGGUGCUUGAUCGGUCGGGCUGUGAAGACAUACGACUACAUCAACCGCGUUGUCCUAACGCUUCCGCUUCCGGUCUAUGAGGGUACGUAGACAACACUCUCCCCUCUCGUUGCUAUGCAUCACCAUGAUCUUGCGUGUGCGUAGGAAUUUUUUUGAAAUUACUACAUUCCCCAACACCCGGUUGGUGCCACCAACCGGGACCAAAUGCCCUCCUGCCUGGGCUCCGCGCACAGGCCACGUGGAGGCCCAUCUAUCCCGGUUCUGGACUGAACCGGGACUAAAGGGACUGGGCAUUAGUAACGACCCUUUAGUCCCGGUUCAGGAACCGGGACAAAAGGCCCCUACGAACCGGGACAAUAGGCCCGUUUCCUACUAGUGCGUGUCCACCUUGGACCUCUAGAGGGCAAUGAGGAGGCCUAGGUCAUCGUCGGGAUCGGAGGAGGAGCGGUUGCCGGCGCUCGACAUGGUCGCCGCAGUCACCGGAGUGGUCGGAGUGGAAUGAAUCGAAGAAAUCGAAGUGAAGAAGAAGAGACGGAUCGAGAGUGGAGUAAGCUAGGGUUUCCGGAUUGGGGAUAUUUGUGGGGAUGAAAUGGGGUCCGGGUGGGCUGGGCCGACGUGACGCACACUCGGGCACCCUCGUAUCCGCCCCAUAUAUAUAUUGGGCUGGAUUUGAGGGGCGCCAGACAGCCCGGGCGUUUGAGGCGCCCAACUGGGUCAGAAAAACGUGACCGAUCAGUGAUCAGGCCGGGCGUCCGGGCGUUUGAGACCGGUUUGAGACGCCCGAUUGUAGAUGCUCUUAGUCCCUGCACCGGAUGCAACGACCACUAAAAUUAAUCACAUUUACACUUCAAUCCUUACAUCAAAUUUUACGACGAUCAUCGAAUUAAAAGCGUCAAUUCAGAUAUUAUUUUCCAUUGUACCGGAAAAAAGUAUAAUCUUGAUUUUAAGAUUGUUAAUACUUAAUUUAUGCAGAUCCAUCACACCAACUCUGGAUCCCUAAAUAUUAGCGACCCACUACACCUUCGCUCUCACCUUGAUAUAUACCAAUCUAUCUGUCUAGUGACUAGUGGUCUUCUUACCAUGGCCCUUCACCUACACCAUCAUUCACAUGUCGAGACAUAAGAGAAAGAAGGAACCAGUGGCACUUAACAUCUAGGAUUUAGACGCGUGUAGCAUCUUUGGAAUAGUAGGCAUACGGGAAUAUGUUCGUUCACGGCGUGCCACGACUAGUGCAACUGGCCUAAUUACGGCCAUCGUGGCAGGAACUAUAGCUAGGCUAAAGGAAGAGUGUAGAGGACAAACUGAUUCAGAAAGAGACUACGAGUUGCACGUCAACGAAAAGCAAAUGUGUGCCUUGGGAUGUUCUUUGCUCUGAAGCUCUUCCCUACCUCGGAAGGGGUACUUCAUUGUAUUUUUUCGUGGAACGGUGGCUGUUGUUUGGGGUCUUUUUGGUCCUUUUAUCUUUCUAGCUACUUACUGACAAAGCUAAUGUCAAUGAACAACAAAAUAAAAGCCCAUGUCAAUUAAGCUUGAGAAUAAAAAUGACAAAUUCGGCAUGAAUGAUGUCACAACAAGAAGGCAAAAACCACACUAUUCACAUAUGUAUUUGUCCUUUUUGUUUUUUCUAUGUGUAUUUUGAAGUUGAAUUUGAAUUUUUUUAGGGUUGUAAACACAUGUCUUAUGAACAUCCACAAAAAUUCGGUAUUUUUUAAAGAUGAAAAUUUUGAUUUUCAAAUGUGGGAGCGUGGGAACAUGUCAUAUUCUCCUUUCUUAGUGUUCUUGUUACGUACGAUUAUAAUGAUACCCACAUUGCCACCGCACGUCGUUUGGAUCUUCUCUCCCAAGAAAGAAAGAGGUGGUGGCCGGCAUAUAUGGUUGGAACAUGGCUUGCCCGAUGCCAAAGAGAAUUGUGUAGGUCGGGCACCACCUCUCAUGCCCAUGUUGUUGCGCUUGUUAUGCCUGCUCGUAGUGAAGAGUAUCAUACACUAGUAUCAUGCAUAUGAUACUAUCUUCGUAGUGCAUAGUAUCAUAGUUAGUAUUUAGGAGUAGAUAAUUUUAUUUAUUAUCAUGCAUGACACAUAAUAACACAUCAUUUAUUAUGAUACGGUAUUAAAAUGUGAUACCAAGCACUCCCUUUCUUCAUUUAAUUAUAUGCCUCCUUAGCAAAAUUGCCAGGUUGACAUGCUUGAUACUUGCUAUGAUACACCGGUUACGAGAGGCCUAAGUCAUUCAAUCAUUCACAUUGCUUCAUAAAUAUAAGAUGGUAUGAUCAUGAUUUGGGCCAACUACCACGCCAAUCUCUGAUCUCGUUCCAUAAUAUUAUGGCUGCAUUGCCUUCAGUCUCAACUCGAUAUAUACCAAUUUAUUUUCUCGUGGUCUUCUUCCUAGGCCAUUCACCUAUAGCAUCUCAUACAUGUGAAGACUAAAUAGGAACAACAAAUAGCGACACUUAGGAUUUAGGAGUUAGACGCAUGUCGCGUGUUUGGAAUAGUAGGCAUACAGGAAUAUGUUCAUUCGCACUCUGUUUAAGCUGGCGUGACUGACCUAUCUACGGCCACCAUGGUAGCCAGUAUGACCAGGAACAGAGUUUCAACUAGAGGGGGAGGCAAGGCAACGUGUACCAUUGGUGGCGUCCAAGCUAUAGGGUGUCUUGCAUAGGAUCCAUCGUGCUGGCACACGACUACCAUACUACAGAACUACAGAGUAUACUACUACAUGGUAAUGUUUGUGACAAAUACAUCAUGGAACACCUGAGAAAAUGAAUCUUCGUGCAAGAGCAUCGUGUCGCAGUCAGCAAGCGUGAAAGUAUAAGAACAACUUGGACAAGAACGUAUGAAAGAAUGUCCACUGGAUAGUACUGACCCGGCUGGAGCAAACCACCACGGUGCGGAUCCACUUCGGCGUCGUCUCUCUACGUGCUUGGACAAAGACAGCGAACAAGCCCCACCGCCAUCCUAUGCUAUGUUAUGCUGCUAGGCUGCCGACAGUUUACCGGCCGGCCCACGUCGACGCCGGAUAAUGGCACGGGUCAGGCACCACCUCUCAAUUCUCAUGUCCAUGUUGUUGCGCUUGCUAUCUCUACAUCCAUACAAGUCCUUCAUUUUUCAUAUAUCAAGGUUUGAGAUUGCUAACUGGGCCUGCCACCCGGUUACAAGUCCUUCAUUCGUCCACAUCGUUUCGGUCAGUCAUGCAUGUGACCGCCUUACGCUGGAUGCUCCGACCACUAAAAUGAAUCACAUUUACGCUUCAGUUCUUAUCCUAAAAAACACGACGAUCAUCGAAUUAAAGUGUGAAGUUAGAUAUUAUUUUAUGUCAUACCACCGGCAGAUAGUAUGAUCUACGCUUUACAAUAUUUAUUUUAUACAGAUCCACCACACCAACCUCCAAUCUUGAUCCCUGAAUAUUAGGUACCCACUAUCUUCGGUCUCACCUCGAUAUAUAUACCCAUAUGGUCUUUGUUCCGUGGCCCUUCACCUACAUCAUCUUUCACAUGUCAAGACAAGACUUGAGAGGAAGAGGAAGAAGCAGUGACACUUAGGAUCUUAGACACCUGUAGCAUGUUUGGAAUAGUAGACAUACGGGAAUAUGUUCAUUGACAGUGUGUAAAACCUGGUAUAACUAACCUAAUUACCGCCAUCACUGUAGGCACUAUAGCUAGACAGAGGGUUCCGAGUCGAGGUCACAUUAUUUCAGCAAGAGAUAGAUGCAUGUAGACGAAAAGGAGAUGCCUGCCUUGGGAUGCUGUUUGCUCUGGAGGGCUUCCCUAGCAAUCUCAGAGGGGGUGCUUCUUUGUUGUAUUUUUUCAUGUAACAGUUGUUGUUGUUUGGGUUUUUUUUGGGGCCUUUUAUCGUCCUAGCUACUUACCGACAAAGCUAAAUGUCAUUGCGGAAACAAAAUAAAGCCUGUGUGAAUUAAGCUGGAGAAUAAAAACAAUAAUUUUAGCAUGAAUGGUGUCAUAAAAAGAUAAAGGCAAAAACUACACUGUUCACAUUUGUAUUUUCUUUUUGUUUUUCUAUAUGUAUUUUGAUUUUGAUUUUGAUUUUUUUAGGAGUUGUAGACAUAUGUCUUGUGAAUAUCAACAACAAAAUUUGGUAUUUCUUGCUAGAUGGAAAUUUGAUUUUUAAAUGUGGGAGCACGGGAGCAUGUGAUAUUUUUCUCCGUUAUAGGUGUUCCUAUAUGAUGAACAAUUACAACAAGACCCGCAUCAUUGCGCGUACUUUGGUGCUUAAUUGCAUCCAAUUGCCCUCCCAUUGUGAAUCUUCUCUUCCAAGAAAGAAAGAGGCGGUGGCCAGCAUAUAUGGUCGGAAUAUGGCUUGCCGACCGACGACAAAGAGAAUUGUGUGGGUCGGGCACCACCACCCAUGCCCAUGUUAUUGCGCUUGUUAUUUCUACUUGUAGUGGAGAGUGUCAUACACUAGUGUCAUGCAUAUGACAUCAUAUUUUAGUAUUUUAGGAUAUGGUAUCAAAUCCUCUAUUUCUUUAUUUAAUUAUAUGCCACCUUACGAAAAUUGUCUACGCAACUACCACUAAAAUUCCAGAUGAAUUGCGUGUGACGGGUACAAUUGUGACUUAUGAAGCCAGCCGAUGAUAAGUAUGUUUGGCAACAUGACAAUCAAGCAUUGCAUGUGAGAAGUAAAUGGAGUGUUAGAUAAAACAAGAUCAGGCGAGACACAAGAAACACCAUUUUUUACGUGGAAAUCCUUACGGGAAAAACUCAUGGACACACGAAGAUGCAAUCAUUAUGAUGAAGGUGUAUUACAAGCAAGAGACGACAUGCCAUCUUUAGGUGCGACUACAUGGGUUAUAUAUGAGGACAACACAUAAGAGCCCUUGGAUCACAAGUAAAACAAGUUGUACUCGUAAGUGUCGAUGUCAACGUCAAUGCAACACCCACACCAUUUGUACUACAUCUAGUCUAACACGAUAGAAUUUGUAUCACAAUUUAACAUGGAGUAGCAUAUGAACUUGCUUGGGUAGGUUAUAAAGAGACGAUGUCGGAGGUGUGGCAUGAUCACCAUCCUGAGUUCCUUAUUCGCUCUCUUGUAACAUACAAUAUUAUAAUUUAAUUAAAGUCACCAAAGUUUUAAAAAAACUUCCGCUAAAAUGAAUCGCAUUUAGGCUCCAGUCUGUUCAUCGAACGUACAAAUGGAAGGAUGAAUUAACAUACGAAUUUUCAUUGUACUAGAAGAUGGCAUGAUCUUGAUUUGGGCUUUGUAAAUAUUUAUUUAAUGUAAAACUACCACACCAAACUCUGACCUCAUUCCGUAAAUACUAGGAUCACGCUUCAUUCGGUCUUAGCUCGAUAUAUCACUAGUAGAAAAACGGUCAAAUGUGAAGCACAUUAGUGCUGGUUUGAAUUUGAGCCGGCACUAAUGUGACCAUUAGUGCCGGUUCCAACGGCUAGCUGGGCCGCUACAAUUAGUACCGGUUCGUGGCCAAUCUUUAGCACCGGUUCGUGCCAUGAACCGGUACUAAAGAGAGUGGUGGCAGGAUGUUGUUAGUCUGGGGCCUCUCCAGCACCUUUAGUACCGGUUUGUGACACGAACAGGUACUAAAGGUCGUUCUACAUAAACCUUUCGUCCACCCGAGCUCGCUUUGUUCUUCCCCUUUCCCCUCUCCUCUCUGUUCUUCCCCUCUUUCUCUCGAGCUCAUCACACAUUUUGCCCAAAAUUUGUCAAGAUUUGAAGGCCCCAUCCAUUCAAAUGAUCACAAAGGUUAGCAACUUUGUCCGUUCAUCUCUCAUUGCUAGAUUAGCCCUUGCAAUUCUUUAUAUAGUGAUUAAUUUGUGAGUUUAGUAAUUUGAGAGGAAUUAUAUGUGCUAGUAUUUGAUUUAUAUGCAAUUUGAGGUCAAAAAUAACACUUAGUUUGCAUAUGUAGAUGUGGUUUACUUAGUGCCUUCUAAAUCUCCGUCGUAACCACCGCCGAUCGCCUGCACCACCUUGCGGUGAGCCUCUUGUUCAUGAAUGUUUUAUAUAAAAAAUUGAUAUUUGUGUGAUUUGGAUAUAUAGUUACUCGUAUAAUUAUCUUACCCGUACGUUGUUUGUUAUACAUAGUGCCAUGGUUUUGAUAUCCGUCCCCGUCGGCCCUCGUCCUUGUUAUGAUUCGGAUGUGGUAUAUUCUCUUUUAAAACUAUUUGUUGCAUUUCGUGUUUAUGACAAAUUAUGCCCAUCAAGUUGACAUAUAUAUUUGUGUGUAGGAGGUAUGUGAACCGGAAAUUCCAACCGACCCUAUUGUCGAGAGGUUAAAUUUAGUUGAAAGAGAAAACGAGUAUUUGAAAGAAAAAUUGAAAAGAUUUGAGGGGGAGAAGAUGGAACUGGAGUUGCAUGUUUCCGAUGUCGUCGAUAAUCACAAGAUCAAGAUGGAGAAAAUGCGCUUGCAGAUUAUAAAGAUUAGAAAAUAUGCCAUUCAUAGUGAGGCUUAGUAUCAUUAUGCUGUUGGAUCAAUUGUUACCUUAGUUGCGAUCUUGAUCGCAUUUGUUGUUGCAUUUAAAUUUUUUAGCUAGAGAGUUAUUUGUUUGUUGCAUUUAAGUGUUGUAUGAACUUGUAUUAAUUUGGUCUUUUCGGUGUUGUGUAAUGAAGAUGAGCCGACAAUGGAUGUACGAUGACCGAUGCUCUCCUGAGUUCAUUAAUGGCGUGCAUACUUUUCUGCUUGCGGCUGAGGCAACUAAGCGGGCGGAUGGUUUUAUGCCUUGUCCAUGUGCUGGCUGUAAGAAUGAUCACAACUACUCUACGUCAAGAACCAUUCACGUCCACCUGUUUGAGUCCGGUUUCAUGCCCCACUAUAAUGUUUGGACCAAGCACGGAGAAAGAGGGGUUAUGAUGGAAGACAAUGAAGAAGAAGAGCACGACGACAGCUAUCCUGGCCAUGGGUUCUCUGAAUACGAUGAUACAACAAUGGGGGAAGAAGCCGAGCCGACAAUGCGGGAAGAAGCUGAAGAAGAGGCAUCAGAUGAGCCCGCUAAUGAUCUAGGUCGGGCCAUUGCCGAUGCAAAGAGAAACUGCGGAAGUGAUUUGGAGAAGAAGUUGCAGCGCAUGUUAGAGGAUCACAAGAAAUUGUUGUACCCGAAUUGUGAAGCUGACAAGAAAAAGUUGGGCACCACACUGGAAUUGCUGCAAUGGAAGGCAGAGAAUGGUGUAUCUGACAAGGGAUUUGGAAAGUUGCUGGUAAUAAUAAAGAAUAUGCUUCCAAAGGACAACGAAUUGCCCGAGAGUACGUACGAAGCAAAGAAGGCUGUCUGCCCUCUAGGGUUAGAGGUGCAGAAGAUACAUGCAUGCCCUAAUGACCGCAUCCUCUACCGAAGUGAUCAGUACGAGGAUUUGAACGCUUGUCCGGUAUGCGGUGCAUUGCGCUAUAAGAUCAGCCGCGAUGACCCUGGUGAUGUCGAGGGCGAGCGCCCCAGGAAGAAGAUUCCUGCCAAGGUGAUGUGGUAUGCUCCUAUAAUACCACAGUUGAAACGUUUGUUCCAAAAUAAAGAGCAUGCCAAGGCGGUGCGAUGGCACAGAGAAGACCGUAAGAAAGACGGAAAGUUGAGAGUACCUGCUGACGGGUCGCAUUGGAGAAAAGUCGAGAGAAAGUAUAGGAAUAAGUUUGCAGGUAACGCAAGGAACGUGUGAUUUGGUCUAAGCGUAGAUGGCAUUAAUCCUUUUUUGGAGCAGAGCAGCAACCAUAGCACCUGACCUGUGACUCUAUGUUUGUAUAACCUUCCUCCUUGGUUGUGCAUGAAGAGGAAGUUCAUUAUGAUGCCAGUGCUCAUCCAAGGCCCUAAGCAACCCGACAACGACAUUGAUGUGUACCUAAGGCCAUUAGUUGAAGAACUCUUACAACUGUGGAAUGGAACAAGUGUACGUGCAUGGGAUGAGCACAUGGGGGAAGAAUUUGACCUAAAGGCGUUGCUGUUCGUGACCAUCAAUAAUUGGCUUGCUCUCAGUAACCUUUCGGGACAGACAAAUAAGGGAUACCGCGCAUGCACGCACUGUUUGGAUGAUACUGACAGUAUAUAUUUGGAUAAUUGUAGGAAGAAUGUGUACCUGGGACAUCGUCGAUUUCUUCCGAGCAGGCAUCCCGUAAGAAAGAAAGGCAAACAUUUCAAAGGUGAGGCGGAUCACCGGACGAAGCCUCGCUACUGGUGCUGAUGUACAUGAUAUGGUCAAGGAUUUGAAGGUAGUCUUUGGAAAGGGUCCUGGUGGACAACCUGUUCCGAAUGACGCUGACAGACGCGUACCCAUGUGGAAGAAGAAAUCUAUAUUCUGGGACUUGCCCUAUUGGAAAGACCUAGAGGUCCGCUCCGCAAUCGACGUGAUGCACGUGACGAUGAAUCUUUGCGUGACCCUGCUUGGCUUCUUGGGCGUGUAUGAGAAGACAAAAAAUACACCUGAGGCACGGGAGGACUAGCAACGUAUGCACGAAAAAGAUGGCAUACAUCAGGGUCAUGCCAGCUACGCUCUUACCAAAGAAGAGAAGGAAAUGUUCUUUGAAUGCCUGCUCAGUAUUAAGGUACCGUCUGGCUUCUUGUUGAAUAUAAAGGGAAUAAUAAACAUGGCCGAGAAAAGUUCCAGAACCUAAAGUCUCAUGACUGCCACAUGAUUAUGACGCAACUGCUACCGGUUGCAUUGAGAGGCCUUCUACCGGACAACGUUUGAUUAGCCAUUGUGAAGCUAUGUGCAUUCCUCAAUGCAAUCUCUCAGAAGGUAAUCGAUCCAGAAAUCAUACCAAGGUUAGAGAAUGAUUUGGUGCAAUGUCUUGUCAGUUUUGAGUUGGUGCUCCCACCAUCCUUCUUCAACAUCAUGACGCACGUCCUAGUUCACCUAUGCGAAGAGAUUAACGUUUUGGGUCCUGUAUUUCUACACAAUAUGUUCCCCUUUGAGAGGUUCAUGAGAGUCUUAAAGAAAUAUGUUCAUAACCGUGCUAGGCCAGAAGGAAGCAUCUCCAAGGGCCAUGAAAAUGAGGAGGUCAUUGAGUUUUGUAUUGACUUUAUUCCUGACCUUAAGUUGAUUGGUGUUCCUGAAUCGCGGCAUAAGGGCAGACUGGAUGGAAAAUGCACGCUAGGAGGGAAUUAAAUAAUAUAUAUGGACGGACAUUCUCUCACUGAAGCACACUACACAGUUCUAAAGAAUUCUGCCUUGGUGGCUCUGUAUAUGGACGAACACAAGAAUUUUCUACGCUCCAAACACCCGGAGCGGUCUGAUGACUGGAUUACACGUGAACAAACUAGGAGUUUCGUCGGCUGGUUGCAGACACGUACCAUGCAUGACGCCUCUAUUGAAGAUGACCUGUACUCGUUGUCCCAGUUACCAUCUUUGAAUAUAAUGACUUUCAAAGGGUAUGAGAUAAAUGGUAAUACAUUUUACACGAUUGCCCAAGAUAAGAAGAGCACCAACCAAAACAGUGGUGUGUGCUUUGAUGCAACAACCAAGACGGAAAAGGAAGCAUAUUAAGGUUACAUAGAGGACAUAUGGGAACUUGACUAUGGACGUGGUUUGAAGGUCCCUUUGUUUCGGUGCAAAUGGGUCAAUAUGACAUGAGGCGGGGUAACUGAAGACCCGCAGUACGGAAUGACAACAGUGGAUCUCAACAAUCUUGCGUAUGCAGACGAACCAUUGAUACGUCCAUUUUGCAUCAUGCUUUUAUAUCAAUAUUUAUUGCAUUAUAGGCUGUUAUUACACAUUAUGUCACAAUACUUAUGCCUAUUCUCUCUUAUUUUACAAGGUUUACAUAAAGAGGGAGAAUGCCGGCAGCUGGGAUUCUGGCUGGAAAAGGAGGUAAUAUUAGAAACCUAUUCUGCACAGCUCCAAAAGUCCUGAAACUUCAGGGAUGAUGUUUUCCAAAUAUAUAAAAAACAUUGAGCGCAAGAACUUCACCAGGGGGGCCACACCCUGCCCACGAGGGUGGGGGGCGUGCCCCCCUACCUCGUGGGCCCCCUGGUGGCCCUCCGGUGACCAUCUUCUGCUAUAUGGACUCUUUCGAUGGGAAAAAAUCAUAAGCCAUCUUCUCGGAUGAAACUCUGCCGCCACAAGGCGGAACCAGUCUAGGGUUCUUGCAGGGCUGUUCUGCCGUGGAAACUUCCCUCCCGGAGGGUGAAAUCAUCGCCAUCGUCAUCACCAACGCUCCUCUCAUCGGGAAAUGGCAAUCUCCAUCAACAUCUUCAUCAGCACCAUCUCAUCUCAAAACCCUAGUUUAUCUCUUGUAUCCAAUUCUUGUCUCCAAGUCCUAGAUUGGUGCUAGUAGGUUGCUAGUAGUGUUAAUUACUCCUUGUAGUUGAUGCUAGUUGGUUUAAUUGGUGGAAGAUCAUAUGUUCAGAUCCUAUAUGCACAUUAAUACCCCUCUGAUUAUGAACAUGUUUAUGCUUUAUGAGUAGUUACUUUUGUUCCUGAGGACAUGGGAGAAGUCUUGCUAUUAGUAGUCAUGUGAAUUUGGUAUUCAUUCGAUAUUUUGAUGAGAUGUAUGUUGUCUCUCCUCUAGUGGUGUUAUGUGAACGUCGACUACAUGACAGUUCACCAUUGUUUGGGCCUAGAGGAAGGCAUUGGGAAGUAAUAAGUAGAUGAUGGGUUGCUAGAGUGACAGAAGCUUAAACCCUAGUUUAUGCGUUGCUUCGUAAGGGGCUGAUUUGGAUCCAUAUGUUUCAUGCUAUGGUUAGGUUUACCUUAAUACUUUUGUCGUAUUUGCGGAUGCUUGCAAUAGAGGUUAAUCAUACGUGGGAUGCUUGUUCAAGUAAGGGCAGCACCCAAGCACCGGUCCACCCACAUACCAAAUUAUCAAAGUACCGAACGCGAAUCAUAUGAACGUGAUGAAAACUAGCUUGACGAUAUUCCCAUGUGUCCUCGGGAGCGCUUUACAUGAUAUAAGAGUUUGUCCAGGCUUGUCCUUUGCUACAAAAAGGAUUGGGCCACCUUGCUGCAUGAUACGUCCAUUUUGCAUCAUACUUUUAUAUCGACAUUUAUUGCAUUAUGGACUGUUAUUUCACUUUAUGUCACAAUACUUAUGGCUAUUCUCUCUUAUUUUACAAGGUUUACAUAAGGAGGGAGAAUGCCGGCAGCUGGAAUUCUGUGCUGGAAAAGGAGCAAAUAUUAGAGACCUAUUCUGCGCAACUCCAAAAGUCAUGAAACUCCACGGAACAUCUUAAAAUAAAUAAAGAAAAAUACUCGCCAAAGAUGAAGGCCAGGGGGCCCACACCCUACUCACGAGGUUGGGGGGCGCGCCCCCUACCUCGUGGGCCCCCUGGUGGCUCUCCGACGUCCAUCUUCUCCUAUAUGAAGUAUUUCGAUGAGAAAAAAUCAGGAGGAACUUUUCAGGACGAGACUCCGCCGCCACGAGGCGGAACCUUGGCGGAACCAAUCUAGAGCUCCGGCAGAGCUGUUCUGCCGGGGAUACUUCUCUCCGGGAGGGGGAAAUCAUCACCAUCGUCAUCACCAACGCUCCUCUCAUCGGGAGAGGUCAAUCUCCAUCAAGAUCUUCACCAGCACCAUCUCAUCUCCAAACCCUAGUUCAUCUCUUGUAUCCAAUUGUUGUCUCAAAGUCCAGGAUUGGUGCUAGUAGGUUGCUAGUAGUGUUGAUUACUCCUUGUAGUUGAUGCUAAUUGGUUUAUUUGGUGGAAGAUCAUAUGUUCAGAUCCUAUAUGCAUAUUAUUACCCCUCUGAUUAUGAACACGAAUAUGCUUUGUGAGUAAUUACGUUUGUUCCUAAGGACAAGGGAGAAGUCUUGCUAUUAGUAGUCAUGUGAAUUUGGUAUUCGUUUGAUAUUUUGAUAAGAUGUAUGUGGCUAGCCUCUAGUGGUGUUAUGUGAACGUCGACUACAUAACACUUCACCAUUAUUUGGGCCUAGAGGAAGGCAUUGGGAAGUAAUGAGUAGAUGAUGGGUUGCUAGAGUGACAGAAGCUUAAACCCUAGUUUAUGCGUUGCUUCGUAAGGGGCUGAUUUGGAUCCACAUGUUUCAUGCUAUGGUUAGGUUUACCUUAAUACUUUUGUUGUAGUUGCGGAUGCUUGCAAUAGAGGUUAAUCAUAAGUGGGAUGCUAGUUCAAGUAAGAACAGCACCCAAGCACCGGUCCACCCACAUAUCAAAUUAUCAUAGUAUCGAACGUGAAUCAUAUGAACGUGAUGAAAACUAGCUUGACGAUAUUCCCAUGUGUCCUCGGGAACGCUUUUCCUAUUAUAAGAGUUUGUUCCGGCUUGUCCUUUGCUACAAAAGGAUUGGGCCACCUUUCUGCACUUUAUUUAUUUUUGUUACUUGUUGCUCGUUACAAUUUAUCUUAUCACAAAACUAUCUGUUACCACUUAUUUCAGUACUUGCAGAGAAUACCUUGCUAAAAACCGCUUAUCAUUUCCUUCUGCUCCUCAUUGGGUUCGACACUCUUACUUAUCGAAAGGACUACGAUAGAUCCCCUAUACUUGUGGGUCAUCAAGACUCUUUUCUGGCGCCGUUGCCGAGGAGUGUAGCGCCUUUGGUAGGUGGAAUUUGGUAAGGAAAAAUUUAUAUAGUGUGCUGAAAUUUACUGUCACUUGUUACUAUGGAAAGUAAUUCUCUGAGGGGCUUGUUCGGGGUAUCUUCACCCCGUCCAGUAGAGCAAAGAGUUGCUCCUCAACUUACUAAACCUAUUGAAAAUGAAACUCCUUUUGAAUUUCCUUCGGGUAUGAUGGAAAAACUGCUAGCUAACCCUUUUACAGGAGAUGGAACAAAGCAUCCUGAUAAGCACUUAAUAUAUGUGGAUGAAGUUUGUGGAUUAUUUAAGCUUGCAGGUAUACCCGAUGAUGUUGCUAAGAACAAGGUCUUCCCUUUAUCUUUGAAGGGAGACGCAUUGAUAUGGUAUAGUCUAUGUGAUGAUAUGAAAUCAUGGGACUAUAAAAGAUUGAAGCUGGAAUUUCAUCAAUAGUAUUACCCUAUGCAUCUUGUUCAUCGUGAUCGCAAUUAUAUAUAUAAUUUAUGGCCUCGCGAAGGAGAAAGCAUCGCUCAAGCUUGGGGAGACUUAAAUCAAUGUUAUAUUCAUGCCCCAAUCAUGAGCUCUCGAGAGAAAUAAUUAUGCAAAGUUUUUAUUCUCGGCUUUCUCAUAAUAAUCAAACCAUGCUCAAUACUUCUUGUGCUGGCUCUUUUAUGAUGAAGACUAUUGAAUUCAGAUGGAAUUUAUUGGACAGAAUUAAACGCAACUCUGAAGAUUGGGACCUUGACGAAGGUAAGGAGUCAGGUAUGACACCUAAGUUUGAUUGUGUUAAAUCUUUUAUGGACACCGAUAUUUUCCGUAAGUUGAGCACUAAAUAUGGACUUGACUCUGAGAUAGUAGCUUCUUUCUGUGAAUCUUUUGCUACUUAUGUUGAUCUCCCUAAGGAGAAGUGGUUUAAAUAUCAUCCUCCCAUAGAAGUAAAAGUAGAUGCACCUAUUAAAGUUGAAGAAAAGACUGUCACUUAUAAUGAUCCUAUUGUUCCUACUUCUUAUGUUGAGAAACCACCUUUCCCUGUUAGAGUAAAGGAUCAUGCUAAAGCUUCAACUGCUGUUCGUAAAAGCAAUAUUAGAACUUAUACACCUCCUGAGUAAGUUAAAGUGGAACCUAAUAUUGCUAUUGUGAAAGAUCUCUUGUGUGAUAAUAUUGAUGGGCAUGUUAUUCAGUUCGAAGGUGAAACUGCUAGAAUUGCUAAACCUUGUGCUAAAGAUAAAUAUAGACCUGUGGUAGGCGUGCCUGUUAUUUCUGUUAAAAUAGGAGAUCAUUGUUAUCAUGACUUAUGUGAUAUGGGUGCUAGUGCUAGUGCAAUACCUAUUGACUUAUACAAAGAAAUUAUGCAUGACAUUGCACCUGUUGAGUUAGAAGAAAUUGAUGUUACUAUUAAACUUGCUAAUAGAGAUACUAUUUCACCAAUGGGAAUUGUUAGAGAUGUUGAAAUCUUGUGUGGGAAAACUAAAUAUCCUGCUGAUUUUCUAGUUCUUGGUUCCCCACAAGAUUGCUUUUGUCCCAUUAUAUUUGGUAGACCCUUCUUGAAGACUGUUAAUGCUAGGAUAGAUUGCAAAAAGAAUGUUGUUACUAUUGGCUUGGAUGAUAUGGUUCAUGAGUCUAAUUUCUCUAAAUUUAGUAAACAACAUCGUGAGGAAGAAUUACCUAGUAAGGAUGAAAUUAUUGGUCUUGCUUCUAUUUCCGUACCUCCUAGUGAUCCUUUAGAACACUAUUUGCUAGACCAUGAAAAUGAUAUGUUUAUGAAUGAAAGAAGGGAAAUAGAUGAAGUAUUCUUUAAACAGGAACCUAUUCUGCAACACAAUUUGCCUGUUUAAAUUUUAGGGGAUCCUCCUCCACCCAAGGGUGAUCCCGUGUUUGAGCUUAAACCGUUGCCUGAUAAUCUUAAAUAUACUUAUCAUGAUGAAAAGAAGAUAUAUCCUGUUAUUAUUAGUGCUAACCUUUCAGAGCAUGAAGAAGAAAGAUUAUUGAAAACUCUGAAGAAGCAUCGUGCUGCUAUUGGAUAUACUCUUGAUGAUCUUAAGGGCAUUAGUCCCACUAUAUGUCAACAUAAAAUAAAAUUGGAAGAAGAUGCCAAACCAGUUCGUGAUCCUCAAUGAUGUCUAAAUCCUAAAAUGAAAGAAGUGGUAAGAAAAGAAAUACUAAAGCUUCUGGAGGCAGGUAUAAUCUAUCCCAUUGCUGAUAGUGAGUGGGUAAGUCAUGUCCAUUGUGUCCCUAAGAAGGGAGGUAUUACUGUUGUUCUUAAUGAUAAAGAUGAAUUGAUUCCACAAAGAAUUAUCACAGGUUAUAGGAUGGUAAUUGAUUUCCGCAAAUUAAAUAAAGCUGCUAAGAAAGAUCAUUACCCCUUACCUUUUAUUGAUCAAAUGCUAGAAAGAUUAUGCAAACAUACACACUAUUGCUUUCUAUAUGGUUAUUCUGGUUUCUCUCAAAUACCUGUGUCGGCUAGAGUUCAAUCAAAGACCACUUUUACAUGCCCUUUUGGUACUUUUGCUUAUAGACGUAUGCCUUUUGGUUUAUGUAAUGCACGUGCUACCUUUCAAAGAUGCAUGAUGGCUAUAUUCUCUGACUUUUGUGAAAAGAUUUGUGAGGUUUUCAUGGACGAUUUUUCUGUCUAUGGUUCCUCUUUUGAUGAUUGCUUGAGCAAUCUUGAUCGAGUUUUGCAGAGAUGUGAAGAAACUAAUCUUGUCUUGAAUUGGGGAAAAUGCCACUUUAUGGUUAAUGAAGGUAUUGUCUUGGGGCAUAAAGUUUCUGAAAGAGGUAUUGAAGUUGGUAAAGCCAAGGUCGAUGCUAUUGAAAAGAUGCCAUGUCCCAAGGACAUCAAAGGUAUACGAAGUUUCCUUGGUCACGCCGGAUUUUACAGGAGGUUCAUUAAGGACUUCUCAAAAAUUUCCCGGCCUCUGACUAAUUUAUUGCAAAAAGAUAUACCAUUUGUCUUUGAUGAUGAUUGUGUAGAAGCAUUUGGAACACUUAAGAAAGCAUUAGUCUCUGCACCUGUUGUUCAGCCACCUGAUUGGAAUUUACCAUUUGAAAUUAUGUGUGAUGCUAGUGAUUAUGCUGUAGGUGAUGUUCUAGUGCAAAGAGUUGAUAAGAAAUUAAAUGUUAUUCAUUAUGCUAGUAAGACUCUAGACAAUGCUCAAAGAAAUUAUGCUACUACAGAAAAAGAGCUUUUAGCAGUUGUAUUCGCUUGUGAUAAGUUCAGACCUUAUAUUGUUGAUUCCAAAGUAACUAUUCACACUGAUCAUGCUGCUAUUAAAUAUCUUAUGGAAAAGAAAGAUGGUAAACCUAGACUUAUUAGAUGGGUUCUCUUGCUACAAGAAUUUGAUUUGCAUAUUGUUGAUAGAAAGGGAGCUGAGAACCCUGUUGCAGACAACUUGUCUAGGUUAGAGAAUGUUCUUGAUGACCCACUACCUAUUAAUGAUAGCUUUCCUGAUGAAAAAUUAAAUGUUAUAAGUACUUCUCGUAGUACUCCAUGGUAUGUUGAUUAUGCUAAUUAUAUUGUUGCUAAAUUUAUACCACCUAGCUUCACAUACCAAUAAAAGAAAAAGCUUUUCUAUGAUUUAAGACAUUACUUUUGGGAUGACCCACAUCUUUAUAAAGAAGGAGUAGAUGGUGUUAUUAGACGUUGUGUACCUGAGCAUGAACAGGAACAAAUCCUAUGCAAGUGUCACUCCGAGGCUUAUGGAGGACACCACGCUGGAGAUAGAACUGCACAUAAGGUAUUACAAUCUGGUUUUUAUUGGCCUACUCUCUUCAAGGAUGCCCAUAAGUUUGUCUUCUCUUGUGAUGAAUGUCAAAGAAUUGGUAAUAUUAGUAGACGUCAAGAAAUGCCUAUGAAUUAUUCACUUGUUAUUGAACGGUUUGAUGUUUGGGGCUUUGAUUAUAUGGGACCUUUUCCUGCCUCUAAUGGAUACACACAUAUUUUAGUUGCUGUUGAUUACGUUACUAAGUGGGUAGAAGCUAUUCCAACUAGUAGUGCUGAUCAUAACACUUCUAUUAAAAUGCUUAAAGAAGUUAUUUUCCCGUGGUUUGGAGUCCCUAGAUAUUUAAUGACUGAUGGUGGUUCACACUUUAUUCAUGGUGCUUUCCGUAAAAUGCUUGCUAAAUAUGAUGUUAAUCAUAGAAUUGCAUCUCCUUAUCACCCUCAGUCUAGUGGUCAAGUAGAGUUGAGCAAUAGAGAGCUCAAAUGUAUUUUACAAAAGACUGUUAAUAGGUCUAGAAAGAAUUGGUCCAAGAAACUUGACGAUGCAUUAUGGGCUUAUAGAACUGCAUACAAAAAUCCUAUGGGUAUGUCUCCUUAUAAAAUGGUUUAUGGAAAAGCAUGUCACUUACCUCUCGAACUAGAACAUAAGGCAUAUAGGGCUAUUAAAGAGCUCAACUAUGAUUUCAAACUUGCCGGUGAGAAGAGGUUAUUCGAUAUUAGCUCACUUGAUGAAUGGAGAACCCAAGCUUAUGAAAAUGCCAAGUUGUUUAAAGAAAAAGUUAAAAGAUGGCAUGACAAAAGGAUACAAAAGCAUGAGUUUAAUGUAGGUGAUUAUGUAUUGCUAUACAACUCUCGUUUAAGUUUUUUGCAGGAAAACUUCUCUCUAAAUGGGAAGGCCCCUAUGUUAUCAAGGAGGUCUAUCGUUUCGGUGCCAUAAAAAUCAACAACUUCGAGGGCACAAAUCCAAAGGUGGUAAACGGUCAAAGAAUUAAACAUUAUAUCUCAGGCAAUCCCAUAAAUGUUGAAACCAAUACUAUUGAAACCGUAACCCCGGAGGAAUACAUAAGGGACACUUUCCGGAAUGUUUCAGACUCCGAAAAGGAAUAGGUAUGUAGUACAGUAAGUAAACCGACUCCAAAACAAUUUUUAAAGCAAUAUUUCUCCAUUUUGGAAUAUUUAGAAAAAUAGAAAAAUAAGUAGCAGUCCGGGAAGGACACGAGGGCCUCACAAGGGUGGUGGGCGCGGCCUACCCCUCUGGGCGCGCCCCCUACCUCGUGAGCACCUCAUGUGCCUUCCGGACUCCGUUUUCUUGCACGAUACGUAUUUUGGUCGGUAAAAAUUCAUUAUAUAACCUCCCGAAGGUUUUGACUCCCGUAUCACGCAAACCUCCUUUGUUCUUGUUUCGAGUUGUUUUCUGUCAGGGUUUUCCAGGCUAGGCAUCAUGUCGUCUCCCUCCUCCAACAAUGGUGACAACGAUGCUUGGCUAAUGAAGAUAGAUCUGAAGAGGGAAGAACCCACGAGGGUCAACAAGGAUGGAAGGAUCAAGAAGGCCAUGGAGGAUCAAGCUCCGGCAGCAAAAGACAUCCUUCAACUUGAUCAUAACCUUCUUACCCCAACUGAGAUCGAAGCUUUCAAGAUGAUUGAGUUGGCUCGUAUGAAAAACAAGUAUCUCACACAAGAAAAUAUUUUGUUGAAGGAGCAUAUUGACGCACUCAAGGGCAUUAUUCGCAAGCUGGAGGACCUCUUACGCUCGAUGUGCGAUUAUCCAUCACCUCCACCUUCUUCACCGACAAAGGAGAUAUAAUCACAUGGGUAUGGGCACUCCCCUUGGCAACUUCCAAGCUUGGGGGAGGUGCCCCGGUAUCAUAUCACAAUCACAACUCUUAUCUUUACCGUUUUUCUUAGUUCGAUCCUAUUAGUAGUAUCUUGAUCUAGUAGAAUAGAGUUUAUGGCAUGAUCUAGUUUUGAGUUUUGCUUUAUGAUCUCUCUUUGUAAUCAAGUCCGUGAGCUAUAUAUAAUAAAGAUUAGUGUUGAGUCAAGGGCUUGAUUAUUUUGCCAUGAUCUUGGGUGAAUAAAAGAAAAGAGAAAAAGAAUAAAAAGAAACAAAGAGUUCAUAUUGAUCUUAUUGAGAGUAAUGACUUCACAUAGAAAGAGUAUGAUGAUUAAAAGUUGUUGGGAGUUGGAAAACAUAGCUUUGGUCAUUGUUGCAAUUAAUAGGAAGUAAUUAGGAAAGAGAGGUUUUCACAUAUAGAUAUUUUAUCAUUGACAUCUUUUAUGAUUGGGACCACUCAUUAAAAUAUGACAUGUUAAAGAGUUGAUGUUGGACAAGGAAGACAACGUAAUGAGUUAUGUCUUUCUUAUAUCUGAGAUAAAGUAUGUUGUCAUGGAUCCUAUAACUUGUUGAGCUUGCCUUUCCCCCUCAUGCUAGCCAAAUUCUCAGCACCAAGUAGAAAUACUACUUGUGCUUCCAAAUACCCUUAAACCAGUUUUGCCAUGAGAGUCCACCAUAUCUACCUAUGGAUUGAGUAAGAUCCUUCAAGUAAGUUGUCAUCGGUGCAAAGCAAUAAAAAUUGCUCUAAAUAUGUAGGAUUGAUUGGUGUGGGAGAAAUAAGCUUUAUACGAUCUUGUGAUGUGGAAGUAAUAAAAGUGACGGACUGCAUAAUAAAUGUUCAUAUCACAAGGGGCAAUAUAAAGUGACGUUCUUUCGCAUUGAGAUUUUAUGCAUCCAACCAUAAAAGCGCAUGGCAACCUCUGCUUCCCUCUGCGAAGGGCCUAUCCUUUAUUAUUAUCUUCUACCUUCUGCAAGAGUCAUGGUGAUCUUCACCUUUUCUUUUUCAUUUUAUCCUUUGGCAAGCUCAGCAUGUUGGAAAGAAAAUUAUAUAUAAUUGGAUGUAGGGGAGCAUGAACCAUUAUUGUUGACAUUACCCUUGAGGUAAAAGGUUGUGGGGAAAAACUAUAAGCCCCUAUCUUUCUCUGUGUCUGAUUAAAACUCCGUAACCACAAGUAUUGCGUGAGUGUUAGCAAUUAUGGAGGACUAAAUGAUAGUUGAGUAUGUGGACAUGCUUUUUAACUUUGACAUAGACUCUUUCCGAUGUUAUGAUAAAUUGCAAUUGCUUCAAUGACUGAGAUUAUAGUUUGUUGGAGCCCAAUAAGGUUUAUGAUUCAUACUUUUGCAUUGUGAAUAGAUCAUCACUUGAACAUAAGUAAUCAUAUCACAAAAUCUAUAUAAGUUGCUGUUAUGAGAAUAAUCAUGAUGCCUUCAUGUCUGUAUUUUAUUUUUAUCCACGCCUCUACCUCUAAACAUGAGGACAUAUUUAUUGUUAUCGGCUUUUCGCUUGAGGACAAGCGAGGUCUAAGCUUGGGGGAGUUGAUGCAUCCAUUUUGCAUCAUGCUUUUAUAUCGAUAUUUAUUGCAUUAUGGACUGUUAUUUCAAUUUAUGUCACAAUACUUAUGGCUAUUCUCUCUUAUUUUACAAGGUUUACAUAAGAAGGGAUAGUGCCGACAGCUGGAAUUCUGGGCUGAAAAAGGAGAAAAUAUUAGAGACCUAUUCUGCGCAACUCCAAAAGUCCUGAAACUCCACGGAACAUCUUAAAAUAAAUAAAGAAAAAUCCUCGCCAAAGAUGAAGGCCAGGGGGCCCACACCCUGCACACGAGGGUGGGGGCGCGCCACCCCUAGGGCGCGCCCGCUACCUCGUGGGCCCCCUGGUGGCUCUCCGACGUCCAUCUUCUCCUAUAUGAAGUCUUUUGAUGAGAAAAAAUCAGGAGGAACAUUUCGGGACGAGACUCCGCCGCCACGAGGCGGAACCUUGGCGGAACCAAUCUAGAGCUCCGACAGAGCUGUUCUGCCGGGGAUACUUCCCUCCCGGAGGGGGAAAUCAUCACCAUCGUCAUCACCAACGCUCUUCUCAUCGGGAGAGGGCAAUCUUCAUCAAUAUAUUCACCAGCACCAUCUCAUCUCCAAACCCUAGUUCAUCUCUUGUAUCCAAUUCUUGUCUCAAAGUCCGGGAUUGGUGCUACUAGGUUGCUAGUAGUGUUGAUUACUCCUUGUAGUUGAUGCUAAUUGGUUUAUUUGGUGGAAGAUCAUAUGUUCAGAUCCUAUAUGCAUAUUAUUACCCCUCUGAUUAUGAACAUGAAUAUGCUUUGUGAGUAAUUAUGUUUGUUCCUGAGGACAAGGGAGAAGUCUUGCUAUUAGUAGUCAUGUGAAUUUGGUAUUCAUUUGAUAUUUUGAUAAGAUGUAUGUUGUCUAGCCUCUAGUGGUGUUAUGUGAACGUCGAGUACAUAACACUUCACCAUUAUUUGGGCUAGAGGAAGGCAUUGGGAAGUAAUAAGUAGAUGAUGGGUUGCUAGAGUGACAGAAGCUUAAACCCUAGUUUAUGCGUUGCUUCGUAAGGGGCUGAUUUGGAUCCACAUGUUUCAUGCUAUCGUUAGGUUUACCUUAAUACUUUUGUUGUAGUUGUGGAUGCUUGCAAUAGAGGUUAAUCAUAAGUGGGAUGCUAGUUCAAGUAAGAACAACACCCAAGCACCGGUCCACCCACAUAUCAAAUUAUCAAAGUAUCGAACGCGAAUCAUAUGAACGUGAUGAAAACUAGCUUGACGAUAUUCCCAUGUGUCCUCGGGAAUGCUUUUCCUAUUAUAAGAGUUUGUUCCGGCUUGUCCUUUGCUACAAAAGGAUUGGGACACCUUGCUGAACUUUAUUUACUUUUGUUACUUGUUGCUCGUUACAAUUUAUCUUAUUACAAAACUAUCUGUUACCACUUAUUUCGGUACUUGCAGAUAAUACCUUGUUGAAAACUGCUUAUCAUUUCCUUCUGCUCCUCGUUGGGUUCGACACUCUUACUUAUCGAAAGGACUACGAUAGAUCCCCUAUACUUGUGGGUCAUCAUUGCACCUUAUUUACUUUUGUCACUUGUUUCUUAUUACAAAUUAUCUUAUCACAAAACUAUCUGUUACCACUUGUUUCAGUACUUGCAGAGAAUACCUUGCUGGAAACCGCUUAUCAUUUCCUUCUGCUCCUCGUUGGGUUUGAAACUCUUACUUAUCGAAAGGACUACGAUAGAUCCCCUAUACUUGUGGGUCAUCAAGACUCUUUUCUGGCGCCGUUGCCGGGGAGUGAAGCGCCUUUGGUAGGUGGAAUUUGGUAAGAAAAAAUUAUAUAGUGUUCUAAAAUUUACUGCCACUUGUUACUAUGGAAAGUAAUCCUCUGAGGGGCUUGUUCAGGGUAUCUUCACCCCGGCCAGUAGAGCAAAGAGUUGCUCCUCAACCUACUGAACCUACUAAAAAUGAAAAUGCUUGCUUUGAAAUUCCUUUGGGUAUGGUAGAAAAACUGCUAGCUAAUCCUUUUUUAGGAGAUGGAACAAAACAUCCUGAUGAGAAUGUAAUAUAUGUGGAUGAAGUUUGUGGAUUAUUUAAUCUUGCAGGUGUACCCGGAGAUGUUGUUAAGAAGAAGGUCUUCCCUUUAUCUUUGAGGGGAGAUGCAUCGGCAUGGUAUAGGCUAUGUGAUGAUAUGGAGUCUUGGAACUACAAACGAUUGAAAUUGGAAUUUCAUCAAAAGUUUUAUCCUAUGCAUCUUGUUCAUCGUGAUCGCAAUUAUAUAUAUAUAAUUUUUGGCCUCGUGAAGGAGAAAGCAUCGCUCAAGCUUGGGGGAGGCUUAAAUCAAUGUUGUAUUCAUGCCCCAAUCAGGAGCUCUCAAGAGAAAUGAUUAUUCAAAAUUUUAUGCUCGGCUUUCUGGUAACAAUCGCACCAUGCUUGAUACUUCUUGCGCUGGCUCUUUUAUGAUGAAGACUAUUGAAUUCAAAUGGGAUUUAUUGGAAAUAAUUAAACGCAACUCCAAAGAUUGGGACCUCGACAAUGGUAAGGAGUCAGGUAUGACACCUAGUUUUGAUUGUGUUAAAUCUUUUAUGGAUACCGAUAUUUUUCGUAAAUUUAGCACUAAAUAUGGACUUGACUCUGAGAUAGUAGCUUCUUUCUGUGAAUCUUUUGCUGCUUAUGUUGAUCUCCCCAAGGAGAAGUGGUUUAAAUAUCAUCCUCCCAUAGAAGUAAAAGUAGCUGCACCUAUUAAUGUUGAAGAAAAGACUAUUACUUACAAUGAUCCUAUUGUUCCUACUUCUUAUGUUGAGAAACCACCUUUCCUUGUUAGGAUAAAGGAUCAUGCUAAAGCUUCAACUAUGGUUCGUAAAAGCAAUAUUAAAACAUAUACACCUCCUGAGCAAGUUAAAGUUGAACCUAAUAUUGCUAUUGUUAAUGAUCUCUUGUCUGAUAAUAUAGAUGGGCAUGUUAUUUAUUUCUGUAAUGAAACUACUAGAAUUGCUAAACCCUGUGAUACAGAUAAACCUAGACCUGUGGUAGGCAUGCCUGUUAUUUCUGUUAAAAUAGGAGAUCAUUGUUAUCAUGGCUUAUGUGAUAUGGGUGCUAGUGCUAGUGCAAUACCUUAUUCUUUAUACCAAGAAAUUAUGCAUGGCAUUGCACCCGCUGAGUUAGAAGAUAUUGAUGUCACAAUUAAUCUUGCUAAUAGAGAUACUAUGUCACCAAUGGGAAUUGUUAGAGAUGUUGAAGUCUUGCGUGGGAAAACUAAAUAUCCUGCUGAUUUUCUUGUACUUGGUUCCCCACAAGAUAGUUUUUGUCCCAUUAUAUUUGGUAGACCCUUCUUAAAUACUGUUAAUGCUACCAUAGAUUGCAAAAGGGAUGUUGUUACUGUCGGUUUAGAUGAUAUGACUCAUGAAUUUAAUUUUUCUAAAUUUAGUAGACAACACCGUGAAGAAGAAUUACCUAGUAAGGAUGAAAUUAUUGGUCUUGCUUCUAUUGCCGUACCUCCUAGUGCUCCUUUAGAACAAUAUUUGCUAGACCCUGAAAAUGAUAUGUUUAUGAAUGAAAGAAGGGAAUUAGAUGAAGUAUUCUUUAAACAGGAAACUAUUCUGAAAAACAAUUUACCUGUUGAAAUCCUAGGGGAUCCUCCUCCACCCAAGGGUGAUCCCGUGUUUGAGCUUAAACCGUUACCUGAUACUCUUAAAUAUGCUUAUCUUGAUGAGGAAAGGAUAUACCCUGUUAUUAUUAGUGCUAACCUUUCAGAACAUGAAGAAGAGAGAUUAUUGAAAACUCUAAAGAAGCACCGUGCUGCUAAUGGGUAUACUCUUGAUGUUCUUAAGGGCAUUAGUCCCACUCUAUGUCAACAUAAAAUUAAUUUGGAAGAAGAUGAUAAACCAGUUCGUGAUCAUCAACGCCGUCUAAAUCCUAAAAUGAAAGAAGUGGUAAGAAAGGAGAUACGAAAGCUCCUUGAGGCAGGUAUAAUUUAUCCCGUUGCUGAUAGUAAGUGGGUAAGUCCUGUCCAUUGUGUCCCUAAGAAGGGAGGUAUUAUUGUUCUUCCUAAUGAUAAAUAUGAAUUGAUUCCUCAAAGAAUUAUUACUGGUUAUAGGAUGGUAAUUGAUUUUCACAAAUUAAAUAAGGCUACUAAAAAAGAUCAUUACCCCUUACCAUUUAUCGAUCAAAUGCUAGAAAGAUUAUCCAAACAUACACAAUUUUGCUUUCUAGAUGGUUAUUCUGGUUUCUCUCAAAUACCUGUGUCAGCCAAAGAUCAAUCAAAGACUACUUUUACAUGCCCUUUUUGUAACACCCCGGAUGUAACUUUCCCAAUUUGUACUCCAACUCUUGCCGUUUCCGGCGUUAAGUUAUAUUUAUUUCCUCGGGUUCGGGUCUUUGUCUCCGUGUGUUGUUGUCUUUGUCAUGCAUCUCAUAUCAUGUCAUCAUGUGCAUUGCAUUUGCAUACGUGUUCGUCUCAUGCAUUCGAGCAUUUUUCCCGUUGUCCGUUUUGCAUUCCGGCGCUUCGUUCUCCUCCGGUUGCCAUUUCUAGCUUUCUUUCGUGUGUGGGGAUUAAACAUUUCUGGAUUGGACCAAGACUUGCCAAGCGGCCUUGGUUUACUACCGGUAGACCGCCUGUCAAGUUUCGUACCAUUUGGACUUCGUUUGAUACUCCAACGGUUAACCAAGGGACCGAAAAGGCCUCGUGUGUGUUGCAGCUCAACACCCCACCAAUUUGGCCCAAAACCCACCAAACUCUGCUCCAUGUCCUAGAGCGUUUGAUCACGAUCGCGUGGCCGAAAACCGCACCUCAUUUGGACUUUCCUAGCUCCCUCUAUGCCUAUAUAUACACCCCUCCGUUUUCGGAUCUUCUUCCUCCCUGAAACCCUAAAAAUUGCAGCUUCGCGCGCCGGACAUUGUCCGUCCGUGCCGGACGUGUCCACCACGCCGCCGCCACCUCACUCCGGCCUAUAGGAGCUUGCCACGUCGCCCCGCCGCCGCUCCAGGCCAACCACCACGCGCCACCCGGCCUCCCUCUCUCUCCUCCGCCGCCACGGGCCCGCGCGGCCCAGAUCUCGCCCGCGUGGCCNNNNNNNNNNNNNNNNNNNNNNNNNNNNNNNNNNNNNNNNNNNNNNNNNNNNNNNNNNNNNNNNNNNNNNNNNNNNNNNNNNNNNNNNNNNNNNNNNNNNNNNNNNNNNNNNNNNNNNNNNNNNNNNNNNNNNNNNNNNNNNNNNNNNNNNNNNNNNNNNNNNNNNNNNNNNNNNNNNNNNNNNNNNNNNNNNNGCCGCGCCACUCGCCGCCCCGCCACCAAGAUCGUCGUCGGCCGCCCCGCGCCCCGCGGCCGCCGCCCCGCCUCCGUGAAGCUCCGCCGCCCCGCCUCCUCAUCGCCGGCGGCCUCUCCGGCGAGAGAUCCGGCCGCCGCGGCUCUAUUUCCGGCGGUCCUCGAGCUGCUACAGUGCCGCCGGAGUUUGCCUCGGUUUCCGUGCAAACCCUAGAUCCGGAUCCGGAGGUUGAAUUUUUCCUAAGUCCCCAGAAUUUUUAGUCCAAGUGCUCCUGUUCGGGCCCCCGUAACUUUGCAUUCGUAGCUCCAAUUCAUGCAUAUAGCAUAUCAAAAUGUUCACCUCAGAGAGUACAUCAUUUCAUUCCAUUGCAUCAUUUUCAUUUGAGCUCAUCUUGAUGCCCGAAAUGCUAUUAGAAUAGGGCUACUUGAGUUAAUUGUCAGAUCUGUUACUCCGUUUAGCACUUUUGUCAUUUUUGCCAUGAUUAAUGUGUGCCUGUUAUGCCCGUGAGUUCUUCAUAUGUUUUGUUAAGGGUUUUGUCAUCUAUCCAGAGGUGCAACCCAUGUAUUUUUAGGAUGUGUGUAGUGACUUGUGCAAGCUUGCAAAGUGGUGCACUUGCUAAUUCUGUUUUCAGGGACUUAGUGAUUUCACCAAGUCCUGGGAUUGUUUAUCUCAUGAUGUCAUAUGUUCUUGUUGUUUCCUAGUGAUCCGUGCCUCUUUUGAGGAUGAUCAUUAAGGGAGUUUUGUUAAUAUUGUAGUGCUCUAUCCAUCCAUGUCUUUGUUUGCAAUUAUGGAGCACCCUAGCUUGAGUCAAUCGAGCUCUACUUUUGCUUCGUUGUGAUUCUGGGCAGAUCAUCAACUUGUUUGCGAUUUUGCCGAUGUUAUUGUAGUUGAUACGUGCAUGCUAUGCCAUUGUUCUUCCCAUGCCUAGCUUCUAUUUUGUGCCUUCUUAAGGGAUGUAUGCUUGUCUUGCCAUGACUUGCACCGUAGUGAGUGCAUCGAGCUCGUAAACAUGCCUUCGUGAGUUAUGUUUCAGCAUGUCCCAGUUUUUCACUAAGUCUGAAACUGAUUAUGUUUUUGCUAUGUUCGUGUGCUUGUUAGUAUAUUUUAUGAUCCCUUUUGGCUCAAGGUCACUAAGCUUGUUGAGUAGCUCCAUGCCAUGUUUUUCUUUGUCAUGUUCAGGUCCUGUAGCAUGUUGUUUUGUUGCUCCAAAGAGGGCUAUAUGAUCUGAAAUUCCAGACAAGUGUUAAUUUCACUAAGUCUGAGAUCUGUUUGUCAUUUGCAUUUUUGCCAUGCUUGUUUGAACCUGUUAAUGGAUGAUUUGGCCGUAGCUCAGUGCUAGACUUUUGUUAAGCAUCUUGUGUGCAUCCCUGCCAUGUAUUUUGUUGUCAUGUUUGGGUGCUGUAGCAUGUUCGUUUCGUUGCAUUUAGAUGCCUACUUGCUUUAAAUCGCAGACCGGUGUCAUUUUUGAAUCGCAUGCCAUUUCCAAACCGUAACUCCGAUUCCGGCGUUCUUUAUAUCGUUUUCAAGCGAUUUCAUCUCAUCUUUCCAGUGGCACACUUGGAAUUCCAAGUUGAGGCCAGGUUCAUGCAUUUCCUGUCAUAUCUUGCAUUUUGCAUCUCGCAUCGCAUCCCGCAUAGCAUAUCACCAUUUCAUCAUGUUGCUUGAUCUUGCACGUGGUUGAUUGUAUCCUUGUUGUUGUUUGUCUUGUUUGGGUAGAGCCGGGAGAUGAGUUUGCUAACGAGGAGCCCAUUGAUUUUGCUUUUGAGGAUCCAGUCAACUCUGACAACUGUGUAGGCAAGAUGAUCAUACCCUCGAAAUCACUACUAUCUUUGCUAUGCUAGUUUGCUCGCUCUUUUGCUAUGUCAUUGCUAUGAUGCCUACCACUUGCUUGCAAGCCUCCCAAAUUGCCAUGUCAAACCUCUAACCCACCAUUCUCCUAGCAAACCGUUGAUUGGCUAUGUUACCACUUUGCUCAACCCCUCUUAUAAAGAUGCUAGUUGCAGGUGAAGUUUGGAGGCCGUUCCUUAUUGGAACAUUCAUUUACUUGUUGGGAUAUCAUUAUAUUGCUAUGUUAUCUUAAUGCAUCUAUAUACUUGGUAAAGGGUGGAAGGCUCGGCAUCUCGUCUAGUGUUUUGUUCCACUCUUGCCGCCCUAGUUUCCGUCAUAUCGGUGUUAUGUUCCCGGAUUUUUGCGUUCCUUACGCGGUUGGGUUAUAAUGGGAACCCCUUGAUAUUUCGCCUUGAUUAAAGCUUUUCCAGCAAUGCCCAACAUUGGUCUUACCAUUUGCCACCUAGCCUUUUCUUUCCCUUGGGUUCUGCAGACACAAGGGUCAUCUUAUUUUAUCCCCCCCCGGGCCAGUGCUCCUCUGAGUGUUGGUCCCACCGAGCGAUGUCCGGGGCUACCAGGGGCAACUUUGGGCUGGCCUACCCGAUGUUUGGCUCAUCUGAGUGUGCCCUGAGAAAGAGAUAUGUCCAGCUCCUAUCGGGAUUUGUCGGCACAUUCGGGCGAUGUUGCUGGUCUUGUUUUAACCUUUCGAAGUGUCUUGAGUUACCGAGAUACCGAGUCUGAUCGGAACGUCUUGGGAGGAGGUCUAUUCCUUCGUUGACCGUGAGAGCUUGUCAUGGGCUAAGUUGGGACUCCCCUGCAGGGAUUGAACUUUCGAAAGCGGUGCCCGCGGUUAUGGGCAGAUGGGAAUUUGUUAAUGUCCGGUUGUAGAUAACUUGAACCUUAAUUUAAUUAAAAUGAAUCAACUGAGUGUGUUACCGUGAUGGCCUCUUUUCGGCGGAGUCCGGGAACUGGACACGGUGUUGGAGUAAUGUUUGCGCAGGUUGCUCUCUAGUUUCUCGCUCGCGCUUUGCCUCCUCUUCUCGCUCUCUUUUGCGAAUAAGUUAGCCACCAUACUUGCUAGUCGCUUGCUGCAGCUCCACUCAUAUUUUACCUUGCCAUUCCUACAAGCUUAAAUAGUCUUGAUCGCGAGGGUGCGAGAUUGCUGAGUCCCUGUGGCUCAUAGAUUACUAUUACACCAGAUGCAGGGCCUGAUGAUUCCGCUCCAGGAGACGCGUAUGAGCUUAAGUGGGAGUUCGACGAAGACUCUCAACGAUACUAUGUUUCCUUUCCCGAUGAUCAGUAGUGGUGCCCAGUUGGGGGUGAUUGGGACCGUUGUCGCAUGUUGGGUUCACUUUAUUUUGGCGCCGUAGUCGGGCCAUGAGUGUUUUGGAUGAUGUAAUGUUAUUUAUGUACUUGAUUGACGUGGCGAGUGUAAGCCAACUAUGUUAUCUCCCUUUUUAUUAUCAUAUUACAUGGGAUGUUGUGAAGAUUGCCUAACUUGCGACAUAUGCCUUCAAUGCGAUUAUAUCUCUAAGUCGUGCCUCGACACGUGGGAGCUAUAGUCGCAUCGAGGGUGUUACACUUUUGGUACUUUUGCUUAUAGACGUAUGCCUUUUGGUUUAUGUAAUGCACCUGCUACCUUUUAAAGAUGCAUGAUGGCUAUAUUCUCUGACUUUUGUGGAAAGAUUUGUGAGGUUUUCAUGGACGAUUUUUCCGUCUAUGGAUCUUCUUUUGAUGAUUCCUUGAGCAACCUUGAUCGAGUUUUGCAGAGAUGUGAAGAAACUAAUCUUGUCUUGAAUUGGGAAAAGUGCCACUUUAUGGUUAAUGAAGGUAUUGUCUUGGGGCAUAAAGUUUCUGAAAGAGGUAUUGAAGUUGAUAAAGCCAAGGUUGAUGCUAUUGAAAAGAUGCCAUGUCCCAAGGACAUCAAAGUUAUAAGAAGUUUCCUUGGUCAUGCCGGUUUUUAUAGGAGGUUCAUCAAAGACUUCUCAAAAAUCUCUCGGCCUCUGACUAAUUUAUUACAAAAAGAUAUACCAUUUGUCUUUGAUGAUGAUUGUGUAGAAGCAUUUGAAAUACUUAAGAAAGCAUUGAUCUCUGCACCUAUUGUUCAGCCACCUGAUUGGAAUUUACCCUUUGAAAUUAUGUGCGAUGCUAAUGAUUGUGCUGUAGGUGCUGUUCUAGAAGAAAAGUUGAUAAGAAACUAAAUGUUAUUCAAUAUGCUAGUAAAACUCUAGACAAUGCUAAAAGAAAUUAUGCUACUACUGAAAAAGAAUUCUUAGCAGUUGUAUUUGCCUGUGAUAAGUUUAGACCCUAUAUUGUUGAUUCUAAAGUAACUAUUCACACUAAUCAUGCUGCUAUUAAAUAUCUUAUGGAAAAUAAAGAUGCUAAACCUAGACUUAUUAGAUGGGUUAGAAUUUGAUUUACAUAUUGUUGAUAGAAAAGGAACUGAGAACCCCGUUGCAGACAACUUUUCUAGGCUAGAAAAUGUGCUUGAUUACCCACUACCGAUUGAUGAUAGCUUUCCCGAUGAGCAAUUAAGUGUCAUAAAUACUUCUCAUACUGCUCCAUGGUAUGCUGACUAUGCUAAUUAUAUUGUUGCUAAGUUUAUGCCACCUAGUUUCACAUACCAGCAAAAGAAAAAGUUAUUCUAUGAUUUGAGGCAUUACUUUUGUGAUGACCCACAUCUUUAUAAAGAAGGAGUAGAUGGUGUUAUUAGACGUUGUGUACCUAAGCAUGAAUAGGAACAGAUCCUACGCAAGUGUCACUCCGAAGCUUAUGGAGGACACCAUGCCGGAGAUAGGACUUCACAUAAGGUACUGCAAUCUGGUUUUUAUUGGCCUACUCUCUUCAAGGAUGCCCGUAAGUUUGUCUUAUCUUGUGAUGAAUGUCGAAGAAUUGGUAAUAUUAGUAGACGACAAGAAAUGCGUAUGAAUUAUUCACUUGUUAUUGAACUAUUUGAUGUUUGGGGCUUUGACUAUAUGGGACCUUUUCCUUCCUCUAUGGUAAUACACAUAUUUUAGUUGCUGUUGAUUACGUUACUAAGUGGGUAGAAGAUAUUCAAACUAGUAGUGCUGAUCAUAACACUUCUAUUAAAAUUCUUAAAGAAGUUAUCUUUCCAAGGUUUGGAGUCCCUAGAUAUUUAAUGACUCAUGGUGGCUCUCAUUUUAUUCAUGGUGCUUUCUGUAAAAUGCUUGCUAAAUAUGAUGUUAAUCAUAGAAUUGCAUCUCCUUAUCACCCUCAGUCUAGUGGUCAAGUAGAACUGAGUAAUAGAGAACUCAAAUUAAUUUUGCAAAAGACUGUUAAUAGGUCCAGAAAGAAUUGGUCCAAGAAACUUGAUGAUGCAUUAUGGGCCUAUAGAACCGCAUAUAAAAAUCCUAUGGGUAUGUCUCUGUAUAAAAUGGUCUAUGGAAAAGCAUGACACUUACCUCUCGAACUAGAACACAAGGCUUAUUGGGCUAUUAAAGAACUUAAUUAUGAUUUUAAGCUUGCCGGUGAGAAGAGUUUAUUUGAUAUUAGCUCACUUGAUGAAUGAAGAACUCAAGCCUAUGAAAAUGCCAAGUUUUUUAAAUAAAAAGUUAAAAGAUGGCAUGACAAAAGGAUACAAAAGCGCGAGUUUAAUGUAGGUGAUUAUGUAUUGCUAUACAACUCUCUUUUAAGAUUUUUUGCAGGAAAACUUCUCUCUAAAUGGGAAGGCCCUGACGUUAUCGAGGAGGUCUAUCAUUCCGGUGCCAUAAAAAUCAACAAUUUUGAAGGCACAAAUCCGAAGGUGGUGAACGGUCAAAGAAUCAAACACUAUAUCUUAGGUAAUCCUAUAAAUGUUGUGAAACCGUAACCCCAGAGGAAUACAUAAGGGACACUUUCCGGAACGUUUCAGACUCCGAAAAGGAAUAUGUAUGUGGUACGGUAAGUAAACCGACUCCAAAACAGUUUUUAAGGCAAUAUUUCUCCGUUUUGGAAUAUUUAGAAAAAUAGAAAAAUAAGCGGCAGUCCGGAAAGGACACGAGGGCUCCACGAGGGUGGAGGGCGCCCCCUACCUCGUGUGCUCUCCGGACUCUGUUUUCUUACAUGACACGUAUUUUGGUCGGUAAAAAUUCAUUAUAUAACCUCCUGGGGGUUUUGACUCCCGUAUCACGUGAAAAUCUUCUAUCUUUGUUUCGAGCUGUUUUCUGUCAGGGUUCUCAAGGCCAGGCACUAUGUCAUCUCCCUCCUCCUCCAACCAUGAAGGCAAUGAGGCUUGGCUGAUGAAGAUAGAGCUGAAGAGAGAAGAACCUAUGGAGAUCAACAAGGAUGAAGGGAUCAAGAAGGCCAUGGAGGACCAAGUUCCAGCAACAGAAGACACCCUCCAACUGGAUCACAAUCUUCAUACCCCAACAGAAAUCAAAGCUUUCAAGAUGAUUGAGUUGGCUUGUAUACAAAAUAAGUAUCUCACACGUGAAAAUAUUUUGUUGAAGGAGCAUAUCAUCGCACUCAAGGGCAUUAUCUGCAAGCUAGAAGACCUCCUACGCUCGAUGUGCGACUAUCCAUCAUCAACAACUCCCCCUUCUUCACCAACAAAGGAGACAUAAUCACCUGGGUAUGGGCACUCCACUUGGCAACUGCCAAGCUUGGGGGAGUGCCCCGGUAUCGUAUCACCAUCACUUUAUCUUUACCGUUUUUCUUAGUUCGAUCCUUUUGGUAAUAUCUUGAUCUAGUAGAAUAAAAGCACUUAGUAUGAUCUAGUUGUGAGUUUUGCUUUAUUACCCCUCUAUGUAAUCGAGUCCGUGAGCUAUAUAAUCAAGAUUAGUGUUGAGUCAAGGGCUUGAUUAUUUUGCCAUGAUCAUAAGUGAAUAAAGGAAAAGAGAAAAAAAUAAAAAGAAACAAAGAGAUCAUGUGACUCUUAUGGAGAGUAAUGAGCUCACAUAGAAAGAGUAUGAUGAAUAAAAGUUGUUGAGAGUUGACAAACAUAGUUUUGGUCAUCGUUGCAAUUAAUAGGAAGUAAUAAAGAAACAGAGGUCUUCACAUAUAAAUAUAUUAUCUUGGACAUCUUUUAUGAUUGUGAGCACUCAUUAAAAUGACAUGCUAAAGAGUUGACAUUGGACAAGGAAGAGAACAUAAUGGGUUAUGUUUUCUUACAUCUGAGACAAAUUAUAUUGUCUUGGAUCCUCCAACAUGUUGAGCUUGCCUUUCUCCCUCAUGCUAGCCAAAUUCAUUGCACCAAGUAGAAAUACUACUUGUGCUUCCAAAUACCCUUAAACCAGUUUUGCCAUGAGAGUCCACCAUACCUACCUAUGGGUUGAGUAAGAUCCAUCAAGUAAGUUGUCAUCGGUGUAAGCAAUAAAAAUUGCUCUCUAAAUAUGUAUGAUUGAUUGGUGUGGUAGAAAUAAGCUUUAUACAAUCGUGUGAUAUGGAAGUAAUAAAAGCGACAGACGCCAUAAUAAAGGUCCAUAUCACAAGUGGCAAUAUAAAGUGACGUUCUUUCGCAUUAGGAUUUUGUGCAUCCAACCAUAAAAGCGCAUGACAACCUCUGCUUCCCUCUACGAAGGGCCUAUUUUUUACUUUUAUCUCCUAUACUGCAAUAGAGUCAUGGUGAUCUUCACCGUUCCUUUUUAAAUUUUAUCCUUUGGCAAGCACAAUUUGUUGGAAAGAUCCUGGUAUAUAUGGCUAAUUGGAUGUGAUUUCUCAUGAACUAUUACUGUUGACAUUACCCUUGAGGUAAGACGUUGGGAGGCGAAACUAUAAGCCCCUAUAUUUCUCUAUGUCCGAUUAAAACUCCAUACCCAUAAGUAUUGCGUGAGUGUCAGCAACUGUGAAAGACUAUAUGAUAGUUGAGUAUGUGGACUUGCUGAAAAGCUCUUAUACAUUGACUCUUUCCUAUGUUAUGAUUAAUUGCAAUUGCUUCAAUGACUGAGAUUAUAGUUUGUUAGUUUUCAAUGAAGUUUACGAUUCAUACUUGAUGUUGUGAUUGAAUUAUUACUCUAUCAUAAGAAAUCAUAUGACAAGAAUUAUAUAAGUUGUUGUUCUAAGAAUGAUCAUGAUGCCCUCAUGUCCAUAUUUUAUUUUUUAACAACACCUCUUUCUCUAAACAUGUGGACAUAUUUUUCGAUUUCGGCUUUUCGCUUGAGGACAAGCGUGGUCUAAGCUUGGGGGAGUUGAUACGUCCAUUUUGCAUCAUGCUUUUAUAUCAACAUUUAUUGCAUUAUGGGGUAUUAUUAAACAUUAUGUCACAAUACUUAUGCCUAUUCUCUCUUAUUUUAUAAGGUUUAAAAAAAGAGGGAGAAUGUCGGCAGCUGGGAUUCUGGCUGGAAAAGGAGCAAAUAUUAGAGACCUAUUCUGCACAGCUCCGAAAAUCCUGAAACUUCACGGAUGAUGUUUUCCAAAUAUAUAAAAAACAUUGAGCGCAAGAACUUCACAAGGGGGGGCACACCCUGCCCACGAGGCUGGGGGCGCGCCCCCUACCUCGUGGGCCCCCUGGUGGCCCUCCAGUGACCAUCUUCUGCUAUAUGGACUCUUUCAAUGAGAAAAAAAAUCAUAAGCCACCUUCUCGGACGAAACUCAGCCGCCACGAGGUGAAACCUUGGUGGAACCAAUCUAGGGUUCUAGCGGGGCUGUUCUUCCAUGGAAACUUCCCUCUCGGAGGGGGAAAUCAUCGCCAUCGUCAUCACCAAUGCUCCUCUCAUCGGGAGAGGGCAAUCUCCAUCAACAUCUUCAUCAGCACCAUCUCAUCUCAAAACCCUAGUUUAUCUCUUGUACCCAAUUCUUGUCUCCAAGUCCUGGAUUGGUGCUAGUAGGUUGCUAGUAGUGUUAAUUACUCCUUGUAGUUGAUGCUAGUUGGUUUAAUUGGUGGAAGAUCAUAUGUUCAGAUCCUAUAUGCACAUUAAUACCCCUCUGAUUAUAAACAUGUUUAUGCUUUGUGAGUAGUUACUUUUGUACCUGAGGACAUGGGAGAAGUCUUGCUAUUAGUAGUCAUGUGAAUUUGGUAUUCGUUCGAUAUUUUGAUGAGAUGUAUGUUGUCUCUCCUCUAGUGGUGUUAUGUGAACGUCGACUACAUGACACUUCACCAUUGUUUGGGCCUAGAGGAAGGCAUUGCGAAGUAGUAAGUAGAUGAUGGGUUGCUAGAGUAACAGAAGCUUAAACCCUAGUUUAUGCGUUGCUUCGUAAGGGGUUGAUUUGGAUCCAUAUGUUUCAUGCUAUGGUUAGGUUUACCUUAAUACUUUUGUUGUAUUUGCGGAUGCUUGCAAUAGAGGUUAAUCAUAAGUGGGAUGCUUGUCCAAGUAAGGGCAGCACCUAAGAACCGAUCCACCCACAUACCAAAUUAUCAAAGUACCGAACGCAAAUCAUAUGAAUGUGAUGAAAACUAGCUUGACGAUAUUCCCAUGUGUUCUCGGGAGCGCUUUACAUCAUAUAAGAGUGUGUCCAGGCUUGUCCUUUUCUACAAAAAGGAUUGGGCCACCUUGCUGCACCUUAUUUACUUUUGUCACUUGUUGCUCAUUACAAAUUAUCUUAUCACAAAACUAUCUGUUACCACUUGUUUCAGUACUUGCAGAGAAUACCUUGCUAGAAACCGCUUAUCAUUUCCUUCUUCUCCUCGUUGGGUUCGACACUCUUACUUAUCGAAAGGACUACGAUAGAUCCCCUAUACUUGUGGGUCAUCAACCAUUCGUCCUAGCCAAUGAUGUGGCAUAGAUUUUCUAUGUGAAGGACAUGUCUACCAAGCCGAGAAAAAGAAAAGAUAAGGAAUCGAAUGCAUCAUACGAUGAGCCAAAGCGCCACAUAGUUCUUUUUGGAAAGAGAAACAUCGUGGGAGUGGAUGACAAGACAGACAUAUCAGAAGAUUAUGAAAAGUUUGAUGAAAUUGCUCCAUUCACAGUGAAUAUUGACCCGAGCAUCCCGUUAAAUGAUGAAGAUUUUCCAUGGCUACGGCGCAAAGGGACACACGCGAAGAAAAAGUUUCACACCCAAAGAUCUGGGAUGUUAUCGGCUUCACUAUCAUCACUUUCUUUUGUGUUUCACACCCAGGAGGGAAUCUCUGUAAUAGUUAGGUAGUUAUGUGUUUUGGCAUUUGAAACGCGAAGAAAUUUUAUGUGCAAACAAAUUAUUUCAGGCAUUUACUGAUUUUUUCAGCUAAAUGGCCCUGAAAUUGAAAAGCAUUUCAAAUGAACUGAGAAAAGGUUGAAAGUUAGCAUGGUAUCAUAAUUUCACCCACAUAGCAUGUGCAAAAAAGUAGAGAGGGUUACUGCAAAAACUGGAUGCACUUCGGGUACAAAAUGGACAAUCUCUUUCGAAGUAUCAGGGUUUCGGACGAAAACUCAUCUGUUACAAAGGCAUUUCAUUUUUUAAAUAACCUAAGCAUUGCCAAAUUGAAUAUAAUGAUAAAACACACUAAUAUUAAACAUAAAAAAAAGAAUCACUGAAAAAUCUAUUUUCAAAGUUAAGUUAUUCACAAACUAGUGAUUCACACAAAUUUCAAAUAAUUCAAAAUUUAAGCUAUUCAAAUUUGAAAACUACCGGCACUAAUAGAAAGUUAGUAAUUUUUUGUGCCUAAAGCAAAAAUAUUCACAAAGAAACCCUAAAUACAGCAAAAAAAACUAAAAAAAUAAAAAAAUAAAGCAAAUAAACAAGAAAAUAAAAAAGCCCGCCUACUGGGCCAGAGCGGCCUACAUACGACUAGAAACCCAACGUGUUAUUGGGCCAGGAUGCAGGCCCGCAAAGGCCCAGUAGGCCCACAGGGCAGCAGAGAACAUAUAGGCCCAGUAGGCCUGCUUUGGAGAGGAGCUCGAGGGAGCUGCCGCACUGAGGCUUAUAAACCAGUGCGGACGCCCCUCGACUAGCGAGGUGGGACUAAACUUGCCGCACCGCACCUGUGCCAACGCAACCCCUUUAGUACCGGGUCGUAGCUCCAAUGGUACUAAAGGGGGAUCUUUACUACCGGUUGGUGUCACCACCCAGUACUAAAGGGGGUGCGCUUCCCGCCGCUUCGCCUAGCCAAAACAGACCUUUAGUACCGGUUGGUGGCUCCAACCGGUACUAAAGGGGUGUUCUAUAUAAGAAAACCCUUCAAAAAAUUCGUUAGUUCGUUCUCCCUCUGCUUCUUCUUCUCCUCUGCCCCGUCACUCCCGCCCCUCGUCGCCGCCCCCGUCGCCAUCCCUGUCGCCGUCCCCUCUGUCUCGUCGUCCCAUCGCCGUCGCCCACGCUGUGAGCCCCUCUCCCCGGCCCCUCUCCUCCCUCCAAUCGAAGCCGCUGCGCCACCGGCGCCGUAGGUGCACACGCGCACACGCGUGCGCACACACACACACACACACACGCACACACACGCGCGCGCACACACACACGAUUCUGUUUUUUGUUUUUUCUGUUUUUAUACAAAUGUUUUAGAUGAAAUAAAUAAUUAGAUUAGAUUAAUGUCAAAUAGUAUAUAGAAAUUUUAGAAAUGUUAGUUUUAGCUAGAUGAAUUAGAUUAAUUUCAAGUUGUUAUAGAAAUGUUAGAACUGUUAUAAAAAUGUUAGUUUUAGCUAGAUAAAUUGGAUUAAUUUCAAAUUUUUAUAGAAAUGUUAGAAAUGUUAGUUUUUAGUUUCUUAUAAUUCUAGUUAUAGAAAUUUAGAAUUUGCAUAUAAGUCACAAUCAAAUAAUUUAAAAAAUGUUACUUUUGGGGCAUAUAGUAUUUUUCCUCGACGAUGCCCGCCCGCAUCCUCGCCGUCGACCCGUUCGUGACGACGUCCUACUUCAGGGGACCCAUGUCCAGGACUGGGCUCCGCCGGGCUGGCACUGGGAGGUGCUACCUUUAGGGGCUCGCCGCUUGGUGAGGAACCCGGGCCCCGUCGUCGACCCUGAUCUCCUUUGGUGGCCUUCACAUGGGCCACAUUCGAUGCAGAGGGAGUCGGCCCCGCCGGAGGUGGUGCAUCGCCGUGUCAGGGAGGAGGACAAACACGUCCAUCGCUACAUGGCUGCUAUGGACGCCAGGUUCUCCAAUACCUGGCAGGUUCUUUGGGCAGAUGACCGGAGAUAUGAUCCUGUGAUGGUUCCUUCUCUUUGGGUGUCCACCGCCCGCGCCCUAGGAACCGCGAGUGGCCUAGAUUCUUUUGUAGUAUUGGAUCUUUAUUAGCUACCUAGCCAGUGAUUAUUCGAGACGAUGUAUUCGAGAUUAUAUAUUAUUGGAGACGAUGUAUUCGAGAUUAUAUAUUAUUCGAGACGAUGUAUUCGAGAUUAUAUAUUAUUUGAGACGAUGCAUAUUAUGUACUAUAUGAUUCAGUUUUUCCUUAUUGAUUGCAUCCAUGGUUGUAAUUUUUGAAUAUUAAAUUGUUUUAUAUUUCUUCUGGAUUAGUUAAAUAAAAGCUAUGGCGGACAAUACUGGCAGAGAGGGAAAAGAGGCCCUGUUCGAGAUCAUACGAGAUCAUACACAGCCAGAUGAUCUGAAUGAAGCAGAUGACGGCUCCCAAUAUCUGAGUAAUACCAGGGAGGAUGAUGAUAAGAUAUUCGAUCAGGAUGGCCGAGCCGAUGAAGUCAUGAACUAUGAUUAUGAUUAUGAUGACGCAGACAAUGUUGAUCUUCAAAUAACAAAGACUACCGGCGAGGUAUAUUUAUAUAAGCAGGCAUCUGGUGAUCGUCGCAUGUUUUUUUAUUUGAAGAUAUAUUAAUGAAUCGAUCUUUCUUCUUUCAGCCCUCCAGAUCGAGCAAAUCUGUUUCUACAGACAGUAGGACAAAGCGAGGCCCAGGCACAAAGUUGAAGGAGGGUGUAAAUUACAACAUCGAUUCCAUCAAAGCUAGUGGCGAACCCCUCACGCCUAAGAACAUUGCGAACAAGUUUGUUCGUCAGUGCGGAGUUCUUGUGAAGGACCAACUCCCGAUCUCCAUUCAAGAAUGGAAAGAGCCAAAAACUAAACAUCCAGAUGUUACUUGGGUCGACGACAGAGCAAAAGAAAAGCUUUGGGAAUCUCUGAUGGAACAUUUCACCCUACCAUAUUAUUUCACUGAUGCAGAUGUGCAGAAAGUCAAGGACGCUGCUCUUAAGAAGAUGGCAAUUGCAUUCAACACCCACAAGAAAACUGUAUGGGCCAACUACGUCGCUGCAGAAAGGAAGACUCCUGAAUUCAAUGGAACACUUGAGAAGCAAAGAGAACACUGGCCCGCUUUCGUGAAAUUUAAGGAAUCAGAAUUAUCUAAGGAACGGUCGAGAAAAAAUAAGGCCAAUGCCGCAAAAAAGACGCAGUUCCAUAGGCUGGGGCCAGGUGGCUACGCGGUGGCAAUGCCUAAGUGGGAUAAGUCUGAGCAAGAGAUGGAGGAUGCAGGGGUCACUCCAGUUACUAGGAGCUAGCCCCCCAGGUGCAGAACUUGGUUCUAUGCGCAUGGGGGGCGUUGGACCCGGAGAUAGGCAUGGUUUCGAAGAAGACAAGUCUAAAAGGAGCCGAACAAAAUUUACUUGACGCAAUAGAAGAUGAUCGAAAGGGGGUGUUCACGCCCAACAGAGAGAACGACGAGCUUACGCGCGCCCUGGGAAAUCCUGAACACCCGGGAAGAACACGAGGCAAGGGUGUUAUUCCUUGGUAUGAGGGCUUUUCGGAAUGGAACGACGACUACAAGUGUCGUGCAAGAAAGAAGAUGGAGGAGGAGAAGAAGAGGAAGAUGGAGGAGGAGCAGAGGAAGCAGGAAGCAGAACGCCUUCAAGGCCUAGAAGUAAGGCACGCGGACUUGGCACUCAAAUUCCAGCGGUAGCAGCAGCAGAUUGACUCACUUAGCCAGGAAAUGGGGUCUCAGCAGCGGCAGCAGCAAGCGGAUGAUCCGGCAUUGGAUAGCACUGUCCCAUCCAUGCCGAGAAGCAGCGUUGGUUCCGCCCCGGGCGACGCACUGCUGGAUACAUACCCUGUGGAUGACAUCAUAGAGAACACUAACCGCGAGCUAACUUCAAAAUGAAGAACAUAUCCAUGAAGGUGGUGGACGCCGUUGCUUUUAAAAAUACCCCCGAAGCAACCUUCCAUUUCACCCUGAUUCCAGCGGGCUAUGCUCGUGUCUUGGUUGAUGAGGUGAUGGACCAAUAUUCGAGGCUAGAGUUUGACAUUCCUGGAGGUGACGACGAGCACACACUGGGAUAGGCCAUACAUCGUAUCAUCCUAUGGAGAAAGGAUUGCAUCAUCUUUCGAAGGCCACCGACACCGCGUCAGCCGACUCCUCCUCGAAGUCCACCACCGAGUUAGCAGACUCCCGCUCCUCCAUGUCCACGAACGCGUGAGCUGACUCCUCCUCGAAGUCCGCCACCGUGUCAGCAGACUCCCACUCCUCCAAGUCCACGAACGCGUGAGCCGACUCCUCCUCGAAGUCCGCCACCGUGUCAGCAGACUCCCCCUCCUCCAAGUCCACCAAUGCAUGAGCAGACUCCUGCUCCAACUCAGCCACGUCAGCUGUCUCCGCUGCCUCGGCAAUCGCAGAAGGGACACGCCGCAGCUAUGGUGCAUAGCGGUACGAGUCGAGGUAGUACAGGAGGUACAUGCGGAGGCAAGCGAUAUAAAUAUGGUCCAAGCCUCGCUCCUCUUCCUCAGAGGCCUUACGACAUGACUGAGGAGCAAAACGAAGCCAUAGUUAAGGCCCAAGUGGACGCCCAUUUUGGACCGAAACCGGCACCGCCGCCAAGGGAGAAAGUGCCUGAGGAAAAGAUUGACCACUUCAUUCGUAUGGCUAGACCACCAGCUCCCAAGCCUGUUGACUCAGACUAUGAGCGCCAAAUCAGGAAGGCACAUCGAGCACGACUAUAGAAGGAAGCAACCUUGAGCUCGAGCCAACAAGCAACUGUCAAAAAAUGUGGGAAACCCGUUCCCCAGCUGGGAGAACAGGCGGCGCAAUCGACCCCCCCCCCCCCGCUUGUUGUGCCAACAACACAUGAGAGUACGUGCGCCCUAUAUUAUUAUGGGCAAACUGUUCCCCAGCUGAACAAUCUGGUAAUAACCGAGGAUCAUAUAAGGCAGGCUAAAAUUCUCGAUAUCAGUGUUGGACAAGUCCUCGAGAUCGAGCCCAUGUCUCCUCUUAGAGAGGAGGAAAUAAAACGGAAAUAUGUCCGGGGCCAACCUUUUGUCAAGCCCGAGGAGGUCAAGAACCUCCCAACGAGAAUGUAUGAAUUACAUCAGUGGUACAUGAACAUUACCAAGAUUUCCAAUCGAGAGUCCAUCAUGGUGAAUGUCAAGGAGGAGCAUUACUUCCAUGAGAAAGCACUAUCCGUUGAGUAUUCAGAACUAUUUCAGUUAUAAAAUCAAGACGCACUCGACAAAUCUCUCGUCAGUUGCUAUUGUCUGUAAGUGAUUUCUUUCUGUAAUUUAAGUCUCAAGCUAGCUGUAGUGAUCAUUUUGAUCAAUCAUUACCUAUAAUUAUCCUCACUAUAUUAUUUUUUGUGGUAUUAUGCAAGAUGAAGAUGUAUGAAAUGAAAGAAUCUAGACGCUAUGGCAUCGGGUUCAUUGACCCAAAUACUGUUAAUAGCAAUGAAGAUAUACACAUGGCAAAUCCCAAGUUGUCGAGCAAGUUUAGAGGAAAGUAUGCUAGAGUUCUUCAAGCGCCUCAAUAGCAAUGAAGAUAUACUACUUCCUUACAACUUCAGGUGAGUCACACUGUCUUGUAGUGCAAAUUCUAUUUUUGCUUACUAGCUAGCUAGAUGUUAAUAAUUAAGUGUAUAUGGUUAGGCUAGUUAAUUAGUGUUGUGCACAUGCCCGCUUAAUUAAGACAUGCAAACGUGUGCGCAUGCAGUUACCACUGGAUCUUGUUAGUCAUUAAAGUUGAUAAAGGAACAGUUGAAGUACUGGACUCACUAGUUAAGAAAGAAAGUGACUUCGCCAUCGUGAAGGGGAUAGUCGGCAGGUAAUUUCAAUCAACUAUAUCUCGGCCUAUUUAAUUAGUUCGUCAUUUCCUGAUAUCAACUAUUUAAUAACCCCUUUAUUCAUUUUCUUUGCUGGCGGGCAGGGCUUGGGAAAAGUUCAUCAAGGUGACUCCAGGCAAAUGGCGACAAAACCUAUUUUGGUUUUGACCCAAGGUAAGUAAUUAAGUAUUACUAGCUAGCUUACCAUCUCUUUAAUUCUUGUUUCAAUACCAUUAAUUAAUUAUCAUGCUUGAUUAAUUAUUAUCUAAUUAAAUUUCAUUCUCGUAAAGGCCCUGAAGCAGGCUCCGGGAACUGACCUGUGUGCAUACUACGUUUGCGAGAACAUUCACAUGAUGGCGUCUGAAAUGAGCAAAUCUGAUAGACAGGAAUAUGUACGUUUGGCUGAACACUAUUCACAAUAUUUACAUCAUUAUCGAUAUCUAGUCAUGCAACUAAUAUACAUGCAUAUUGAUCUCCUUCUUAACAGUUCAAAGAGGUGCGGGAGAAGCUCCUACCAACGGAGCGCAUACUAGCACUUCAAGAGGAAAUAGCGAAAUUUUUGCUCGACCAGGUCAUAGAUCCUAAAGAAGAAAACUAUUACCCGCUACCACCCCCAUGAACCACUUGUCAUCGUGCUUUGAAGGUACCAAGGCAACAUGUAGGAGAAGUUGUAUAUAUAUAUACACAUGUGUAUGUGUGAAUAAUUAAUGGUGGUUGUGUGAUAAAUGUUUCCUACCACCCAUGGUAGUUACCACCACUUCCGUUUUGUAUGUUGUAUGUAGUAUUUGUCAAAAUCGAAAGUAUGUACGUGUAGUAUGUAGUAUAUAAUAACAUUUGGUUAGUAUGUAUCACAUUUUUAGGUAGCAUGUAUCGUAUUUUGAGUAUGCUCUUUUUUACAUACAAAUAUGUAUGUAUUUUAUAAAUAUAAUAAAAACUAUGGGCCAACUUGUAAUUUUUUUAUGUAACUCACUUUCAAGUAUCUUAAAUAUAGUGUAUGAACAUACUAAAAAUAAUAAAGUAGUAUAUAUACUAACACAUGGUAGUAUUUGAGACAUGUGGGGUAACUACCCCUAGGUGGUAGGAUAGAUUUUUCCUAUNNNNNNNNNNNNNNNNNNNNNNNNNNNNNNNNNNNNNNNNNNNNNNNNNNNNNNNNNNNNNNNNNNNNNNNNNNNNNNNNNNNNNNNNNNNNNNNNNNNNNNNNNNNNNNNNNNNNNNNNNNNNNNNNNNNNNNNNNNNNNNNNNNNNNNNNNNNNNNNNNNNNNNNNNNNNNNNNNNNNNNNNNNNNNNNNNNNNNNNNNNNNNNNNNNNNNNNNNNNNNNNNNNNNNNNNNNNNNNNNNNNNNNNNNNNNNNNNNNNNNNNNNNNNNNNNNNNNNNNNNNNNNNNNNNNNNNNNNNNNNNNNNNNNNNNNNNNNNNNNNNNNNNNNNNNNNNNNNNNNNNNNNNNNNNNNNNNNNNNNNNNNNNNNNNNNNNNNNNNNNNNNNNNNNNNNNNNNNNNNNNNNNNNNNNNNNNNNNNNNNNNNNNNNNNNNNNNNNNNNNNNNNNNNNNNNNNNNNNNNNNNNNNNNNNNNNNNNNNNNNNNNNNNNNNNNNNNNNNNNNNNNNNNNNNNNNNNNNNNNNNNNNNNNNNNNNNNNNNNNNNNNNNNNNNNNNNNNNNNNNNNNNNNNNNNNNNNNNNNNNNNNNNNNNNNNNNNNNNNNNNNNNNNNNNNNNNNNNNNNNNNNNNNNNNNNNNNNNNNNNNNNNNNNNNNNNNNNNNNNNNNNNNNNNNNNNNNNNNNNNNNNNNNNNNNNNNNNNNNNNNNNGGGGGAGGUGGGGGGAGGGCUUUAGUCUCCACUCUUUAGUGCCGGUUGUAGAACCGGCACUAAAAACCUUUACGAACCGGCGCUAAAGCCCGGUUCUGCACUAGUGUAUACCUAUAUAUUUGUCUUGUGGUCUUCUUCCAAGGCCAUUCACCUGUAGCAUCUCAUACAUGUCAAGACUUACGAGGAAGCUGAAAUCGUGGCACUUAGGAUUUAGGUGUUAGAUACAUGUAGAGUGUUCGGAAUAGUAGGCAUACAGGAAUAUGUUCAUUUAUGUUGUGUUCAAACUGGCGUCAUGUAAUUACGGCCACCACGCUAGACGUGGCAGCUAGGGAAAAAAAUUAGGAAAACGUUUCCAAACAGUCGGAUGAUUUCUCGCAUUCGUAAGCCGCGUCCGGCGUCGUCUGAUGCUACCCGAUCAUGUGGCGCGGAGCGCUUCUCUGUCCCCACGCGCGAAGAUAGCACAUCCACGUCAGUUUCGUGAGUUCAUGACUGUAGUAUGUAGCAUGUAGCAUCAGUAUUGUCAGUUUACACUGUACUUCAUAAGCGGUGUUCUUACCAGUAGCUACACAUGUGAUGGUACAAAUAAUCUGAAGAGAAAGCACGUAGCAAAUGCUAAAUGAGGAUUCUAAGCACCAUCUUUUGAACGCUGAUCGUGAGUAUUGGUUUUGAUCUCGUACUAGCAAGCUCAUGUUUUUUUUUUUAGAAAAGGAGGACGACCCCCGGCCUCUGCAUCUGGGCGAUGCAUACGGUCAUUUUAUUAAUUAUUGACACAAGACCGUACAGAGUCAUACAAUAAUAAGUCUAAAGCCACCAAAACAAGCAACAACUGUCGCUAUCCCUAUCCAGUUGAUGUAGGGGCGCUGAAAGUCUGGGCCUAAUACCAAACAGACCACGCAGCCAAACCUAAACAUCUAAAGACUUGAGGUCCCACCCAGGACGCCUGCCUGGUAUGGGCACCCACCAGUCCGGCGUGCUUCUCAACCAAGACCCCUGCCGGGUAUGAGGCCGCCGCAGCCGCCUGCCACCAAUCCAUCUUCAGAGCUGUACUGUUGCACCGACCUUGCCAGGCCUAUCUGCCAUCAACGCCACCAUGACGCCAGACAGCUUCCACCUCCUGCACGAGUCCAUCUCCGCGCAUCAGACGCCGAGUCUCCACAGCGCCACGCCGCCGAGAUCCGCCACCAUCAAUGUGUAAGAUGAAGCACCGCUCCACCAAAGUCACCGUCCUCUAGUCCCUCGAGCCCAUGUGCACCUCCAAGAAUGACGCCCCCAGGGGGGAAACGACACCAGCGAGCCGCCGUCAUCCGAUCUACUGAUCUAGGGUUUCCCCCGGAGGUAGCAGAGAGUGGCCUUGAACUUCUCCACGACGAUGCCUUCAGGAAGGGAACGACGCAGACAGCGUCGCCAUCGCCGGCCUUGGCAAUCGCCAAUAGCAGGUUUUCACCCGGAUUUGAUCGAAGACCUCCAUCCCUCGUGCACGGGUCGCCAAACCGCCGGGCACGCACCACCGGAACCACAAUCCGUCGGCCAACCCCAAAGCGUUGCCGCCGCGAGGUCAGCUUUGGCUGGGGCGCCGACAGCCAUCCCCGACCCCCGGCCCAUCCCACCUCCUCCCCCCCGGAUGAAGAAGAGGAGGGGAAGGCCGAGGCCGAGGCCACCACUGCUGCACCGACCCCUCCGCCAGCCGGCCACGGCGGAGGAAGCCGCCCGCAGCCCGCACCGCCCGCAGCCCGCCCCAACCAGAUCUGGAUCGAGCCGCCGCCGUCACCACACCAGCCGAGCACCACCGAGGAGCAGCCCAUCACGCCACCCGCACACCCGCGCGCCAACCUGCGCCGAUGAGGGGCCGCGCCGUGGCGCCCCGCGAGAACGCCGUGACCAGAUCCAGGUCGGCCGGCCCGCGCCAGCCCUCCCGAACGAGGCGAUGAAGACGCCCCGCCGCCGCCGGCGCCGACCGGGCUUCGCCCGGGCGCGCCCUCUGGCGGCGGCGGGAGGAGGAGGAGGAGAAGAGAGGUGGAGAGGCGGCCGGCGGCUAGGGUUCCUCCCCUGCCGCCCGCGGGAGCACCAAAGGAGGACGAGUCCUUGCAGUCGUCACGGGCACUAGCAAGCUCAUGUAGUCAAGGUUGCUUUGGAUAUAGUGUCCUUGACGCUGUUGCCGCCGCAUUCGAAGCAUGCCAUCGCAACAUCAUCAAAGCAGCUGGGUCGCCAUCGCCUCAUCGUUAUGUCGAAGCAUGCCAUUGCACCAUCAUCAAAGCAGCCAUGUUCGUCCUCAGAAGAGUGUCGUGUCCGUGAAACACGCCAUUGCAACACCAUUGAAGUAGCCGGGCCUCCACGGUUGUCGAAGCACGACGUCCAAGUAUCACCACAACUGUUCAAAGCACACUGGUGUAGCAUCAUCGUGAGCCGUAGAAGCAUGUUAUCGCAGCAUCAUCUGGGCCGUCGAAGCACACCACGACCAUUCAAAGCAUGUCGUCAUGCCAUUGUCGUGGCCGCCAAAGCAUGUCAUCUCGGCAUCGUUGAAGCCCACCAUGGGUAUUCGAAGCAUGUCGUUGUGCUAACACCGCAUCGUCGCGGCCACAGUAGCAUUGCCUCGUAACAUCAUCAAAGAAAAACCGAGAUGUCGUCGCAGCACACCCAUGGGCGUUCGAAGCAUGUCGUUGCGGCCGCCAAAGCAAGCAGACAGAACAUCAUCGAAGAAGUUGCAAUGCGGUCACAACACACCACGGGCGUUUGAAGCAUGUCGACACGGCCGCCGAAGCAAGCAGUCGGAACAUCCUCGAAGAAGCCGGGGUGCCAUCGCAACUCACCAUGGCGUUCGAAGCAUGUCGCCGUUGCCGCCAAGGCAAGCUGUCAGAACAUCCUCGAAGAAGCUGAGGUGCCUUCGCAGCACACCAUGGGCGUUCGAAGCAUGUCACCGGCUGCCGAAGCAAUCCGUUGGAACAUCCUCGAAGAAGCCGGGGUGCUUUCGCAGCACACCAUGGGCGUUCGAAGCAUGUCGCCGCGGCCGCCGAAGUAAGCCAUCGCAACAUCCUCAAAGAAGUCGGGAUGUUGUCGCACCACAUGUACCGUGGGUGUUCGAAGCAUGUCGUCGCGCCAUCGGCGUGGUCGCCGCAACCAAAGCAGUCGCAUGUUGCAAAGACCGCCUCGAGUCGUAGCACUGCCUCGCGACCUCAUAGUGACACCCGUAGCAGCCAAACCACCCUCGCAACAUCAUCAUCUCAGCUUUUCAGUGCACCAGGCCUCAUAUGUAGCAGCCACUCUGUCGCUGGUGUUCGAAGCAUCUCGUGUCGUUGCAAUGGGGUUGUCAUUUAACUUUCAAAGUUGCACGCUGUUGCAUGUCAUUGCAUGUCAGACAUCAAUGCUUCAAGGGCCUCCUCCAGUGUUGAUGCAAGGAUGGUUCUCCACUGACCACAGGCAUGUUGCUGCGUUGCAGCAUGCAACGCCAAGCUUGGCCGUUGUGUUGGUUGGCUUCUUUGACAAGCCGAUAAUGGUGGUAUGACGAAGAAUGUGAACGCACAUGUGGCUGUAAGGUGAAAGGAAUAAAACAAGUUGAUAUUUCGAUCGUGACCAUGCCAAUCGAGUGGAUGGGGAGGCGGCUGAUCUCCGCAUGGGAUCAACCGGAUGAUCCCUAGUACAAGCCAUUUUUGCUGCAAUGUUAGAGCACCAUGUUGCAAAGCGAGGCACGUGAUGCUAGAAUAGUCGAAGAUGUUGCCGGUGUUGCAACCAUUGCGGGAGUGUCGUCGGUGCUUCGGGAGCUUCACCCAAUGUGUCGGUGCUUUAGGAGCAUCGUCGAUGUUGCGGCUGCCGAGGGCACGUCAUGCUGUUAUGAUGGCGGUUGAAAGGUUGUGAUGUUGUUGUGAAGCAGGACUAGUAGAGUAUGGAAGGGACGUUGCAACCAGACCUCUAGUAGGAAGGGUACAAGUGAGGCGAAGGCCAUACUAGGUCUGCUCGAUGCGUCCAAUGAUAGGCAACUCAGACUGAUUUUUUUGAAACCUAAGGCGUAGGAUGCAUCAUGAUUUUAAAAUAAUUAAGUGAAAUAAUUUUAAAUUUUUGACAGUAGAAAUUGUUGCAAAGACCAUUAGGCUGGCUAGCUACACUUUUGUGCUUUGUCUGCUAAUGCCGUAGGUACAACAAGAAAAAAUAUAGUUGUAGUAGCUAGUCAAAAGAUGCUCCCGUGUACCACAUCCUGAGCUCAGUGGCCGCUCUGCUGCUGCAUGUGGGGAGGCGACGUGUGAAAGGGAAUUUUUGUGGGCCAAAGCAUCCCACGCGAUCUGGUCUCUCGUUAUCAGGGCAUGUACAAUGGAAGCAUCACCGGUGCUGCCCCAUCGCCUCCAACUAGACUCAGUGAGGUGAGGCCAUAGAUUAGUUUUCUCCCCUCCAUCGCCAAGAGUUGAGGCCACCAUCUUGUGGACCUGAUAUGCUGAGAUCAUCCUAGGUGGAGAAGUCCAUCUCUCACUUGCUUUCUCUCAGCUUUUCCCCUAUCCCCUUGCCUUUUCUUUGGUUUCUCUCGAGGAGCAUCAGCCUCCUCUGCAGACUACACCAUGAGGGUUUGGGCGACCACUUUUUUUCCAACAUGGCAUCCGAACCUAGGUGGACAGUGGGGCAGCAGGUAUGGAGCAGCCAGUUGGCCAUGCCCUCAGGUAACCAGGGCAGGCUAUAUCUGACGGUGUGCCAUGCCUCAUCGCACGGCUCCUUAGGCGGCUGAUAACUGGCAAACAUCAUCCGAAUGACGGGUAGCAGCCGCCAACAUCCUGAAUGCGGAGGCAAGCGAGUGCGUUGCUUUCAUGGAUUCCGGGCUAUAGUGUGGAUCUUCCUAUGAACCAUGGGCUACCAUGAAACGAAAGAAGUCGGAUUCUACUACCACGGCUCAAGAAGAAACAAUUGUCUAGGAUAGUCUUUUUUUACUUCAUACGCACCUGACUAACUCUUCUAAUCGGGGUUGUUAACGAAACCCCCCUUUGCUACAAUUACUUUUGAAAAAGUAAUCUAGCUAAUGUGAUACGUACGAGAGCUAGAAUGUAGCCUUUGCUACAAUUACUUUUGAAAAAGUAAUCUAGCUAAUGUGAUACGAGAGCUAGAAUGUAGAGGACCCAUCGUGUUGAUACAUGACUACUUUACUACGGAGUAUACUACUGCACGGUAAUGUUUGCGACAGAUACGUCAUGGAACACUUGAGAAAAUGAACGCUUGUAUGUGAGCAUCAUGUCGCAGGCCAGAGAGGGAAAGUAUAAGGCUUGUCUAAAAGACUGUACCCUAAAGAAGGAAAAAAAUUGUCCCUUGGAUAGUACUGACCCGGUGGAAACAUGCACGGUGUGCUCUACCUCCGCGUCGACUCUCUUUUAUCUAGGUGGUACGUGCUUGGACAUGCAUGUCCAAGCAUGUCUCCACAAGAUAAUGAACAAGCCGUAAACUAAUAUGUGGCUGGAUAGUUAGGAGGACAGUGAUAUCUCCAGCCCACCAGAGUUCAAGUCAUAGACUUGACAUUGGUGCUCGCAUUAUUUCUGGAUUUAUUUCAGGCUUUCGGUGAUGUCCGUUCAGUGGGACAAGACGGUCAUGUCGAUUGCGACACGUCUGUGGUGACUUCAUAAAAUCUUAAAAUGCUAUGUCGGCUCAGUCUCCCGGAUGUUCUCAUAGGGGUAUGGUGUGCAUACGUACGUUCAUAGGGGUGAGUAUAUGCUCGUCUAUGUGAGCUACUUUGAUUGUACUUUGUUAAAAAAAACCCACCACCACUCUUUUAUCGACGUGGGGUAUAUUGAUAUGGUUGCUGGCCUGGAGAGACUAGUAUAGUAUUUUUUUGAAAAUGCAAAACAUGUUCAAACAUUCUCAGAAAAAUUGCAGACACGUGCACAACCUUGAAAAGUUUUAGGUCCUAGUUCGACCCACACUAAUAGAAACAAAAAAGAGAAAA